rnacentral:lncRNA from 1 species
UAUGUGAUAUGUUUUUCCCUCCGUUGUCGGGUUUUGUCUUUCGUUUUGUAUUUUGUCAUGUUAUGCAUUUUCAUAUCAUGUCAUCAUGUGCAUUGCAUUCGCAUACGUGUUCGUCUCAUGCAUCCGAGCUUUUCCCCCGUUGUCCGUUUUGCAAUCCGGCGCUCCUAUCUCCUCCGGUGCACCCCUCUUGUUUUCUUUCGUGUGCGUGUGUCAAACUUUCUCGAAAUGGACCGAGGCUUGUCAAGUGGUCUUAAUAUAUCACCCGGAGACUACCGGUCAAGUUUCGUUCCAUUCGGAGGUCGUUUGGUACUCCAACAGUUAACCGGGUAUCCGCAAAGUCCAUUUGAGUGUCCAGCAAAAAACCCCUCCAAAACCAGCCCAAAACCCACCAAACUCUCUUCCAUGCUCUAGGUCGUUCGAUCACGAUCGUGUGGGCGAAAACCGCACCUCAUUUGGAGUCUCCUAACUCCCUCUACCUAUAAAUAUGUGGGCAUCCCGAAUUACAACCGCAGACAAACCCUAGCUCCUCCCUCCGCGCCGCGCCGGACGUGUCCGCCCGCGCAGGACAACGUCCGCCGCCGUGCCCCGUCCAAUCCCGUAGCGACACGUGUCGGCGCCGGCCUCUCCACCGCGCCGGCCCGCGAAGCCCGCCGCGGGCCCGNNNNNNNNNNNNNNNNNNNNNNNNNNNNNNNNNNNNNNNNNNNNNNNNNNNNNNNNNNNNNNNNNNNNNNNNNNNNNNNNNNNNNNNNNNNNNNNNNNNNNNNNNNNNNNNNNNNNNNNNNNNNNNNNNNNNNNNNNNNNNNNNNNNNNNNNNNNNNNNNNNNNNNNNNNNNNNNNNNNNNNNNNNNNNNNNNNNNNNNNNNNNNNNNNNNNNNNNNNNNNNNNNNNNNNNNNNNNNNNNNNNNNNNNNNNNNNNNNNNNNNNNNNNNNNNNNNNNNNNNNNNNNNNNNNNNNNNNNNNNNNNNNNNNNNNNNNNNNNNNNNNNNNNNNNNNNNNNNNNNNNNNNNNNNNNNNNNNNNNNNNNNNNNNNNNNNNNNNNNNNNCCUGCCUCCCGUGCCCGCGCCGGCGCCCGCCGCCCCCGCCGGCGACCCCCACCUCCGGCUUCCACUCCCUCCGCCGGCGACCGCCGCUCCCUCUCCCUCCUUCCUCGCUGGCAACGACGAGCCCCAGCUCCUGUAGCUCGUGCGAUCCAGAUCUGGUAACCCCCCCGUUGACUUCUCCUCGCCCGUUUUUUUCUCUAAGUGUUGAAAUUCUACAGCAUAUGCACUUGUUCCCGAUGCGAUAACUUCGUGCAUGUAGCUCCGAUUCGCGCGUGUAAUAUGUCAAAUUGUUCGUCUCGUGAUGCUCUUCAUUUUGUCCAAUUGCACCAUGUUCAUUAGAGGUCUAUUGACACUGGUGAUGCUGAUUUAAAUGAGUUGCGUUUAGAUGAUGAACAUUGAGAUGCAAAUUUGGAGGAAAAUUAUAUAGGGCAACUUAAAAAUGUUUUCUCUAAAGGGAAUAAAUUUAAGAGAGAGUGAUCUCCAACAAAAGGAUGUGUGAGACACUCUAUCUCUAUUGGGGGGCUUAAUAAAACUAUAAGGAAAAGAUCUUAAUUGACUUAUGUAGUGCUUGUGAAGAUUAAAGGUUUUUUUUGGAAAAUGAGAGGGUUGGGCAUGAUUUCAGACAGAUAUAUAUGUGAGAGAGUUAAUUAUUGAUCGUAGACUUGACUUUGUUGGUAUGUUUGGGACUAUCAAAAAGACAUUCACUAGAAAUUAGCUACACUCUUUGUGUGUGGGGGGGGUGUUAAUUGGCACUGGACUCCCCCUAGAGGUAAAUAUUGGGGGUCCUUGUAGGAGUUAACAUAGAGUUGUUUGAAGUAAUCCAUGUGGAAAACGGAAAUUACUUUAUUAGAACUUUGGUGUAUGAUAAGAUUGCUAAAUUUAACUGGAACCUUAUCACUAUAUAUGGGGAUGCUCAAGUGGAAAGAAUAGUUGGGUUUAUAGCUGAAUUAGCUAGGGUAUAUCAUGAUAACCCCUUGCCUUCCUUGGUAGGUGGUGACUGUAAUAUUAUCACGAAGAGCUGUGAAAAAGAACAAACCAAAUACUCCUAGCCAUUGGAGCUUUGUUUUCAAUGCCAUUAUUGAACAUGCUGGAGUUAGAAAGAUGCCUCUAAAUGAGAAGAAUUUCACUUGGGCUAAUGAUCUAGUUGAUCUUACAUAUGAAAAGUCAGAUGGAGUAUUGUUUUGUCCUGAUUGUGAUGAGCAUUACCAUUGUCAAUGCUACAUGCUUUUACCAGGGAGGUCUCUGAAGGAAAUAUGCCCUAGAGGCAAUAAUAAAGUUAUUUAUUUAUUUCCUUAUAUCAUGAUAAUGUUUAUUAUUCAUGCUAGAAUUGUAUUAACCGGAAACAUGAUACAUGUGUGAAUACAUAGACAAAUAGAGUGUCACUAGUAUGCCUCUACUUGACUAGCUCGUUGAUCAAAUAUGGUUAUGUUUCCUAGCCAUAGACAAAGAGUUGUCAUUUGAUUAACGGGAUCACAUCAUUAGGAGAAUGAUGUGAUUGACUUGACCCAUUCAGUUAGCUUAGCACUUGAUCGUUUAGUAUGUUGCUAUUGCUUUCUUCGUGACUUAUACAUGUUCCUAUGACUAUGAGAUUAUGCAACUCCCGUUUACCGGAGGAACACUUUGUGUGCUACCAAACGUCACAACGUAACUGGGUGAUUAUAAAGGUGCUCUACAGGUGUCUCCGAAGGUACUUGUUGGGUUGGCGUAUUUCGAGAUUAGGAUUUGUCACUCCGAUUGUCGGAGAGGUAUCUCUGGGCCCACUCGGUAAUGCACAUCACUAUAAGCCUUGCAAGCAUUGCAACUAAUGAGUUAGUCGCGGGAUGAUGUAUUACGGAACGAGUAAAGAGACUUGCCGGUAACGAGAUUGAACUAGGUAUUGAGAUACCGACGAUCUAAUCUCGGGCAAGUAACAUACCGAUGACAAAGGGAACAACGUAUGUUGUUAUGCGGUCUGACUGAUAAAGAUCUUCGUAGAAUAUGUAGGAGCCAAUAUGGGCAUCCAGGUCCCGCUAUUGGUUAUUGAUCAGAGAGGUGUCUCGGUCAUGUCUACAUAGUUCUCGAACCCGUAGGUCCUAAAAGUUUUGUCGGGGUGUCAAUUUAGUCCUAAUUCUUCCAAAAUGCACAUUUAGGUCCUAAUUCUUUAGUAAGUAGUUCAACCAAUGUCCUUUUUUCACGAGCACUCGCUGACCUGCCCGCUUGGCCCGUUGACCCACGCCACGUCGACUGAGGCCCAACCGCCAGGCGAGAAAAAUAUACUGGAGGUCCUAAAAGUUUCUAGGCAGUGUCACUUUAGUCCUACUUCUUUCAAAAUGCACGUUUAGAUCCUAAUUCUAUAGUAAGUGGUUCACCAAAGGUCGUUUUUUGCAUGAUCGUUCGCUGACCUGCUUGCUUGACGCGUUGACCCAUGCCAUGUCAACUUAGAGGCCGCUGCGGUUGCUCUUUUUUUACAUAAAGCCCCUUGUGAACCCCCCUCCUGACAUUUCCCAUCCCUCUCUCUCUCUCUCUCUCUAAUGCACUCACCGUCACCAUGGCUGGGGCAGCAAGGUCCUUGCCAGGGAAGCGGGUGACGAAGAGGAGCGUUGCAGCAUCGUCGGCGGCAAGGCCUCCUCCACAAGCUUCUACCGCCCAACUUCAAAUCAAAGCAAGAGGUUUGAGAAACUUAAAGAAGAGGUUUGAGAAACUUAAAGAAACAUUGCAAAGAAGUAAAUCAAUGCCUACAACCAGUAAUUGUGGCUGAGUAGAGGAAAUCACAUAGCUACAGGAUGAUAUCAACAAAAAAAUUAGUUUUUUUUUUUGCAAUGUUCCUCAUCUGCUAGUGACCCUAAGUCGACGUGUCGUGGGUCUACGCACAACCAAGCAGGUCAGCGAACGAUCAUGCAAAAAAGGACCUUCGGUGAACCACUUACUAUAGAAUUAGGACCUAAACGUGCAUUUUGAAAGAAGUAGGACUAAAAUGACACUAUCUAGAAACUUUUAGGACCUCCAAUAUAUUUUUUUUGCCAGGCGGUUUGGCACUCUGUUGACGUGGCAUGGGUCAACGUGCCACGCGGGCAGGUCAGCGAGCGCUCGUGAAAAAAGGACUUCAGGUGAACCACUUACUAAAGAAUUAGGACCUAAAGGUGCAUUCUGAAAGAAUUAGGACUAAAGUGACACCCCGAUGAAACUUUUAGGACCUCCAGUGCAUUUAACUCUUAGCUAAACAGACUUGGCGAUUAAUUGAAACUCCGGAUAGUUUGUGUGCUCGCCUGCUUCGGGCAAAAUAUUAUCCGAAUGGAAAUCUUCUCGACACGGUAUUUUCAGGUAAUUCUUUGGCUGUUUGGAAUGGUAUUGAAUAUGGCCUUCAACUAGUGAAAAAGGAUUUUAUUUGGAGAAUCGGUAACGGCUGUAUGGUGCGUACAUCGCGUGAUCUUUGGAUCCCAAGAGGUAAUGAUCUUAGACCGAUUACUCCGAAAAGGAAUUGUCGCUUUAAUCAUGUUUCAGACUUACUGUUCAACCAUGGUGGAUGGAACAUGGAGCGUCUCCAACAACAUUUUUGGGAUGUAGAUGUGCAGCAAAUUCUGAGAAUACGUACAUCUCCGAGAGGCCGGGAAGAUUUUAUUGCCUGGUUUCCAGAAAAGUCUGGAAAAUUUACUGUUAAGAGCGCCUACAAACUCGCUACUAGAGAACAUGACGAUUCAUUUGCAGGAGGGACUUCAAGUAUGUGUCGAGAGGGAGAUCGAUCCAUAUGGAAUUAUGUUUGGCGGGCUAAAGUUCCUCUUAAAAUGCGUAUUACAGCUUGGAAGGCCGCGUCAGGUGCUCUUGCCACUGAUCAAAACAAGUUAUACCGACAUAUUGGCACUACUGAUUGUUGCAGGGUGUGCGGCCGGGAGAGGAAAGGUUCUUACCAUGCCCUAGUUGCAUGCCCUCAAGCACGACUUGUGUGGCAGAGGAUGCGAGAGUUAUGGCCAUUGCCAACUGAUGAUGUGUUACUAGAUAAUGGUAAAGAGUGGCAUUGCAUGUGCUUGCUGCAUGUGAUAAUAAGGUACACGAUAUGGUCAUUCUACUUAUAUGAAGAAUUUGGCAACUUCGCGAUGAUGUUGUGCAUGGCAAGGAAGUGCCACCGGUUGAUGUUACUAUGAAAUUUCUGGAUAGCUAUUAUAAGUCUCUGGAUCUAGCCAGGAAUUAUAGCAUGGAAGAAAUUGUAAAAGGGAAGAUGUGGGAAAGUAGGAGGUUAUUCUUAUUAGUAUUCAGCAGGCCACGGCUCCUGUUCCUUGGCCACCACCUCCAGCAAAUUGGGUUGCGCUGUCUAUUGAUGGAUCUUUCUCAGCUCACGAUGGCAAGACAGGUGCUGGUAUGAUCUUACGUCGUGAUGAUGGCUCUAUUAUCUUUGCUGCUUACCGUGUUAUAUUUAAUUACAAUGAAGCGCUCGAGGCGGAGAUACAUGCAAUAAUGCAAGGGAUGGCCCUUGCUUUACAACAUACUGAUUUACCAGUUAAGGUGCAAUCUGAUUCCUGUAAUGCACUUUCGAUACUCUCUGGUGAUAGUAUGUCCCAAUCGGCCUAUGGUCAUCUAGUAGCAGAGAUUAAAUUUUGUAUGGAUGAGAGGGAGUUUGUUCCACAAAAGAUUAGUAGGUCUCAAAAUAGGGUAGCAGAUUGUAUGGCAAAUUAUAGCCGUACUGAGUCUUGUACUGCGGUAUGGAUGAGCAGAUGUCCUCCAUGUUGUGAGGACUUAUUGCCUCUCGACUGUAACCCUGUGACUUUGGAAUAAAAUUUUCGUAUUAUUCGCAAAAAAAUACUCCCUCCAUUCCAAAAUAUAGUGCGCCCGCGCUUCCUGGGGUCCAACUUUGACUAUAAAUUUAACCAACGAGACCGACUGCGGUGAGAGAAAAAAUUAUAUAAUUGAGAACUUCCUUUGAAUACGAAUUCAGUGGUAUAACUUUUGCUCCCGCCGCAAUCGGUCUAGUUGAUUAAAUUUAUGAUCAAAGUUGAAGCACGGAAAUAAAGGAAGCACUAUAUUUUGAAACGGGGGGAGUAUGUGAUUAACGUAAGUAGCACACAACAAUACAAACUCACACUACUUGCUAGCAGCAAAAAUUCUUUGAGCCAGAUUAAUACCCAUCAGGGACUCACUCUGGAGCACAUCCAACAGUUUGCGUCUCUUUAGGAGAUGUUAAGCUCCAUUUAACUAAACCCAGAUGUCCCGGACAAGAUUACCUGGAAGUUCAUCUCCGAUGGUGUUUACCCCGCGCCUCGGCCUACAAAGCUCAAUUUGAGGGACACACAGUCUCGCAUAUAUAUGCAUCCGUUUGGAGUUUGGGCACCCCAAAAUGUAAGCUUUCUGUGUGGCUUGUGAUUCAAACCCAUGUUUGGACUGCAGAUAGGCUUGAGCGCCGAGGAUGGCCCAACUGCAGCCUUUGCCCUCGACACAUCUCCUUAGACUACCCAUAGUGGGAGUAACAUAGGUAGUAACAUCACAUAUAUCUAGUUUAAAUAGAUGAUGUGACAUGCAAUAAAUGAAGAAAGAGAUGAAAGUGGUAACAUAGCUAGUUACUACUAGUAUGAGUAACAUCACACAUAUCAAGACAAGAUGUGUCUAUAGCUUAAUAAAUGAAGUGCUCCAUGUUACCACACAUAUGUUACUGCCCACUAUAGAUGUAGUAACAUAGACUAGUAACAUUACUAGUCUAUGUUACUACCCAUUAUGGCUAGUCUUAUGCCAUUACCGCUUCUCGAUGCGAGUGCGGUGUGACAUUGUGGCUUGGCACGCAAAUAAAAAACAUCCCCUGGAUAAGCCUCACGGCCUGGAGGUCUUCUUAAUAGAAGGGACAUUUGGCGAUAAGCUUGUGCCUGUUUGGAGAGAUCAUCAUAAAUUAUUAAAGUAUGCCGUUCGUGGUACAUAAAAUACGAGAAAUUGGAUUGUACAUCUUUCAUCUUUUUGAUUUUGAUAUCGAUUUUGAUACAUAUAAGGUGUCCUACGAAUAAUGCAAAUCGAAGCUAUUUGAUGUCUGACUCAGAGUUUUUCUUUACGGAAAGAUAAUGAGAUGGCUCUCUGUGCUCUGAUUGAUUUUUUGUAUUAUGAUCUAUCUAGGAGCAAUACCAAAGUGUUUCAAAGGAGGAUUACCUUGACUUAGGUCUGCCUCCGGUCUAAAUUAAAUCAACCUAAGAUCCAUUUUGCAAGUUCGUUAUUACGGGUAGUUCCUACAAAGAAUCGGACUAAUGACGUAUACAAUGCUUGAAUUAUCGAUGUAGAUGCUACAUAGUGGCCCUCCGAUUACUAUUACUAUAGAGAUGAACCCAAUCCAGAAUAUGAACCAUAAAAGAAAACACCUACUAAACCAAUCACAUCAGUAUUUAGUUAGGUAUUUGCAUUCAAAAUAAGAAAAGAGAACUAUUAAGAACUUGUAAAAUAAGGAUUAGGAAUUAAUUUGGGUUGCGCUAUAUCUAUCAAAGACAUUCUCUAGAAAAGGUACUGUCAAUAAGCCUGUUGACACAGAAACCAUUAAAAGAACGCCCAAUAACUUAUUGGGUACCGUACGGAGUAUUUCAUGUUGCUAUUCCCGCAUCCAGGGGGGAGUACGUUCGAUGGAAUAAUUUCUUAGAUGUAUUACCCUAUCCCCAGGGGUUGGGACCCCUUUUGACGGGUCAAUGGAAUCUGUCAAUUUUAUUUCUCAUGAAAAUAGCAAGUUAACUCAAAGAAUUUAUCACACAAAUAGUCAAUUUGUUAGAACUUGCUUAGUAGUGAAUUGGGAACAAGAAGAAAAAGAAAAGGCUGGUGCUUCCCUUGUUGAGGUAAGAGCAAAUGAUCUUAUUCGCGAUUUCCUAAGAAUUGAGUUAGUCAAGUCCACUAUUUCGUAUACACGAAAAAGGUAUGGUAGGACAAGUGCAGGACCGAUUCCCCAUAAUAGGUUAGAUCGCGCCAAUAUCAAUUCUUUUUAUUCCAAGGCGAAGACUGAAUCACUUAGCCAACAUCCAGAAGCUAUUGGCACUUUGUUGAAUCGAAAUAAAGAAUGCCACUCUUUGAUGAUUUUGUCGGCAUCCAACUGUUCUCGAAUUGGUUUAUUCAAGAAUUCAAAACAUCCCAAUGCGAUAAAAGAAUGGAAUCCUAGAAUUCCUAUUCGAGAAAUUUUUGGUUAUCUACAUCUAUCCCAAUAAGCUGUCUAUCGAAUCGUUGCAAUUGAUGUUCGAUCUUGAAGAGAAGGAAGAGAUCUUCAAAAAGUAGGUUUUUAUGAUCCGAUAAAGAAUCAAACUUGUUUAAACGUUCCAGCUAUUCUCUAUUUCCUUGAAAAGGUAUUUCAUUUCUUUUUUAUUUAUACCUUCUUUAUCUUUAGUUUUAUCUAGUUAAUCAAUAGUAUCUACCGGCAAAAAAGAGGACGUUUGAAACUUUUAACAGGCGUAAUCGUGAGUCAGCAAGUGACUCGAACUGUGUGUAAAAAAAGAAGACUCCCGCUCUCAACCCAUGAACAAUAUGAGUCCGAAGCUUCUUUCGUAACUCCCAUAAUUUCUUCGUAGAGGCUCCGUUCCAUGCCUCAUUUCAUAGGGAAGCCCAAAGUGGCUCUAUUUCACUUCCUCUUUUAUCUGGUGAAUAUCCAACAAGAGGUUCCAUUGAAUGAAUAACGGAUCCGGAUCCCAAGAACAAUAAAGCUUUUGAAUAAGCAUGAGUUAUCAAAUGGAAUAAAGCAGCUUGAUAAGAACAUAUACCUAGAGCUAACAUCAUAUAACCCAAUUGAGACAUUGUAGUUCAUUUAUGAAUUUCAUAGUAAUAGAAAUCCAUGUCCUACCGAGACAGAAUUUAGAACUUGCUAUCCUCUUGCCUAAAGAAAAGGAGGUUCAUGGCCAAGGGAAAAGAUGUUAGAAUUAGAGUUAUUUUGGAAUGCAUCAGUUGUGUUUGAAAAGGUGCCAAUGAGGAAUCGACGGGGAAAAGCCGGUGGUUUCUUGGUCACGACCAGCUAAAACGAAAGUUCCAUUAAAGAGCGUUUCCACGUGGUAGAACCUCCUCAGGGAAUAUAAGAUUUUCAUGAGGCUGAUCCUGAGAUGCCAUCCACGCACGAAUACCCUCGUUUAAAAGAAUAUUUUUGGUGUAGAAAGUCUCAAAUUCAGGAUCUUCCGCUGCACGGAUUUCCUGGGAAACAAAGUCAUAGGCACGUAAAGUGACUACGAAUUCCCCUUUUUAUUUGCGAAUCCCUGUUUGUAUCCAGUAAAUGGAAAUUUCAUUGAUAAGACUGAAGGAAAUAUGCCCUAGAGGCAAUAAUAAAGUUAUUAUUUAUUUCCUUAUUUCCUGAUAAAUGUUUAUUAUUCAUGCUAGAAUUGUAUUAACCGGAAACAUAAUACCUGUGUGAAUACAUAGACAAACAGAGUGUCACUAGUAUGCCUCUACUUGACUAGCUCGUUGAUCAAAGAUGGUUAUGUUUCCUAGCCAUAGACACGAGUUGUCAUUUGAUUAACGGGAUCACAUUAUUAGGAGAAUGAUGUGAUUGACUUGACCCAUUCCGUUAGCUUAGCACUUGAUCGUUUAGUAUAUUGCUAUUGCUUUCUUCAUGACUUAUACAUGUUCCUAUGACUAUGAGAUUAUGCAACUCCCGUUUACCGGAGGAACACUUUGUGUGCUACCAAACGUCACAACGUAACUGGGUGAUUAUAAAGGUGCUCUACAGGUGUCUCCGAAGGUACUUGUUGGGUUGGCGUAUUUCGAGAUUAGGAUUUGUCACUCCGAUUGUCGGAGAGGUAUCUCUGGGCCCUCUCGGUAAUGCACAUCACUUAAGCCUUGCAAGCAUUGCAACUAAAGAGUUUGUUGCAAGAUGAUGUAUUUCGGAACGAGUAAAGAGACUUGCCGGUAACGAGAUUGAACUAGGUAUUGAGAUACCGACGAUCGAAUCUCGGGCAAGUAACAUACCGAUGACAAAGGGAACAACGUAUGUUGUUAUGCGGUCUGACCGAUAAAGAUCUUCAUAGAAUAUGUGGGAGCCAAUAUGAGCAUCCAGGAUCCGCUAUUGGUUAUUGACCGGAGACGUGUCUCGGUCAUGUCUACAUAGUUCUCGAACCCGUAGGGUCCGCACGCUUAACGUUACGAUGACAGUUAUAUUAUGAGUUUAUAUGUUUUGAUGUACCGAAGGUUGUUCGGAGUCCCGGAUGUGAUCACGGACAUGACGAGGAGUCUCGAAAUGGUCGAGACAUAAAGAUUGAUAUAUUGGACGACUAUAUUCGGACACCGGAAAUGUUCCGGGUGAUUUCGGAGAAAACCGGAGUGCCGGAGGGUUACCGGAACCCCCCGGGAGAAGUAAUGGGCCUUAUGGGCCUUAGUGGAGAGAGAGAGGGGCAGCUAGGAGGGGCCGCGCGCCCCCUCCCCCUCUGGUCCGAAUUGGACUAGGAGAGGGGGGGCGGCGCCCCCCUUUCCUUCUCCCUCUCCCCCUUCCUUUCCCCCUCCUAGUAGGAGUAGGAAAGAGGGGGGUCCUACUCCUACUAGGAGGAGGCGGACUCCUCCUGGCGCGCCAACAAGGGCCGGCCGGCCUCCCCCUUGCUCCUUUAUAUACGGGGCAGGGGGGCACCCCAUAGACACAACAAUUGAUCUAUUGAUCUCUUAGCCGUGUGCGGUGCCCCCCCCACCAUAUUACACCUCGAUAAUAUCGUAGCGGUGCUUAGGCGAAGCCCUGCGUCGGUAGAACAUCAUCAUCGUCACCACGCCGUCGUGCUGACGAAACUCUCCCUCAACACUCGGCUGGAUCGGAGUUCGAGGGACGUCAUCGAGCUGAACGUGUGCUGAACUCGGAGGUGCCGUACGUUCGGUACUUGAUCGGUCGGAUCGUGAAGACCUACGACUACAUCAACCGCGUUGUGUUAACGCUUCCGCUUUCGGUCUAUGAGGGUACGUAGACAACACUCUCCCCUCUCGUUGCUAUGCAUCACCAUGAUCUUGCGUGUUCGUAGGAAAAUUUUGAAAUUACUACGUUCCCCAACAGUGGCAUCCGAGCCUGGUUUUAUGCGUUGAUGUUAUGCACGAGUAGAACACAAGUGAGUUGUGGGCGAUAUAAGUCAUACUGCUUACCAGCAUGUCAUACUUUGGUGCGACGGUAUUGUGAGAUGAAGCGGCCCGGACCGACAUUACGCGUACGCUUACGCGAGACUGGUUUCACCGUUGCGAGCACUCGUUGCUUAAAGGUGACCGGCGGGUGUCUGUCUCUCUCACUUUAGUUGAACCGAGUGUGGCUACGCCCGGCCCUUGCGAAGGUUAAAACAGCACCAACUUGACAAACUAUCGUUGUGGUUUUGAUGCGUAGGUAAGAACGGUUCUUGCUAAGCCCGUAGCAGCCACGUAAAACUUGCAACAACAAAGUAGAGGACGUCUAACUUGUUUUUGCAGGGCAUGUUGUGAUGUGAUAUGGUCAAGACAUGAUACUGAAUUUUAUUGUAUGAGAUGAUCAUGUUUUGUAACCGAGUUAUCGGCAACUGGCAGGAGCCAUAUGGUUGUCGCUUUAUUGUAUGCAAUGCAAUCGCCAUGUAAUUGUUUUACUUUAUCACUAAGCGGUAGCGAUAGUCGUAGAAGCAAUAGUUGGCGAGACGACAACGAUGCUUCGAUGGAGAUCAAGGUGUCACGCCGAUGACGAUGGUGAUCAUGACGGUGCUUCGGAGAUGGAGAUCACAAGCACAAGAUGAUGAUGGCCAUAUCAUAUCACUUAUAUUGAUUGCAUGUGAUGUUUAUCUUUUAUGCAUCUUAUCUUGCUUUGAUUGACGGUAGCAUUAUAAGAUGAUCCUUCACUAAAUUAUCAAAGUAUAAGUGUUCUCCCUGAGUAUGCACCGUUGCGAAAGUUCUUCAUGCUGAGACACCACGUGAUGAUCGGGUGUGAUAGGCUCUACGUUCAAAUACAACGGGUGCAAAACAGUUGCACACGCGGAAUACUCAGGUUAAACUUGACGAGCCUAGCAUAUAACAGAUAUGGCCUCGGAACACGGAGACCGAAAGGUCGAGCGUGAAUCAUAUAGUAGAUAUGAUCAACAUAGUGAUGUUCACCGUUGAAACUACUCCAUCUCACGUGAUGAUCGGACAUGGUUUAGUUGAUAUGGAUCACGUGAUCACUUAGAGGAUUAGAGGGAUGUCUAUCUAAGUGGGAGUUCUUAAGUAAUAUGAUUAAUUGAACUUGAAUUUAUCAUGAACUUAGUACCUGAUAGUAUUUUGCUUGUCUAUGUUAAUUGUCGAUAGAUGGCCCGUGCUGUUGUUCCGUUGAAUUUUAAUGCGUUCCUUGAGAAAGCAAAGUUGAAAGAUGAUGGUAGCAAUUACACGGACUGGGUCCGUAACUUGAGGAUUAUCCUCAUUGCUGCACAGAAGAAUUACGUCCUGGAAGCACCGCUGGGUGCCAGGCCUACUGCAGGAGCAACACCAGAUGUUAUGAACGUCUGGCAGAGCAAAGCUGAUGACUACUCGAUAGUUCAGUGUGCCAUGCUUUACGGCUUAGAACCGGGUCUUCAACGACGUUUUGAACGUCAUGGAGCAUAUGAGAUGUUCCAGGAGUUGAAGUUAAUAUUUCAAGCAAAUGCCCGGAUUGAGAGAUAUGAAGUCUCCAAUAAGUCCUACAUCUGCAAGAUGGAAGAGAAUAGUUCUGUCAGUGAGCAUAUACUCAAAAUGUGUGGGUAUAACAAUCACUUGAUUCAACUGGGAGUUAAUCUUCCGGAUGAUAGCGUCAUUGACAGAAUUCUUCAAUCACUGCCACCAAGCUACAAGAGCUUCGUGAUGAACUAUAAAAUGCAAGGGGUGGAUAAGACGAUUCCCAAGCUCUUCGCAAUGCUAAAGGCUGCGGAGGUAGAAAUCAAAAAGGAGCAUCAAGUGUUGAUGGUCAAUAAGACCACUAGUUUCAAGAAAAAGGGUAAAGGGAAGAAGAAGGGGAACUUCAAGAAGAACAGCAAACAAGUUCCUGCUCAGGAGAAGAAACCCAAGUCUGGACCUAAGCCUGAGACUGAGUGCUUCUACUGCAAGUAGACUGGUCACUGGAAGCGGAACUGCCCCAAGUAUUUGGCGGAUAAGAAGGAUGGCAAGGUGAACAAAGGUAUAUGUGAUAUACAUGUUAUUGAUGUGUACCUUACUAAUGCUCGCAGUAGCACCUGGGUAUUUGAUACUGGUUCUGUUGCUAAUAUUUGCAACUCGAAACAGGGGCUACGGAUUAAGCGAAGAUUGGCUAAGGACGAGGUGACGAUGCGCGUGGGAAAUGGUUCCAAAGUCGAUGUGAUCACGGUCGGCACGCUACCUCUACAUCUACCUUCGGGAUUAGUUUUAGACCUAAAUAAUUGUUAUUUGGUGCCAGCGUUAAGCAUGAACAUUAUAUCUGGAUCUUGUUUGAUGCGAGAUGGUUAUUCAUUUAAAUCAGAGAAUAAUGGUUGUUCUAUUUAUAUGAGUAAUAUCUUUUAUGGUCAUGCACCCUUGAAGAGUGGUCUAUUUUUGUUGAAUCUCGAUAGUAGUGAUACACAUAUUCAUAAUAUUGAAGCCAAAAGAUGCAGAGUUGAUAAUGAUAGUGCAACUUAUUUGUGGCACUGCCGUUUAGGUCAUAUCGGUGUAAAGCGCAUGAAGAAACUCCAUACUGAUGGACUUUUGGAACCACUUGAUUAUGAAUCACUUGGUACUUGCGAACCGUGCCUCAUGGGCAAGAUGACUAAAACACCGUUCUCCGGAACUAUGGAGAGAGCAACAGAUUUGUUGGAAAUCAUACAUACAGAUGUAUGUGGUCCGAUGAAUAUUGAGGCUCGUGGCAGAUAUCGUUAUUUUCUCACCUUUACAGAUGAUUUGAGCAGAUAUGGGUAUAUCUACUUAAUGAAACAUAAGUCUGAAACAUUUGAAAGGUUCAAAGAAUUUCAGAGUGAAGUUGAAAAUCAUCGUAACAAGAAAAUAAAGUUUCUACGAUCAGAUCGUGGAGGAGAAUAUUUGAGUUACGAGUUUGGUCUACAUUUGAAACAAUGCGGAAUAGUUUCGCAACUCACGCUACCCGGAACACCACAACGUAAUGGUGUGUCCGAACGUCGUAAUCCUACUUUACUAGAUAUGGUGCGAUCUAUGAUGUCUCUUACUGAUUUACCGCUAUCGUUUUGGGGUUAUGCUUUAGAGACAGCUGCAUUCACGUUAAAUAGGGCACCAUCAAAAUCCGUUGAGACGAUGCCUUAUGAACUGUGGUUUAGCAAGAAACCAAAGUUGUCGUUUCUUAAAGUUUGGGGCUGCGAUGCUUAUGUGAAAAAACUUCAACCUGAUAAGCUCGAACCCAAAUCGGAGAAAUGUGUCUUCAUAGGAUAUCCAAAGGAGACUAUUGGGUACACCUUCAAUCACAGAUCCGAAGGCAAAACUUUUGUUGCUAAAUUCGGAAAUUUUCUGGAGAAGGAGUUUCUCUCGAAAGAAGUGAAUGGGAGGAAAGUAGAACUUGAUGAGGUAACUGUACCUGCUCCCUUAUUGGAAAGUAGUUUAUCACAGAAACCAGUUGCUGUGACACCAACGCCAAUUAGUGAGGAAGUUAAUGAUGAUGAUCAUGAAACUUCAGAUCAAGUUAUUACUGAACCUUGUAGAUCAACCAGAGUAAGAUCCGCACCAGAGUGGUACGGUAAUCCUGUUCUGGAGGUUAUGUUACUAGACCAUGACGAACCUACGAACUAUGAAGAAGCGAUGGUGAGCCCAGAUUCCGCAAAAUGGCUUGAGGCCAUGAAAUCCGAGAUGGGAUCCAUGUAUGAGAACAAAGUAUGGACUUUGGUUGACUUGCCCGAUGAUCGGCAAGCCAUUGAAAAUAAAUGGAUCUUCAAAAAGAAGACUGACACUGACGGUAAUGUUACUGUCUAUAAAGCUCGACUUGUUGCGAAAGGUUUUCGACAAGUUCAGGGGAUUGACUACGAUGAGACCUUCUCACCCGUAGCGAUGCUUAAGUCUGUCCGAAUCAUGUUAGCAAUUGCCGCAUUUUAUGAUUAUGAAAUUUGGCAAAUGGAUGUCAAAACUGCAUUCCUGAAUGGAUUUCUGGAAGAAGAGUUGUAUAUGAUGCAACCGGAAGGUUUUGUCGAUCCAAAGGAAGCUAACAAAGUGUGCAAGCUCCAGCGAUCCAUUUAUGGAUUGGUGCAAGCCUCUCGGAGUUGGAAUAAACGCUUUGAUAGUGUGAUCAAAGCAUUUGGCUUUAUGCAGACUUUUGGAGAAGCCUGUAUUUACAAGAAAGUGAGUGGGGGCUCUGUAGCAUUUCUGAUAUUAUAUGUGGAUGACAUAUUGCUGAUUGGAAAUGAUAUAGAAUUUCUGGAUAGCAUAAAGGGAUACUUGAAUAAGAUUUUUUCAAUGAAAGACCUCGGUAAAGCUGCGUAUAUAUUGGGCAUCAAGAUUUAUAGAGAUAGAUCAAGACGCUUAAUUGGACUUUCACAAAGCACAUACCUUGACAAAGUUUUGAAAAAGUUCAAAAUGGAUCAAGCAAAGAAAGGGUUCUUGCCUGUGUUACAAGGUGUGAAAUUGAGUAAGACUCAAUGCCCGACCACUGCAGAAGAUAGAGAGAAGAUGAAAGAUGUUCCCUAUGCUUCAGCCAUAGGCUCUAUUAUGUAUGCAAUGCUGUGUACCAGACCUGAUGUAUGCCUUGCUAUAAGUCUAGCAGGAAGGUACCAAAGUAAUCCAGGAGUGGAUCACUGGACAGCGGUCAAGAACAUCCUGAAAUGCCUGAAAAGGACUAAGGAUAUGUUUCUCGUUUAUGGAGGUGACAAAGAGCUCAUCGUAAAUGGUUACGUCGAUGCAAGCUUUGACACUGAUCCGGACGAUUCUAAAUCGCAAACCGGAUACGUGUUUACAUUGAACGGUGGAGCUGUCAGUUGGUGCAGUUCUAAACAAAGCGUCGUGGCGGGAUCUACGUGUGAAGCGGAGUACAUAGCUGCUUCGGAAGCAGCAAAUGAAGGAGUCUGGAUGAAGGAGUUCAUAACCGAUCUAGGUGUCAUACCUAGUGCAUCGGGUCCAAUGAAAAUCUUUUGUGACAAUACUGGUGCAAUUGCCUUAGCAAAGGAAUCCAGAUUUCACAAGAGAACCAAGCACAUCAAAAGACGCUUCAAUUCCAUCCGGGAUUUAGUCCAGGUGGGAGACAUAGAAAUUUGCAAGAUACAUACGGAUCUGAAUGUUGCAAACCCGUUGACUAAGCCUCUUCCACGAGCAAAACAUGAUCACCACCAAGGCUCCAUGGGUGUAAGAAUCAUUACUGUGUAAUCUAGAUUAUUGACUCUAGUGCAAGUGGGAGAUUGAAGGAAAUAUGCCGUAGAGGCAAUAAUAAAGUUAUUAUUUAUUUCCUUAUUUCAUGAUAAAUGUUUAUUAUUCAUGCUAGAAUUGUAUUAACCGGAAACAUAAUACCUGUGUGAAUACAUAGACAAACAGAGUGUCACUAGUAUGCCUCUACUUGACUAGCUCGUUGAUCAAAGAUGGUUAUGUUUCCUAGCCAUAGACAUGAGUUGUCAUUUGAUUAACGGGAUCACAUUAUUAGGAGAAUGAUGUGAUUGACUUGACCCAUUCCGUUAGCUUAGCACUUGAUCGUUUAGUAUAUUGCUAUUGCUUUAUUCAUGACUUAUACAUGUUCCUAUGACUAUGAGAUUAUGCAACUCCCGUUUACCGGACGAGCACUUUGUGCGCUAUCAAACGUCACAACGUAACUGGGUGAUUAUAAAGGUGCUCUACAGGUGUCUCCGAAGGUACUUGUUGGGUUGGCGUAUUUCGAGAUUAGGAUUUGUCACUCCGAUUGUCGGAGAGGUAUCUCUGGGCCCUCUCAGUAAUGCACAUCGCUUAAGCAUUGCAACUAAAGAGUUUGUUGCAAGAUGAUGUAUUACGGAACGAGUAAAGAGACUUGUCGGUAACGAGAUUGAACUAGGUAUUGAGAUACCGACGAUCGAAUCUCGGGCAAGUAACAUACCGAUGACAAAGGGAACAACGUAUGUUGUUAUGCGGUCUGACCGAUAAAGAUCUUCGUAGAAUAUGUGGGAGCCAAUAUGAGCAUCCAGGUUCCGCUAUUGGUUAUUGACCGGAGACGUGUCUCGGUCAUGUCUACAUAGUUCUCGAACCCGUAGGGUCCGCACGCUUAACGUUACGAUGACAGUUAUAUUAUGAGUUUAUAUGUUUUGAUGUACCGAAGGUUGUUCGGAGUCCCGGAUGUGAUCACGGACAUGACGAGGAGUCUCGAAAUGGUCGAGACAUAAAGAUUGAUAUAUUGGACGACUAUAUUCGGACACCGGAAAUGUUCCGGGUGAUUUCGGAGAAAACCGGAGUGCCGGAGGGUUACCGGAACCCCCCCGGGAGAAGUAAUGGGCCUUAUGGGCCUUAGUGGAGAGAGAGAGGGGCAGCUAGGAGGGGCCGCGCGCCCCCUCCCCCUCUGGUCCGAAUUGGACUAGGAGAGGGGGGGCGGCGCCCCCCUUUCCUUCUCCCUCUCCCCCUUCCUUUCCCCCUCCUAGUAGGAGUAGGAAAGAGGGGGGUCCUACUCCUACUAGGAGGAGGCGGACUCCUCCUGGCGCGCCAACAAGGGCCGGCCGGCCUCCCCCUUGCUCCUUUAUAUACGGGGGCAGGGGCACCCCAUAGACACAACAAUUGAUCUAUUGAUCUCUUAGCCGUGUGCGGUGCCCCCCUCGACCAUAUUACACCUCGAUAAUAUCGUAGCGGUGCUUAGGCGAAGCCCUGCGUCGGUAGAACAUCAUCAUCGUCACCACGCCGUCGUGCUGACGAAACUCUCCCUCAACACUCGGCUGGAUCGGAGUUCGAGGGACGUCAUCGAGCUGAACGUGUGCUGAACUCGGAGGUGUCGUACGUUCGGUACUUGAUCGGUCGGAUCGUGAAGACGUACGACUACAUCAACCGCGUUGUGUUAACGCUUCCGCUUUCGGUCUACGAGGGUACGUGGACAACACUCUCCCCUCUCGUUGCUAUGCAUCACCAUGAUCUUGCGUGUUCGUAGGAAAAUUUUGAAAUUACUACGUUCCCCAACAAAGACCUCCUCAAUUGUAGCCAAUAUUUUAUUGCGAAUAAUUCCGACAACCUCAGGAGAAAAAAAGGCAUUUACUUAUUAUAGAGAUGGUGCGGUUUGACUCUUUUUUUGCUUUUUUUAGCCCUACCUAUACCUCAGUCUUACGGGUUGUCUUCCCCAGCAACAGGCUCGAUGUGACAGCAUCGUCCUUUGUAACGAUCAAGACUGGUAAGUCCAUCAGUCCAAACAGUUGUCCAUGUACCAGUAGAAGAUUCGGCAGCUACUGCAGCCCCUGCUUCUUCGGGCGGAACCCCAGGCUGAGGACUUACUCGGAAUGCUGCCAAGAUAUCAGUAUCCUUAGUUUCAUACUCUAGGGUGUAGUAAGUCAAUUUAUAAUCUUUAACACCAGCUUUAAAUCCAACACCUGCUUUAGUUUCUGUUUGUGGUGACAUAAGUCCCUCCCUAUAACUCUUGAAUUAAGAAUUCUCACAAUAACAGGGUCUACUCGAUGUUAAUUAGGCGUAAAUGAAACUUUAGCAAAAAUCUCGUAAAACAAAAAGGAUAUUCAAUUAAUAUAAUAUCAACUCAUUAAAGAAAAUUGAGGGCAUGCUUAGGUUAAUGAAUAUGUUUCAUUCAUAUAUAAUGCGUACACCCUGUGUAUGUUCUAUCCUAUAGGAAUUCCACUAUAGGAAUUCGAUAGGAAUUGAGUUGUUGUUAUGGUAAGNNNNNNNNNNGGGGGGGGGUAGUCCUAUGCAUUGUGCAUGGUUUACUUAAAUAAAACUUAAAAAUAGAGUGAAUAACCAAGAUUUCUCGCCGACACUCUAAUAAAAAAGAAAUCUAUUCAAUGAAUAGGAUAAGAUCCAUUGAGUUCUCUUCGCAUUCCUUUGUGAAAGAGUAGAAUGAGAAAGCUAAUGAAUCUUAAACCCAUCCAAAUGGGAUAAGAGAAUUCUUAUUAGUCUCUUUCUUUAUCUCAAUUGAAGAAGUAGUUGGAAAAUAAAACAGCAAGUACAAAAAUGAGUAAUAAACCCCAGUAUAGACUGGUACGAUUCAGCGGAAGUUGCGGGUUCGAGCCCCGUCAGUCCCGAACUAGGGUUGAAUGAAUGGAGAAAUUGAUAUUUCCUUUUUCCAUGAAAAAAAGGGGCAGGGAGCAAGAUCAAAUACCCACAGGGCACCCUUAUGAGCCUCGUGGAGAAGCAAUCGCUAGUCCAUGGGGCUCAUACUUCAGCGCUGCAGCGCUUGGUACUCGGACCUCGGCUCGAGGCAUUUUCUCUACCCCUUCUUACCCUGAAAAAGCAGGGUCACCUUGUGUCCUUAAACCUAUAACCAUCUUUCGGCUGUGUAUGAAUCACUCACCUAUUCUUCCGAAUUAUAUGUAUCUGCGAGAUUAAUUUUUGGUUUCGAUGUGCAAAAACAAAUGAAAUGAAAAUGAAUUGAUAAAACAUUCCUAAAAAAAUUCUGUCACUUAUACUUUAUGUUAUGAUAUUCUAAUCAGAUUGGAUGGCAAAGAGUAAAGAAGGCAAUGCUUUUUUUUCAUUUUUGAUCUGUAAAUGGAGUUGUUAAUGAAUAUGCUUCAUUCGCUGACUCUAUUCCAUUCCCUGACCUUCUUUCUCCAAUCUUGGAUUAGGGAAGAAGGAGAUAUUCGUGACUACUGGCGAUUUCAUUAUGGGGCAGCUCAUGAUCUUAGGAAUUCUUCUAUAAUUUAAAUGACUCAAUAAAAGCUUUUUUUUAUUCUUUUAGUUACUGAUUAUUAUUUUUGGAUUUCACUCCACCCGUGGUUGGGAACUAGUAAUUCGUUGGGUCUACAACGAUUUUGGAUGGGCUCCUAACGAGCUUAUUUUCACUAUUUUUGUUUGUAGUUUUCCAGUAAUUCUAGAUACAUGUUUGAAAUUUUGGGUCGUGGCAAUUCCACCCAGAAGGUAAUGGGUUACUCCUACAGCGCGUCCUUGUAUAAUGCUCAAGGCUCUAGGCUGAGUAGCAGGAGCAACUUUUAAUUUGUUAUGAGCCCAAACGAUAGAUUCAAUGAGUUCUUGCCAAUAACCACGGCCGCUGGUUUCAUGUUACGCCAAUUUGAAUUUGCUCGGUCUGUUCAAUUGCGGCCUUAUAAUGCAAUCUCAUUAUCUGGUCCAAUUGCUGUUUUUGUAAUCGAUCUUAUUGCAAAACCAAUGUCUUACUUCAUAGAUUCGAGAGAAUAGGAGAACAGUAGCCUGACAAACAGUCGGUUCAGUCCGAUUCAGGUGCCAAUCUGAUAUUAUAGUGCCAGUGUAGAUAGAAAUUCCCUUAUGAUCUAAUUCUGAGCGGUAGUAAAUACCAGGACGUAGCAAUAUUUGAUUGAUCACAAUUCGGUGUCUUCCCCAGCAACAGGCUCGAUGUGAUAGCAUCGUCCUUUGUAACGAUCAAGACCGGUAAUUCCAUCAGUCCAAACAGUUGUCCAUGUACCAGUAGAAGAUUCGGCAGCUACUGCAGCCCCUGCUUCUUCGGGCAGAGGGAAUUUCCGGUGGAGCGGUGAAAUGCAUGGAGAUCGGAAAGAACACCAACGGCGAAGACUUAAAGAUAUUUUGGAGGCUCACAAGGGCCCAUUUACAGGACAAGGCGACCUUCAACAAAAGGGUACCUGUACCCGAAACCGACACAGGAGGGUAGGUAGAGAAUACCUAGGGGCGCGAGACAACUCUCUCUAAGGAACUCGGCAAAAUAGCCCCGUAACUUCGGGAGAAGGGGUGCCCCCUCACAAAAGGGGGCCGCAGUGACCAGGCCCGGGCGACUGUUUACCAAAAACACAGGUCUCCGCAAAGUCGUAAGGGAAUCCAUCAAAAUAAUUCAAUAAGCUGUAGAAAAAAUUCCUGGAGGACCUUAUGAGAAUUUAGAAGUCCGACGCUUUAAGAAAGAAAAGAAUUCUGAAUGGAAUGAUUUUGAUUAUAAAUUUCUUGGUAAAAAACCUUCGCCCGGACUUUGUAUCGACUAAAGUAUAUACUUCGACUUUCAUGCGCUAGAACUUUAGCUCGUAAACAUAAAAGCACGGUGCGAACUUUUAUGCAACGAUUGGGGGUCGUCUCGGAGGAAAAGAAAUUGCACGCGCCGAAUCUAUUAAAAAGGGUAGACUUCCCCUCCAAACAAUUCGCGCUAAAAUUGAUUAUUGCUGCUAUCCAAUUCGGACUAUCUAUGGAGUAUUAGGGUGUUAAAGAUUAUAAAUUGACUUACUACACCCCAGAGUAUGAAACUAAGGAUACUGAUAUCUUGGCAGCAUUCCGAGUAAGUCCUCAGCCUGGGGUUCCGCCCGAAGAAGCAGGGGCUGCAGUAGCUGCCGAAUCUUCUACUGGUACAUGGACAACUGUUUGGACUGAUGGACUUACCAGUCUUGAUCGUUACAAAGGACGAUGCUAUCACAUCGAGCCUGUUGUUGGGGGGUUCUUCUCCUACCAGUAUCGAAUAGAACAUGCUGAACAAGAUCUUCUUCAUGGAAACCUGCUCGAUUUAGAUCGGGAAAAUCGUACAGAUUUUAUGAAACCAUGUGCGAUGGCUCAAAUCCAUAGUCAAUCCUACUUUCGAUAGGACCAGUUGACAAUUGAAUGGGAGCAGCCUAAACCGUGAAAACAGGGUUGUGGGAGAGCAAUACAAGCGUUGCGCUGCUAGGCGAAGCGGUUGAGUGCCGCACCCUAGAUGGCCGCUUAUGUAAUAGAGCCGAUCCACUAAGGGAUUAAGCAGCGGUGUAGUAUCAGAUCCCAAAGAUAGUAAGUUCUUUUUUCUUUCUUAUGGAAAAAAGUCCCUUGCAAAGGUAUCUCGGCGGGAUCAAAUAUAUGACGAGAUUGCCAGACAUUGUGAUCGUCCUUGAUCAGCAAAAAGUGUUUCGGAUAUAUUUACUUACAUUUGAUGGGUAUUUGCGUGUUCAUUUUCAAAAUUACAGUAGCACUAAAGAGAGUUCCUGCUUGAACAAAACGAAAGAUAUUAUCGAUAAAUAAAAGCACGUCUUGCUAAUUAACAUCUCGAAAAUAUUCCGCCAUAGUUAGGGCAGUCGUACUGUGCUUUCCAAAGAGCAACUCUUCUCAAAAUCUCAAAACAAAAGGUGCUGAGUUGGAAUUCGAACGAGCACUCGAAAAGAUUCUGGAGGAUCCUCAUGAUUAGGUUUUUUUCCCAGAUCGUAGCAUUAAGUAUUUCUUGGCACCAAAAUCCCCGGGUUCCGCGGGGUAAAUCCAUUAAAAAGGACAAAUUUUAGCAGAAGGUUUCGAGAACCUUUUAGAAGUUCUACCCAUAUGUGUUCUGAUCGCCAAUUCAUAUUAGAUAUACUAAAUCCAGAAGCGGUCGAUUGAAAUUGAGUCAAUCCAUAACAUCCCUUAUUCAAUCCAUAAUCAAGAAUAAUUAGGAUUUCUAAAAAAAAAGAAAAAAUAAAGGGUCCACUCAUAGGAAGAAACUUAAGGCCACUCUUCCUCCGGGCUUUCUUUCCGCACUAUUAUGGAUAGUUAAAUAAUGGGAAAAUUGGAUUCAAUUGUCAACUGGUCCUAUCGAAAGUAGGCUGCUCCAAGUAUAAUUUCCAGGCGUUCCGUAUACGAACCUCUUCAAACAGGGCUUAUUGCUAUCGAUUCGAUGAUCCCUAUAGGGCGUGGUCAGCGAGAGUUAAUUAUUGGGGACAGACAUACUGGCAAAACAGCUGGCGGACCUGCCGCGCAAGAUCUUUGGUCUUUCCCUGGAACCGAUAAAAAAAGUGGAUCGCUUCUUAUGUACUCGCCGUAGCACGAGGGCACCGGCCCAACGACCAGCAACCCAUGAAGAGACUAGGUCCAUAAACGAGGGUGGGAAACAAACGAAAUCACCACCACCGUUGUCGGCGUACCCGCAGGCAACUCCUAACCUCCACCGCCCGACAUCUGAUAGCACGACCAGACCACAGCACCUCUACGGAGGUAGAACGAUGCCUGCCGGAAGGAGUAUUUUCAUUUGCUUCCGGCUGGAGUGGCCGACUACUACGAGCGACCUGCCGCAUGCGUGCUCGUGCGUCGCAUGAUAAAGACGGCGAGGAGUCGUCCUCGGAGUAGUAAACUUUGCCGCUAAAUACACUUGGAUGGAACGUCAACACAUCCAAAGAGAAUAUCCGAUGUACUUUACAGCAGUUAGCUUGAGUGGGGCAAAAGACAUGAACGAUGGUGAAUUUGAACCGCUUCCUUUCUGCGAUCGACAGGUAGUACUAAAAAUCACGAAAAAAGACGACCGCUGGACGCAUCGGUCCAACGGGAGUCAAUAAAAUCACCAAAUCUUAAAGUCAGCUGAAGUAGAAGAAACAGGGCAAGCUGGCAUGGGGACUAUCAUACGGGACUGCCGUGGCGCCGAAUUUCCUUGCCUUGACGGACCUUUUUCUCUUCUUUUUUCACAAUGUCGGGAGAGAGAGUGUAAUUUUAACAGGUGCAGGUAAUUGCUCCGGCACAUCAUUCAUGACAUCAACGUGACGGCAUGCGGAAUCACAUGUUUAGAGCAUCUACAGCCGGACUUCCUAAACCCUCUUCGAACGCUCGGGCGGUCUGCCCCAUCACUGACCGGUCACGAUUUUUUGACCCGGACGGACGGCUCAAACGGGCCUCAAACGCUCAGGCUGACCGGCACCCCUCAUAUCCAGCCCAAGUAAGAGGCGGAUACGGGGGCGCCCGGGCACUUCCGUCACGUCGGACCUGGCCCAUGCUAGCCCACCCGACCCCACAUAUAUGCCUCUCCAUCCGCUCACCGGACCAAACCCUACCCACUUCACUUCACUCCCCUCCGCCACUCGAGCUCACCUCGACGGUUUUCGACCUUCUCCGGCAUGGCAGGCAGCGGAUAUGACUCCGACGCGUCUGAAUCCGUCUACUGGGGUGUCAUUCCGUGCAGGUUGAAGGAGAGGAUAAGGGGCGCCGCGACUCCAUAGUGUCUGCUCAAUGGGCGAUCGGGUCCUCGGGGGGUGGAUCCUCGAGGUCUAGGCAGCCGGAAGCCCUCUCCUUCCGCAUCACCGGGCGGGCAGACUAUGAGUCCCACCGGGAAUGGGCGGCCCGCCGUGGAAGGAGAGGAUAAGGGCCGCCGAGGCCCGUAUCGCGGCGGAAAUGGCAGCGGCGGAGGCGGCUGAUGCGGCGGCACGGGCGGCCACAGAGGAGGAAGCCAUUCGUGUCGGUAUUGGAAGAAAUAGCAGCGGAGGAACACACGCGCCCUCGCCUGAGAGCAGAAUCAGGCGGUCUGUGCCAUGACCGGACUGCCACCAAAGGAGGACAGCGACAGCGAGGACAGCUCUGGCGACGAGCAAAUUCGGCUCGACCCGUACUGCGUCUUGGACCGGUACUUCCGCGAGAAGGACGGCAAGGGCGCCGGGAAGGACAAGGGCAUCCGUGGAUGAACUCCACCAUAGCCAAGCAUGCCAAAUUUUGGUAGACCGAUGGCAUGUUUAGUUAGUAGUGAUGGAGUAGCCGGACAAUGUGUGUGCAUUGACGUAGUUGUACGAGUUUGUAUGGAUUUGAGAUAUGAUAAUUGAGGUGUUCGGAUAUGGAUUGCAUUAUUUAAGAGGUGCCCGGUCAGUGCCAGCGAACGCGCGGCCGGAUUUGCCCAUCACGGCUGUAGAUGCUCUUGGGACGAUAUGUUGAGCGUGCGUGCCAUAUGGUUCACCGUUUUAAAAUUGCAAAAAAGAAUUACUUGCAUGCUGCCUUCUCCUAGGCUAGCUCGCAGUGCUCGAUCGGCGACCACCCGCUGUCGCUGCUUUCCUACCGACGUCACGUUAGUGGAUCAGGAUCGAGUCAUCGGGCACUCCGACCAGCCAUGCACGCAUGCUGCAUGCAACUGGUGCAAUGAAACGGCGGGCUCGCGCCGUGCAGCUCCUCACGUACGAGUACGUGGAUGCAACGAAUGGACUUGGACUCGACUUCCGGGGAGAGACGGCCGGCGACCGGCGACGUGGCUACUUCCGGUCGGCUGAUUGACUAUAUCCAGUCCAGCAGCGUCCGCUCCAAGUUGAAGCACCACGGCGUCGACUCGAGUCGACUGGGCACGUGUGUUGCGUGGUCACUCCUCUGGACUGGAGCGGCCGACGUGCGACUUUCUUGCAACUUCCAAGUGUCACUCCGCGGCGCGCGUUUAAACACGUACGGCGUGGACUCGUGGUCGAUCGGAACGGAGUACGUGGUAAACUUCGCUACCACUACGUAUAUAUUCUCCUAAGCAAACUUGGCUGCUAAGCAUAUACAACUACGUAUACAAAGGAACAUCAACACGUCCACGUAGGAAAAACAUGCGUGGUGACUGGUCAGUACGUACUCCUUUACCACAAGUCUCUCGAACGGGCCAAGAAGAUGCAUGGACGGCGUGAUCGGUUCGAAUCCGUUACUGCUUUGUACGAUAUACCGCUUUUCAAGGAUACACUGCUUGCUACAUCGACAGGUCCUGAUAGGAGAAAUCGCGAAAAAAGCCGUCCGCUGGACAGAGUACGUACGUACAAUGACUUGGGAGUCUGCCGUCUACACUCAUCUUUUUUUUUUCGAAAAAAACUUUUAAUCUAUUCAUCUUCAAUCAUGGUAGUACAACGAACACUGGAAGUAAUAAAAAUUACAUCCAGACCCGUAGACCAUCUAGCGACGACUACAAGCACUGAAGCGAGCCGAAGGCGCGCCGCUGUCAUCGCCCCUCCCUCGCCGGAGCCGGGCAAACCUUGUUGUAGUAGACAGUCGGGAAGUCGUCGUGCUAAGGCCCCGUAGAACCAACGCACCAGAACAGCAACCGUCGCGGAUGAAGAGUGUAGAUCAAAAAGAUCCAACCUGAAAACACACGAACGGAGACGAACGACGAACAGAUCCGAGCAAAUCCACCAAAGACAGAUCCGCCGGAGACACAGCUCCACACGCCCACCAACAAUGCAAGACGCAUCACUGGAACGGGGGCUAGGCGGGGAGACCUUUAUUCCAUCUUCAGAGAGCCGCCACCGUCUCGCCUUCCUGAGCAGGACACAAACCCUAACAAAGCUCCAAAAAAGAUCUAAAAACGGAGCCCUCCCACCUGCAAGGGCCGAGAUCCACUCCGCCUCCAUGGCCAUAGGGCCACCGGAGACGGGAUGGACCGGCGCCGGCGCCGGUGGGAGGCAGAAAGCUAGGGUUUUUGGAGGCGGCGGCUAGGUGUGCGUCCUACUUUGGUUUGUUAUUUUAGUUUAAAGUUAGUUGGUUAAAAAAAGCACGAGCUGUGCUGAGAUCGUCUGCACCCAUCUUGCCUCUAUUGGUCAAGUCGCUUGCACGGGGCGGAGAUCCUGUGUUUAGUUUGUGUCCAAGAUUGCCCCACCAAAGCAUUGGCUAGCCAAAAUUUUGGUUGAGGUUUUUGUUGCUCAUGAUUUGAAUAACAUUAGCAAGAAAAAUUUGUUGAGUAGAGUUUAUUCGCAUGUCAAAAAAUUGACAACCAUUCAAACAAAGAUCAAUCUUUGAGUCAGAGUAAAUUGUAGAAAACCAUCAGUUUAAAGGCUAGGUUUGCAGAAAACACUACAAUACAUUUUUUUUCUUCAAAAAACACUACGUCUUCAGUAAUCUUUUUGCAAAAACCACUGAUCGACGGAUCUGGCUCUGUUAAGCGUGUUUAUGACAGAUGGGGCCCAUUUUCUGCUUACAUGGCGUAACUUUUUGUGCUAGAUGGGGUUUAAUCUAAAAUUACAAACUAGACCCUCAAAUUUUACACAGCCACCCCCAAAUAAAUAAAAAUAAAAAAUGCAAUUGACCACCACCGGAGCUCGUGCAAAUUGGCCUUAUCCCCCGCCCUCGACCUCAUGUUGACCACGGCCGAUCAGCUAUCCCCCACCACCUCAUGUCGUCCUUCUCCUCCCCAAUGCUCCUCCGUGGUGGAACUGCUCCUCCCCGACGAGGAUCUGGAUCGGGGGGCCCUCGUCCUCCUCUGUGGUGGACGUCGUCGUCCUGCCGCCGUGGUCCCGGCCGCGGAACUUUGUGCCGGCGUCGGAGAAGCUGUCCCCUCUGCAUCACUGGAGUGAUCCCGCCUGCUAUGUUCGGCAGCGUGCACAUCCGCGUCGGCGCGAACGCCCACGGCCGCUGCCCAGCUCCGUCGACCAUGGCCAUCGGCGAGAAGGCGGCGUGGGGCUCGCCCGUCUGGCUCCGGCCUCAGGCUCUAAAUCGAGGAUGAUGGCGGCAGCUCAAUCCAGACCGAGGACGGCGGUGGCGAGGCGGAGAAGAGGACAUGGGGCGGAGGCGGGGCGGCCCAGAGCGGUGGCGGGACGGACAAGUCGACAAGGGGUGGCAGCGGCAUGAUCCAGAUCGAUGCUCGCGGUAGGAGUGGCGGUGGCUCGAUCCAAAGAUGGAGCGGGGCCGGCGAAGAUGGGGAAUAGGGGAAGGGCGGACGCUGUAGCCCCAGACGCUCACCACGUCGAGCUGGCCAGGGCAUUCCCGCCAGAUCCGGUGCCCUGCGGGGACGGUGGAGGCCGAUGUGACCGGAUCCGGUUGGGGGCAUGACGACGGCGGCCCGGGGAUGGAGGGGCGGCGCUGAGCUCGUGUGCACGCUUGCCGGCUGCGGCAUGAUUAGAGGGCCUAGGAAGCNNNNNNNNNNNNNNNNNNNNNNNNNNNNNNNNNNNNNNNNNNNNNNNNNNNNNNNNNNNNNNNNNNNNNNNNNNNNNNNNNNNNNNNNNNNNNNNNNNNNNNNNNNNNNNNNNNNNNNNNNNNNNNNNNNNNNNNNNNNNNNNNNNNNNNNNNNNNNNNNNNNNNNNNNNNNNNNNNNNNNNGGGGCUUUUUGCAUUAAACCUAAACCGUUAAUGCCACGUAAGCAGAAAAUGGGCCCAUCUGUCAUAAACACGCUUAACAGAGCCAGAUCCGCCGAUAAGUGGUUUUUACAAAAAGAUUACACAAGACGUGGUGUUUUUUGAAAAAAAAAAUAUGUAAAGUUGUGUUUUCUGCAAACCUAGCCUUCAAAGUGAUGGUUUCAUGCAAUUUACUCCUUUGAGUCAUGAACAAAAUUUUAAUAAGAUACACUUUGACCACAAUCCAAACACACCCCUAAACUUCUCCCGGGACUUGCAGUAAUUUUCAACGCGAGGGAAUCAAACAGCAGAAGAUCGAGAGAGAGGAGAAAGAGACGCGCAAACCACUGGGCACCACCGACGUUCGUACGUAUCGUAACGUAACGUAGGCCUUAUGCCCUUAACAUCACUCACUGUUCAUUCAUCAAACGCAUGCCUCAGCUAGCCAUCAUCAAGGCUAGAUAAACUCUUUUUUGCCAGCUCUCCAAGACUCCAACCAAGCACUAAGAUGUAGUGGAGUAGUAAUUUUUCAUUCUAGCUAUGCAACCAUUCCACUCCGAUCAGUCAUGAGAUUCUGUUCUACUCUGUCUCCCUAGCCCCUACCAAAGCGCACCACGUAUCUACAACAAGACGGAGCCAAGCGGUGCAGACCACGACCACGGAGUGCAAACGCUGCGCACCAUGCAUUACCGCGGAACACACACCCCAGACCCAGAUCCAGAACCAGAGGUGGCAAGCAAAGCAAGCGUGUGAAAUGGAUCAGACCAGGCCACCAACCGUGUCGGACUCUCGGUCACCACGUAAGACGGACAUGGACUUGACUUGCCGGAGAGCGACGGCCGGCGACCGACGACGUGGCGACGACCUCGAUCCAUCGAUCACAUGGAUGACCAGGAUGGGUGCACGAAUGUCGGGAUAUGCCCUGCCCAGGAAACCGAUCGAGUGGUCAGGGCAACUCCAAUUCAACAUCCAAAUGGUCCGGCCGCGUCUGUUUAAAGUAAAUGCACAGAAAAAACGGCACAACGCGCGGGAGCAAAUCGAUCAACGUCCGUUUUUUAUCCGCUUUUGAUUCAUUUCUGGUCCAAAUUUCGGCGGCGUUUGCGUCGAAACGGAUACGCGCGGACGGACACGACGUGUGCCAUGUCCUCCCCUGGCCCGUCAGUCGGGGACCCAUGCGCCCAUUUUUCUAUUCCAUCCGCCAGUCGAGCCGCACCCCGCUUCACUCCCCUCACGUCCCUAGGCGCCAUCACCGCCAUUUUUCUCGGCCGCGUCGCUGUCCAGCACAGCCGCGCGCCCGCCCCUACCCUUGUCGCGUCCCCCGUGUUCUCGACACUCCUAGCUGUCCAACCCCGGUCGUAUGAUCUCAGCGCAUUCGGUCGCCGGAUUUGGAGCGGAUCCAGCCGGACUUGAGCGUACCCGGCUGCCGGAGACCGCGCCGUGCCAUGGACUGGCCAUGUACCGAACUGCACAGCCCCCGCAACACCCCAGGCCGCAUGUAGAUAUUGACUCCGCCUAUAAACGCUCGAAUCUACCCUGUCGUCGGUUCGCCGGCAAAUACACCAACGAUUGUCACCCAGACUCGGUGCUGGCCCAAAGGCUCGUCGACGCACCGUUGCCACUUAUAAAAUGCGACGAUUGUCCACGAAAGGUCGUACGCCGCGCGUCUACAACGCCGGAACAUCAUGGAUGGGUGUUCGUCAAGUGCAUAAACGAUGGGGUGUGUGCUAUUUUAGCUUCGGUUGUGCUACCGGAUUGGGGGCAUUUUGGAUGGCUCUUUGCUUAUACUCAAACUUUUUGUGAGGAUGGAUCCAACUUUUGGUAUUGGGAAGAAGAAUACAUCGAUCUAUUCAAAGAACGCAAUUUGAUAGAUGUUUGUGCACCUGUUGCUAGAAUAGAAGUUAGAAAUGAGACUAGAUGCGAAGAAGCAAUGUCUACUUCUUUAGAAUCGAAGAAGGAAGAAGUAUGCAAGAUCGAGAAUCCGUAGAUCAACAAUGAAGGCAUCGAAAGGAUAGUAAUCCAACUUCUGGGAGCAGUUACGAAAGUUGGACAUCUUUUAAAAUGUUUGCUUGUGGUUCUUGUUUUUUUUGUCUUGCUAUUCUAGCCAAGCUUUGGUGAAUGUACUCCAAUGUAACAAAAAAUCAUUGAUGGAAUAAUAUAGGAAAUGAGGCGGAAAAAAUGUAUGCAGACAUGAUGCGGCAAAAAUGAGACCACGCAUUGAGCGCAGAGCCGGUGCAUCGACAAAUCUGAAUGGACACUGCCACAUUGCCAUUCUCAAACGGACGAAAUUCAGACAAAACAGACGCCCGUUUAGGGUCGUGCCUUUGGAAUUGCCCUCAGGGCAAGCUUCUCACUUGUCACGUCGCGGUUUUGAUACUUUUUACCGCUGGAGGGAGCCGACCUGGACAUGUGUGGCCGGCGUUUGGAGAUGUGUAGAUGACCAUCGAGGACUCGUAAUCGAAGUACAGGACGGUGAUGAAUCCAAUCCGUUACCGAGAAGUACUUCGGUACAACCAUCCCCCAAUUAACGUAGAAGGGAUAGUAUUGUCCAUAUUAAAUUUCGUAUUUGCGUACCCGUCGUCCGUCGUAGGCCGUCCGCCCGUGUACGUCCCGCCCCGUACGCCCGCGUCGUACGCAUACCGUGGCGUUCGUUAGUUCGAUCGGGAAAGGAAAAAAAACGACACCCCAUCCCCGCCUACGAAACCCUAGCGGCAUCAACGCCGCCGUGGUCCACCGCCGUCAGGACGUCGGGCGGCGUCCGUAGUCACCCACGCGGCGUGUCGCCGGUGUCGCGUGAAACCGACACCCCAUCCCCGCCUAGGAAACCCUAGUGGCAUCAACGCCGCCGUGGUCCACCGCAGUCACGACGUCGACCCCGACGUGCCCGUCUAGUCGCGAGCACGGGCGGCGUCCGCAGUCACGCACGCGUCGUGUCGCCGGUGAAACGCCCAGCGCUCCCGCGUCAACUCCUGGUACGCGCCCUCCACGACGUGGGUAGCGGCAUCGGAUCGGCGUCGACCCCAGGCGAGGACCCCUCGACGGUGGAGAGUAGGUUCUCUGGCUCUCUUUUUUUCUUUUUGAUUUGUUCAUUGCAUUUUUUAUGCCACAAAAUGAUACCCUACUUGGCUAAAUAAGAGAGGAGAGUAGUGGCCUCUUAAUGACCUCUUAAUGAUUUUGUACAUUCAAAUUUGUAUGCAUGACACAUAGUCAUGUCACUGUUGAUGAAUUUACUGUAUUCGCGAUGAUGUUGUGGAAUGUUGGCAUUGAUCUCACACCUUAUUUGUAUGUGUAUAGAUGGAUCAAGAAACCGGAUACGCCAGUGAUGAUUCUGGUAGCGAUAAUGGAUCAUCGUCAUUGAAUGCGAACCAACCUCCCGGAGACAACUAUAUGAGUCAGGAUGAAUCGUACAGUGGUAAUGUAAGUGCCUUGAAUGUUGACCAAAACAUAUUGAAUACAAACUAGUUCUUUGACACUUACAUGUCCUUUUAAAUUUGUACAGCUACAUGGUAAUGAUGACGAUGAGGAAUAUGAUAUAGAUGAACAAUUUUAUGCAGAUGGUGUGAGCCAGGUACGUUGAAAAAAAUGUAGGGCAAUGAUUGACAUUAAAAUUGUAUUACCACUUAUUUUACUUUAAAUGUGCACAGAUAAAUGCUCAUGGUGACAAUAAGCAUAAUAAUAUAGAUGAUGACAAUGCCGAGAGCGAGGUCGAUGCAUCUUGUAGUGGGAGCGCUAGCCAAGUAAGUUCUUUACAUUAUUUAUGGUAAGUAAUAAUACAAGAACAGAUUGACAUGCAAGGUUAUAUGUCAUAUUUUGCAGGGAGGUGUUGAUGGUCCUAGCGGGAACGAUGAGCACAGCGAUGAUGAUCAGUUUGACCUUGACAUGGGUUAUGAUGAAUAUCAGCAAGAGUCACUUGAUAGGUAUUGGGAAGUGAUGGCAAAGACAUUCAGGUCAUUAGAUGAGGUGUACAUGUUCUACAACAAGCACGCGAGAGAACGUGGGUUCAGCAUCAGGAAGGACUCGCUAAAACGUUCAAAGGAUCGCGCAAGGACUGUGCGCUUGAGGAGGUAUCUCUGUUCCGCCGCAGGAAAACGACAGGCCAAGUUCUGUACCAUGGAAGGCCGGACCCGCAGGCUUAGACCGGAGAGUCGAUUCUUCUACAAAGCCCAUUUGACAGUUAAGCUUGAUAAAAAGCUUAAUCUUUGGUAUGUCAGCAGUUUCUCCGAUGAUCACAGCCACAUUCUUGCACGACCGGACGAAGUCCCUUUCCUCCGAUCUCAUAAUCAGAUCAAAGCAUUUGAGAGAGCAGAGAUCUUAGCUAUGGCAGGAGCUGGGAUAAGAAAACAUAUUAUUUUUGACAACAUGGUUAGCAGGUAUGGGUCGCAUGCAAAGUCACCGUUUCAGAGGACAAAGCCGUAUAACAUGUGCUAUAGGGAGAAGAUGAAAUUGCUUGCACAAGGUGAUGCUGAUACUGCCAUAGGAAUCAUGUUGACUAGAAAGGACAGAGAUCCAGAUUUCUUCUUUGAGCACACAGUUGACGCUGAAGGCAGGCUCCAAAACCUGUUCUGGUGUGAUUCGCAGUCACGCCGUGAUUAUCUUGACUACGGUGAUGUUGUCGUCUUCGACAGCACAUAUAAGAUGAACAGGUAUGGAAUGACGUUCAUCCCUUUUGUGGGUCUGAAUAACCACCGUUGCACUACGGUAUUCGCCUGCGCCAUUGUUUCAGACGAGACUGAGGCUACAUAUGUUUGGUUGCUUAACACGUUCUUGAAAGCUAACUGUCAGAAGAGGCCCAAAUCUGUAAUUACCGAUCGAGAUGCAGCGAUGAUAAGGGCUAUCAGGAAGGUGCUUUCUGACGUGUGGCAUCGUCUAUGUAACAUCCCAAAUUUUCAAUUUGGAAUGUUAUACAUUAGAUCAUCAUUGCAUAGCAUAUUUUAUUGCAUUUUGGCAAAUCUUCGAAAAUCCUAAGCAACUCAAGGACCCUCGGAGAGAGUUGGGGAUUUUUCCCGGUUUUCAUAUUUGAUUUUUAUCAAAUAAUAAAACGAGGAUUUUUGGUUUUAAUUAUUUUUCUCUCCGAAAAAUAUUUCAUAUUAAAUAAAUGAGAGGAGAAAAUAUGACUUCUUCAAAAUAAUUGAAAUAUUGGAGGAAAAAUAUUAAAAUCAAAUAUUUGAUUUUAUUCGGAUUUUAUUGGCAAUUUUAAUUGCAUUAGAAAAAUUGCAUGUUUUCAAAACUGCAUUUUUGGGCCAAGAAAAUGUUCAUCUCGUUCUAAUUAUUUUAAUUAGACGGUGAAAAUUUGUUUUGGCAUUUUUGAAUUUUUAUUUAUUUUUCUAUGAUUUUUUUUAGAUUCGGCGGAAUAUUUAAAAAAAAUCGCCCGAGCGCCGACUGGGCCGAAGCCCAGCCGACGGCCUAGCUCCCCGCGCGGCCCAGCCGCGAGUCGUCUCCCACCUGGAGACGGAGCCGCCGCCCGACUCCCGCACGGCCACGACGCCGCCGCCGUCGCCCCUUCCCCAAGGCAACCCCCUCCCCCUUCUUAUAUACUCCCCCCCGUCCCUCUCCUCACCCCGCCGCCCCGNNNNNNNNNNNNNNNNNNNNNNNNNNNNNNNNNNNNNNNNNNNNNNNNNNNNNNNNNNNNNNNNNNNNNNNNNNNNNNNNNNNNNNNNNNNNNNNNNNNNNNNNNNNNNNNNNNNNNNNNNNNNNNNNNNNNNNNNNNNNNNNNNNNNNNNNNNNNNNNNNNNNNNNNNNNNNNNNNNNNNNNNNNNNNNNNNNNNNNNNNNNNNNNNNNNNNNNNNNNNNNNNNNNNNNNNNNNNNNNNNNNNNNNNNNNNNNNNNNNNNNNNNNNNNNNNNNNNNNNNNNNNNNNNNNNNNNNNNNNNNNNNNNNNNNNNNNNNNNNNNNNNNNNNNNNNNNNNNNNNNNNNNNNNNNNNNNNNNNNNNNNNNNNNNNNNNNNNNNNNNNNNNNNNNNNNNNNNNNNNNNNNNNNNNNNNNNNNNNNNNNNNNNNNNNNNNNNNNNNNNNNNNNNNNNNNNNNNNNNNNNNNNNNNNNNNNNNNNNNNNNNNNNNNNNNNNNNNNNNNNNNNNNNNCGCCGCCCCUCGCCGCACCCCCGAGCCCCGCCGGAGUUGCCCCGACGAGGUAGCCGAGCCGCCGCCGCCGAGCCGGGUUUUUUUCAAAAAAACCGUUCGGUUUAUUUUUUUCGAAACCCUAGUUUUUUUUAAAUAGAUCGGUUUAUUUUUUUCGGUUUAGUUAAUUAGCGAACGUUCACCGAUCCGUUCGUUUUAACGAACGUGUUCGUCGGUUUGUCGCAACUAACGAACGUCCGUUCGUUUAACUGUUCGUCAGUUUUCUUUUUCGUCGGUUUUUCCGCGAUUAUUCCAGAUCGCGAUUUCUGAUCAGAUUUUCGUUCUGGUUUAUCUUUUCGCUCGUUUAUCGGAAUCAGGCGAUUCAAGCGCCUAGAGUUUCGUCUCGAAAUUCUCUUUCCGUUUAACCUACUCAAACAAGUUUUUGCUACUGUAAAAUUUGACCUAGAUCCAGAUUAGUAAACGAAGCUUGUUUCUUUCGCCAUUUGACUUUCGUUGCUUCGUUCGAUUUGUUUCUUUUUGCAAACCGGAGUUCUUAAGUUGAACUUUCUGGUUAGAUCUUUUAUUUGAGUUUUACCUGUGCAUUUGAUGAGUGCUUAUUGUAUGCUUGUUUGUUUGCGAUAGAGUACCCGGAGUGCGCCGCUUGCUACUUCGAAUCUCUAAGUUUCACGGAUCAUCAGCAAGGCAAGUAACACUUUGAUCAUACCUCUUUACUACCCAGUUUUAUUGCAUUAGAUCAACCCUCAAACAUUGCAUGGUUAGGAUCUAAUUAAAUUAUGGGUAUUGGGAAGUAGUUGAGGUAGUACCUAUUACAUGUUUUAUUAUCAAACCCUUGGGAGUUACUUCUACGUUUGCUUAUAUUGCUAUGCUAUGCUUGUAGACGUGGAUUGGGUUUGAGUGUAUCCAUGACAGAUGUGAGACUGUUAAUAUAUGGUUAAACUUAAGGUGGCAACUAAAACUCACAUCUGUGUGGAUUGAGGUACCUGGGUAUUCCAGGAUUGCCUGUUUUUCUAAGGACCGCCACCCAGGCUCAAAGGGAUCAUGAGAUUAUUCAUGCUAGAAACUUCCGUGUGCAGCCACAAGCUAUUAUGGGCUCUAGCAUAGUUGAUUAAGUUGUGUGAGCUCUUGAAGAGGUAGACUAGCAGAUGUAGGGGUUGUAGGUGGUACUGUCUACCCGGAGUAGAGAGUUAACGCUUCUGAAAGACUGUGUCUCGGUCAUCCGUUUCUCAAACAUCAUGUAGUGCGAGAACCAAGCAGAGGCGAUCGAGUCUUGUGGGGAAAAGUGCACAAACCUCUGCAGAGUGUACAAUCUAAUCAUAGUUAGCCGUGUCCCCGGUUAUGGACAUCUUGAGUAUCUAGUACUUGGAUUAUCAUGUGAAUCUCAUCAUCAUGUUACUUUAAUUAAUUUUGUUGGGUUAAUGAUGAUACUUAAUUGGGAUUGAGAAUGCUGUCAACCAUUCUCAAUGUUUAAUAACCACCAUGAUAGUUAAAUAAAAUUUAUUCCUUUGCAGUAGGGAAAAAUUGGCUUUUCGCGAAACUGUAACCAUAGAGCCUUCUACCAGCCAUAUAUGCAUGUAGUAUAGCAUUAUUAUGUUCAUUACUCUCUAUGUGUUACAUUGCCAGCAUAUUCCAUAUGCUGACCCGUUUCGGGCUGCAACGUUUCAUGUUGCAGACUUUUCAUACGACGAGUAAGGUGCCUUAGGUCGUGGUCUUAUACUCAGUGAUGCCGUUGGAGUUGAUGGACUCACUUAUCUUCCAAGUCUUCCGCUGUUAUCGUAUUUAGAUGGCCUUAAGCCAUAUUUAUCAUACUUAUUCUCUUUUAAGAUACUCAUUGUAAUAAGUGUGUGAUUGCUAGUCUGUUAUAAAUCCUCCAUUUGUACUGUGCGUGUCAGCAUUACUGAUCCAGGGAUGACACUGGUGCACAGCAGCACAGACUGUUUGAGGUCUGGUCGCUACAAAGGUGGUAUCAGAGCACACGCUGACUGUAGGACACGACCACUAAGCUUAAACCCUAGAACACUACUCUCUUCUCAUUUCUGACUCCUCUCCACUUUCUACUCUUUUAGGAAUGGCGGAUGCAAGGAACAAGUUCAUGCAACCGGAUGAAGAGACACCUUUUGGACGACACUUGAAGGAAGUCACUAAGUACCUGAACAUCGGAAUACCAAGCUUCACCGGAACCUACAACGCCAUACUACCAGAAGAGGAGCGCUGGAAGAUUCAAGUUCAAGUUCCAGGAAGGACGUUCACGCCAGUCACUGAGCCUAUAGAGUUUUCCUUUGAUGCACCAACCUGGAGUUUAGGGAAGAGCAUGGCAGCCCACAUCUCUAUGGGACGCAUUGGAGAAGUCUACCACAAGGAGCUUAAGGAUACUAUUUAUUAGAUUUUUGGACGCCGAGAUGACCAAUGGGAGAUGAUCAGCACCAAGAAGGAUGGAUCAAUUGUAGCUUUCAUCCAGGAGCAAAACCAACACAUUCGUCGCCAGGAGAACCAGAUGUGCGCAGACAUGAUAGAACUGAAGAAGGCAUUGACCAAGAUCACGGAGUUGGAGGAAGAACUCAAGGCUACACGCAAGGAUUAUAUGGAAUAAAUCGUCGCACUAGUGAGGAAGAACGGCGACCUGACACAGAAGAUCGGAGUUUUCAUGGGAGACCCAGCUCCAGGAGAAGAAGAUGACGAUUCUACUUGCCCGAAUAACUACAUCAUCAUCGACGACACCGACUCAGACCCCAGUGAAGAUGAUUUUGUUGAUGAAGCUGGAGCAGAUAUCAUGGAGUCUUCGACUGAUCAAAAUUUCUAGUAGACCACCAUAUCAGUAGUAGUAUUUCUCCAUGUAAAUAGUAUAGUCCGAGCACUUUUGUAACGAUAGUUAGAUCGAUUGUUAGCCUUGUUUGAAUUGAUUGAGUGAUAUUGAUUGUGUUUGUCUCAUGAGCAUAUGGGUAGUGUUUCCUCUCUAGACCUCAUUCUAUUCUAAAUUCUGAUCUUUUCUAAACCUAUCAGAUGCCUCCGAGACGCGACACCGGAUUUGUUUUCCCACCGGAGAUCACUCAGUUGAUUCAGCAGCAGAAUGCCCUGAUGCAAGUGUUAGUACAGAACCAAGGCAACAACAACAACAACAACAACAACCCACCACCACCACCUGUUGAUCACUUAGCCCGUUUCUUGAGGCUAAAUCCGCCAGUGUUUUCCAGCAGCACCGAGCCGAUUGUUGCCGAUGAUUGGCUCCGCAAAGUUGGAAGGGAGUUGACCACUGCAGGAUGCACAGAUGCGGAGAGAGUGGGUUUUGCCGCACAUCAGCUUGAUGGACCCGCAGCAUCAUGGUGGGAGAAUUACACAGCCACACACCCUAUUGACACUGUCGCAUGGGACCAGUUUUAGCAAGCUUUCCGUACUGCCCAUGUUUCAGCAGGAGCUAUGGCUAUGAAGAAGCGUGAGUUUCGCAACCUAAGCCAAGGAGGACGCACCGUAGGCCAGUAUGUGGAGGACUUUAGUAAGUUAGCACGUUAUGCUCCAGAUGACGUUGCUACAGAUGCAGCCAAGCAGGAGAAGUUUCUGGAAGGACUGAAUGAUGAGCUGAGCAUGCAGCUGAUGGUAGCAACCUUCAACAACUACCAGGAGUUGGUAGAUAGAGCACUCAUGAUUGAAGGGAAGCAACAGCAGAUUGAAAACCGUAAGAGGAAGUAUGGACAAGGGAAGUACAAUUCUGGAGCUCAGUAGAAGCCACGUUUUACCCCGAAAUCGGGAGGACAGUUUCAGCAUACCCAUGGAGAAGGUAGUUCGCACAACCAUAGUGGACCCAAGAAUGGUAAUGGGAAUGGAGGAAGCAACGGGCAGAACCGUAAUAACCCAUCUACCCCAGCCAAGAGAGAUCUAAGUCACGUUACUUGUUACAAGUGCCAGAAGACUGGACAUUAUGCAACUGAAUGCCCUGAAGCCCAGAAUGGAAAUGGAAAUGGAAGCUCUGGGAAGAAGCCGAACCCUUUCAACAAAGGACAUGUGAACCACGUUAGCGUGGAGGAGGUAGAAGCUCAGCCAGAUGUAGUAAUAGGUAAGUUUUGGGUUAAGUCAUUUACUGCACUCGUUCUUUUUGAUACUGGUGCAUCGCAUUCAUACAUAUCAAGGGGAUUUGUGGAUAAGUAUAAACUGCCAACCCAAGCCCUUAGGUCACCCAUGUUAGUAACCUCGCCAGGAGCAGAGUAUAUGGCUAGUUAAUGGUGUGAUCGGUUACCAUUAAGGAUUGGUAACUACGUGUUUCCCUCGGACCUAAUAGUACUGGAAUCGCAAGGAUUGGAUGUGAUAUUAGGCAUGGAUUGGUUAUCAAAGUAUGGAGGGAACAUUGAGUGCGCCAGUAAGGCGAUUUUGCUUACCACCCCAGAAGGAAGAAGGAUUAAGUAUGUAUCCCGGCAUAUGCCGAAGAGGACUCAGGUGAAUUCCUUAUCAGGAGUUGUACAGGAGGAAGUACCAGUGGUGAAGGAUUUCCCUGACGUAUUUCCAGAAGAGUUGCCAGGCAUGCCACCGAAUAGAGACAUUGAGUUUCUGAUUGAACUUUUGCCACGCACAGGACCAAUAUCUAAGAGACCGUACAGGAUGCCCGCCAAAGAUUUGGAGGAAAUUAAGAAGCAGAUGAAGGAGUUACUGGAUAAAGGCUAUAUUCGCCCAAGUUCGUCACCUUGGGGAUCACCCGUACUUCUAGUGGAGAAGAAAGAUGGAUCGUUGAGGAUGGUUGUUGAUUAUCGUGGAUUGAAUGAAGUGACCAUCAAAAAUAAGUACCCACUGCCGAUGAUCAAUGAUUUGUUUGACUGCUUACAAGGAGCUAAGGUAUUUUCUAAGAUCGAUCUACGAUCAGGAUACUAUCAGUUGAAGAUUCGAGAGCAGGAUAUACCUAAGACGGCUUUUACCACCAGGUAUGGGUUGUAUGAGUAUACCGUUAUGUCAUUUGGUCUGACUAACGCACCUGCCUAUUUCAUGAACCUGAUGAACAAAGUGUUUAUGGAGCUUUUGGAUAAGUUCGUCGUGGUGUUCAUUGAUGAUAUUUUGGUCUACUCAAAGAACGAAGAGGAGCAUAAGGAGCAUUUGCGUUUGGUACUUGAGAAGCUCAGAGAACAUCAGUUAUACGCCAAGUUCAGCAAAUGUGAGUUUUGGCUGGAGGAAGUUGGAUUCCUCGGACAUGUUAUAUCCGGAGAAGGAAUAACAGUAGACCCCGCCAAAGUUGACACAGUAACAAGCUGGGAAGCACCCACGUCAGUUGGAGAGAUCCGGAGUUUUCUUGGACUUGCUGGAUACUACCGGAGGUUCAUUGAGAAUUGCUCGAAGAUUGCUAAACCCAUGACAGAGCUGUUAAAGUAGGACACCAAGUUCAAUUGGACUGAGGAUUGUGAAGCUAGUUUUCAGGAGUUGAAGAAACGUUUGGUUACAUCACCAGUGUUGAUUCUGCCAGACCAACGCAAGGAUUAUGAAGUUUAUUGCGACGCUUCUCGUCGAGCACUUGGAGCAGUGCUUAUCCAGGAAGGAAGAGUUGUUUCAUAUGCUUCACGGCAACUUAAACCCCAUGAGAAGAAUUAUGCCACGCAUGAUCUGGAGUUAGCAACCGUAGUGCAUGCGUUGAAGACAUGGAUACAUUUUCUCAUCGGAAAUCACUGUGAGGUGUACACGGAUCACAAGAGUUUGAAAUACAUUUUCAUGCAAAAGGAGUUGAAUCUCAGGCAAAGGAGAUGGUUGGAACUCAUAAAGGAUUAUGAUAUGAGAUUGCAUUAUCACCCCGGAAAGGCUAACGUAGUAGCAGACGCGUUGAGCCGCAAGAGUCAUGUCAACACACUCAUGACCGGAGAGUUACCGAAAGUAUUAGCCGAGGAUCUUCGCGAGCUAUGUUUGGAGAUAGUACCGAGAGGUUACGUAGCAACGUUGGAGAUUCAGUCUACCUUGAUGGAAAAGAUCAGAGGAUCUCAGAAGACAGACAAGGAGAUUGACGAGAUAAAGGAAAGAAUGAGUAAAGGAAAAGCCAAGGGAUUUCGUGAGGAUGAGCACGAUACCUUAUGGUUUGAGGACCGCGUUUAUGUGCCUAAUGAUCCGGAGAUCAGGAAGUUGAUCUUGCAAGAGGCCCAUGAUUCACCGUAUUCGAUUCACCCAGGAAAUACCAAGAUGUAUUUGGAUUUGAAGGAUACUUUCUAGUGGACCGGAAUGAAGAAGGAUAGCGGAGUAUGUAGCAGUUUGUGAUGUAUGUCAGAGAGUAAAGGCAGAGCAUCAGAAGCCAGCAGGAUUGCUACAGCCAUUGCCGAUACCCGAAUGGAAGUGGGAUAAACUAGGCAUGGAUUUUAUCACGGGAUUGCCCAGGACUCGUUCAGGCUAUGACUCAAUAUGGGUUGUAGUCGAUCGUUUGACGAAAGUAGCUUAUUUCAUCCCAGUGAAGACCACUUACACCAGUGCUAAGUUGGCAAAGAUAUACAUGACCAGAAUCGUAUGUUUGCAUGGAGUUCCGAGGACCAUUGUAUCAGAUAGAGGAACCUAGUUUACCUCGAAGUUUUGGAAUCAGUUACAUGAAACUUUGGGAACCAGGCUAGAAUUCAGUACAGCUUUUCACCCACAGACAGAUGGACAGACCGAGAGAGUCAAUCAGAUUUUGGAAGAUAUGCUGAGAGCUUGUGCGCUAGAUUAUGGAUCUAGUUGGGACGACAAUUUGCCAUAUGCAGAGUUUUCUUACAACAACAGUUAUCAAACCAGUUUGAAGAUGGCCCCUUUCGAAGCUUUGUACGGAAGGAGGUGUAGGACACCAUUGUUAUGGGACGAAGUUGGAGACCGCCAGUCGUUUGGACCAGACUUGAUUAAGGAAUCAGAACAGAAAGUGAAGUUGAUUCGCGAUAGGCUCAAGGUAGCCCAGUCCAGGAAGAAGAGUUAUGCGGAUUUUAAACGCAAGGAGACAGUUUACGAAGUCGGAGACAGAGUUUACCUACGAGUAUCACCACUUCGAGGAGUGAAGCGCUUUGGAGUUAAGGGAAAGUUAGCGCCACGUUUUGUAGGACCAUACAGAGUUUUGGAGCGUAUGGGAGAAGUUGCUUACAAGCUGGAAUUACCUGAAGGAUUGUCAGGAGUUCAUGAUGUAUUUCACGUUUCCCAGUUGAAGAAGUGCCACGCAGAGAUGGCUGAGAUACCACUGGGAGAUACAGUGCCACUGGAAGCGAUUCAGUUGGAAAGUGAUUUGACCUAUGAGGAGAAACCAGUUAAGAUUCUUGAGUAUGCCAGCCGAGUCACCCGCAGCAAGGUUAUCAAGUUCUGCAAAGUUCAGUGGAGUCACCACACUGAAGAUGAAGCCACCUGGGAGCGAGAGGAAGAUCUAUGAAAGAACCACUCUCACCUAUUUUCUAGCCAACCCGAAUCUCGAGGGCAAGAUUCAUCUUAAGGGGGUUGUUUGUAGCAUCCCAAAUUUUUAAUUUGGAAUGUUAUACAUUAGAUCAUCAUUGCAUAGCAUAUUUUAUUGCAUUUUGGCAAAUCCUCGAAAAUCCUAAGCAACUCAAGGACCCUCGGAGAGAGUUGGGGAUUUUUCCCGGUUUUCAUAUUUGAUUUUUAUCAAAUAAUAAAACGAGGAUUUUUGGUUUUAAUUAUUUUUCUCUCCGAAAAAUAUUUCAUAUUAAAUAAAUGAGAGGAGAAAAUAUGACUUCUCCAAAAUAAUUGAAAUAUUGGAGGAAAAAUAUUAAAAUCAAAUAUUUGAUUUUAUUCGGAUUUUAUUGGCAAUUUUAAUUGCAUUAGAAAAAUUGCAUGUUUUCAAAACUGCAUUUUUGGGCCAAGAAAAUGUUCAUCUCGUUCUAAUUAUUUUAAUUAGACGGUGAAAAUUUGUUUUGGCAUUUUUGAAUUUUUAUUUAUUUUUCUACGAUUUUUUUUAAAUUCGGCGGAAUAUUUAAAAAAAAAUCGCCCGAGCGCCGACCGGGCCGAAGCCCCGCCGACGGCCCAGCUCCCNNNNNNNNNNNNNNNNNNNNNNNNNNNNNNNNNNNNNNNNNNNNNNNNNNNNNNNNNNNNNNNNNNNNNNNNNNNNNNNNNNNNNNNNNNNNNNNNNNNNNNNNNNNNNNNNNNNNNNNNNNNNNNNNNNNNNNNNNNNNNNNNNNNNNNNNNNNNNNNNNNNNNNNNNNNNNNNNNNNNNNNNNNNNNNNNNNNNNNNNNNNNNNNNNNNNNNNNNNNNNNNNNNNNNNNNNNNNNNNNNNNNNNNNNNNNNNNNNNNNNNNNNNNNNNNNNNNNNNNNNNNNNNNNNNNNNNNNNNNNNNNNNNNNNNNNNNNNNNNNNNNNNNNNNNNNNNNNNNNNNNNNNNNNNNNNNNNNNNNNNNNNNNNNNNNNNNNNNNNNNNNNNNNNNNNNNNNNNNNNNNNNNNNNNNNNNNNNNNNNNNNNNNNNNNNNNNNNNNNNGUCGCCCCGAGCCCCGCCGCCCCUCGCCGCACCCCGAGCCCCGCCGGAGCCCGUCCCGAGCCCCGCCGGAGUUGCCCCGACGAGGUAGCCGAGCCGCCGCCGCCGAGCCGGUUUUUUUUGUUCGGUUUAUUUUUUUCGAAACCCUAGUUUUUUUAAAUAGAUCGGUUUAUUUUUUUGGUUUAGUUAAUUAGUGAACAUUCACCGAUCCAUUCGUUUUAACGAACGUGUUCGUCGGUUUGUCGCAGCUAACGAACGUCCUUUCGUUUAACUGUUCGUCGGUUUUUCCGCGAUUAUUCCAGAUCGCGAUUUCUGAUCAGAUUUUCGUUCUGGUUUAUCUUUUCGCUCGUUUAUCGGAAUCAGGCGAUUCAAGCGCCUAGAGUUUCGUCUCGAAAUUCUCUUCCCGUUUAACCUACUCAAACAAGUUUUUGCUACUGUAAAAUUUGACCUAGAUCCAGAUUAGUAAACGAAGCUUGUUUCUUUCGCCGUUUGACUUUCGUUGCUUCGUUCGAUUUGUUUCUUUUUGCAAACCGGAGUUCUUAAGUUGAACUUUCUGGUUAGAUCUUUUAUUUGAGUUUUACCUAUGCAUUUGAUGAGUGCUUAUUGUAUGCUUGUUUGUUUGCGAUAGAGUACCCGGAGUGCGCCGCUUGCUACUUCGAAUCUCUAAGUUUCACGGAUCAUCAGCAAGGCAACUAACACUUUGAUCAUACCUCUUUACUACCCAGUUUUAUUGCAUUAGAUUAACCCUCAAACAUUGCAUGGUUAGGAUCUAAUUAAAUUGUGGGUAUUGGGAAGUAGUUGAGGUAGUACCUAUUACCUGUUUUAUUAUCAAACCCUUGGGAGUUACUUCUACGUUUGCUUAUAUUGCUAUGUUAUGCUAGUAGACGUGGAUUGGGUUUGAGUGUAUCCAUGACAGAUGUGAGACUGUUAAUAUAUGGUUAAACUUAAGGUGGCAACUAAAACUCACAUCUGGGUGGACUGAGGUACCUGGGUAUUCCAGGAUUGCCUGUUUUUCUAAGGACCGCCACCCAGGCUCAAAGGGAUCAUAAGAUUAUUCAUGAUAGAAACUUCCGUGUGCAGCCACAAGCUAUUAUGGGCUCUAGCAUAGUUGAUUAAGUUGUGUGAGCUCUUGAAGAGGUAGACUAGUAGAUGUAGGGGUUGUAGGUGGUACUGUCUACCCGGAGUAGAGAGUUAACGCUUCUGAAAGACUGUGUCUCGGUCAUCCGUUUCUCAAACAUCAUGUAGUGCGAGAAUCAAGCGGAGGCGAUCGAGUCUUGUGGGGAAAAGUGCACAAACCUCUGCAGAGUGUACAAUCUAAUCAUGGUUAGCCGUGUCCCCGGUUAUGGACAUCUUGAGUAUCUAGUACUUGGAUUAUCAUAUGAAUCUCAUCAUCAUGUUACUUUAAUUAAUUUUGUUGGGUUAAUGAUGAUACUUAAUUGGGAUUGAGAAUGCUGUCAACCAUUCUCAAUGUUUAACAACCACCAUGAUAGUUAAAUAAAAUUUAUUCCUUUGCAGUAGGGAAAAAUUGGCUUUUCGCAAAACUGUAACCAUAGAGCCUUCUACCAGCCAUAUAUGCAUGUAGUAUAGCAUUAUUAUGUUCAUUACUCUCUCUGUGUUACAUUACCAGCAUAUUCCAUGUGCUGACCCGUUUCGGGCUGCAACCUUUCAUGUUGCAGACUUUUCAGACGACGAGUAAGGUGCCUUAGGUCGUGGUCUUAUACUCAGUGAUGCUGUUGGAGUUGAUGGACUCACUUAUCUUCCAAGUCUUCCGCUGUUAUCGUAUUUAGAUGGCCUUAAGCCAUAUUUAUCAUACUUAUUCUCUUUUGAGAUACUCGUUGUAAUAAGUGUGUGAUUGCUACUCUGUUAUAAAUCCUCCAUUUGUACUGUGCGUGUCAGCAUUACUGAUACAGGGAUGACACUGGUGCACAGCAGCACAGACUGUUUGAGGUCUGGUCGCUACAGUCUAUGUUCAUGGCAUAUUGAAAAGAAUAUGCAGAAACACCUCAACCACAAGUCAUUGAAGGAGUUCAGGGCAUUACUGUACUAUGCCACUACACAUAAAGUUUUUGAGGAGAGAUGGGCCGCGUUUGUGCGCAAAUGGCAGACGGAGAGAACGAAAACAUGGAUCCAUAGGAUGUACAGGAAGAGGACGCUUUGGGCUGCAUCAUAUUUGUCUGGUGGGUUUUUUCUUGGUAUGCGCAGUAAUCAGAGGAGUGAGAGUCUGAACUCCAGCCUGCACCUUCAUCUUGACUAUGGUAUGACGAUCAUUGACAUGAUUGUACACUACGAGAAUUGUAUUGUUCGCCUCCGUGAGAAUGAAGCUUAUGAUGACUACACGGCCUCACAGACUGUCCCAGUAACAGUGAUUGAGUGUACCUUUGAGUCGUAUGCUGCCAAAGCAUUCACGCAUGCAAACUUUUAUAUGUUGCAACAAGAUAUGAAGAAGGUACAGGAGCUUGAGGUAAUUGAUAGACUGACAGGGACCGAUAGUCAGAGAUUUGUGGUUGCGUGGAAGAAUAACAGGGAUCACAUAUUUAAUGUGGACUAUACGCCAGGUAACUCGGCAGAAACUAUAAAGUGCAGUUGCCGAAGUAUGACUCGCAAAGGGCUUCCUUGCAAGCAUAUUCUUCAUGUUUUGAAUGCACUGAACUUACCUGUGAUACCCAAGUGUUGUGUCCUGCGAAGAUUCUCAAAAAAAGCACGAGCUGGACUGCCCGUGAAGCGCACCAGUGAUCUGUUUGCGUGGGGUUGGUCGAGUGCUGAGGACAGAGCUAGAUAUAGUGAGUUGACCAUCAAAUCUGCAGAAGCAUCUCAUCUCGCAUGUAGUAAUCCAUUCUUAUUCGACAAGUUGAUGGCAGCUCUGGAUGAUAUUAUAGCGAAUAAGGACGUUCAGGGGAAUGAAGAUGAUAGUCAGCGAAGCUUCGUGAAUGAUAAUCUGUUUGAGCCUAACCGAGAUCAUAUUCUAGUUCGUGAUCCAGUAAAGGUUUCCACCAAGGGCGCACCUAAGCAAAACAGUAGAGGUCGCGGUAAGGGUGGCCCAGAUGUGACAAAAAAUGAGAGACCUAAAGCAGUUGACGAGAAAUCUGGACGAAAAUGUAGCAUAUGCAGCGGCACAGGUCAUAACAGGAGCACAUGCAGCAAAAAUAAGAGUAUGUCUAUUGUUUGUUUAUGUUAGUUUUGUUGUAUCAUUUACUGUACAUUGAUUCUCAUAGUUUGUAAUUUAUUCUAUGCAGCAACUGGGCUUGAAGACAGAAGUGAGCACGGUGCAUCUAUUUUACUUCAUCCAUUUAUAUGUAAUUGUAUGUCUUUUUUCUUUGUUUAUGUUAGUUUCGACUAUAAUAAAAUUACUAUGGUGACAAUUGUUAUGUGGAGACAUCAUUAUUGUUGAUAUAAAUGUACAAUAUUCACUGUUUAUACUAUGAAUUCUGUAUUGGUAUUUACUACAGUCCCGUCGGCUGUCAAAUAUAUUGAAAAACACUCAAUUUUGUUAUAGAAGAAGAAAAAAAAUAGCCCGCCCGUCCACAAGCGUGUCUUAAUAAGCACGUCGUUAUCAAGCCCAUCAGGCGACUACGACAUGCGUUUCAGAUCACGACGCGGUAACAGGCCACAGCAGGGCAGCCGAGUCGACGGGGCAGAAGAUAAGUGAAGUUCAAUGUGGCGACGGGAGCUGGAUAUAUAAGCCGGUCGACGUCUCCUUCGGCCGGCGAGGUGGGACUAUAUUUGCUUUAGUUUCCCCUGGCGCGUCGUCCCGGCGGGGUUAGCUGGGCCGGCCCAUUGCGCGUCGAGCCGUCGAGAAGUCCGCGCCGUCCAUGGCCUUAUUGGGCCGGCCCACGUCGCGGCUGGCUGUCUCCACGUCGCCCCGCGGCCAACGCAAGUUUAGUCCCACCUCGCCGUCCGAAGGAGACGUCGACCGGCUUAUAUACCUGGCGCCCCGUCGCCACUUUGAACUUCUCUGAAUUGCUAUCCUGUCGUCGAGGCUGCCCUGUUGGGCCUGGUUUCCACGGCGUGUUCUGAAACGCCUGUUGUAGUCGCUAGGUUGGCUUGAUAAUGACGGGCUUAUUAGGACACGCUGUGGACGGGCGGGCUUUUUUUUCUAAACUAUUUUUUUGCUUUUCUAAACUAACACGCAGUGUGCUGCCAUAGUAUAGUGUACAGAAAAUAAACGACGACACGAUUACAUAUAUGUAAAUCUAAACAUUAUUGUUGUUUUUCUAAAUUACUUUUUGUUUUUCUAAACAAAAUCCCAGAGUUUUUUUUAAUAAUGCGCUACCAUAGUUUAGUGUACAGAAAAUAAACGACGACACGAUUACAUAGUUUAGUGUACAGAAAAAAAGACUGAUUAUAUAAAUUUUCUGAAACAAAAUAUCAUCUGGACAUAAAAAAGCAAUUAAGUAUAUAAUCUUUUUGAAACAAAAUAGUGGCCAAAUCAAUAAAUAUAUCUAUUACAUAAAAAUUAUAACAAAGUGUGCAUCGGGAAAGGAAAAUAUAGUCCUCCAGUAACACCCAAUCACAUGGAAAACUCCUCCGUGUCGCAUCUAUUUCUUCUUCUUUGAUAUCUGAAUAACUUUGUUUUUCACUUCAUCAAGCUUGUUUCUUUCCGAAAAGAUAAGUUGCGCCAUCAUUACCUCCCUCGAAUCAUCAAUUGACCUUUGAAAAAAAAAGUGGUGUUAGCACAGCGUACAUUGUACGUCGUAGUAAAAACAUUACAUGUGUACCUGUGAAAAUAAGCCUGUCCGUUUGUCACCAUCCCAAUAUUGAAAGCAUCGAAGGAGAAAUAUUACACAUGAAUUCCUAGUGCAUACAAUUUACGAAGAUUAAAUAUCUAUUGAACAUAUAGGAUCGACAUUCUGUCAAAGUAAGAACUCACCCAUCAUUUUGUUUUGGCAUGUCAUACGUUUGAAUAGUCCAUGUGGACACAUCCGGAUAAUUCACAACUCCAGUUGCAUUUGCUUCUUGGAUAUCUUCUCCUAGUUGUUUUCUCUAAAGAUAAAAUUAACAUGCUGGAAAGAAUGUCAUUCAGUAUAGUAAACAAAACGAAUGUUACCAAAUACACAAUUGAAAUUAAAACCUACCAGGUCCUCAACGAGUUGUCUAGUAACACUAUCAAGUUUUCCAGUCAUCAACGAGUCAAGAACCUGAAACUCUCUCUUCCCGCUAUGCAUGACGACAGUAACCCAGUGAGUGUUUCCCUUGUUUAGAGGAAUAUAAGUCUGCAUGACAACGAGCAUAAAACACAAUCAGCACAUAAUAUAGUAUGUAUAUACCGUGUAACCAAUCAAACUUACCUUUGGUUUUUUGAAAUACUCGUCCUCACAUCUAUUCACGGGUCCAUUACUAUGCGACUCUGCUUCAUAGUCGUUACCGGCGGUCUUCUUUCCGGGUCUAAUGUGAAGCAGCCAAUGUACCCUCCAAGUUUUCAACAUGAAACGAUCGUCAUUAACUUUGUCGGCCAAAAAUGAUGAGUAUGCAUUAAUUACCUAUAAAUAAUGUGUCAGAUUUGACAAUGGUAUUUUGGAAUCAAUUGUAAUACAAUAGAUGAAAUUAACUUACAUCGCCACUUAGCCACUCAUGGUUAAUAAUUUGACAAGCUCUCUGCACACUGAGACCAUCUUCUGUGCCAUCAUUGAAAAUUUCUGUUUUGGCAUGUUUUUGUGAAUACUCAUGCGCACGCACGUACGUGAUUGACGCUUUCACCACAUCAUACUCAUCACUAGAUUUGUUAACACCACCAUUUUGGAACAAUUCUGUAACACACAACUCAAAUACUUAUAAACGCAAUUAUAUAAAUAAUUAUUACGCAAGAACAAUUAGAAACACAAAAAACUUACUUCCUUUCGCAGAACGUUUUGCACGCUUGUUCGGUUUAGGGACCACAUAAGGAGACUUGACAUGUUGUGACCCUUUGCGCUUGCGCCUGCCAGUAACCUCCUCCGCUUCCUCUUCCACUCCUUGAGAACCAAGCGAUGCAUGCGAUGCGGUAUCGUCCGUCCCUAAAGAUGAGGCCGCUUUUUCAUCUGAUACUUCUGGUAUUUCGAUAGGAUCAUCCAUAUCACCCUUGAAACUAUCCAUGUACUCAGGAGUGCAGUAAAAAGGUGUGUUUCCACGAGAAGUUACAUCAACGCCGUCAUCAUCCUUUUGCAAAUUCAUUUUGGAAGGUGUACAGUGUUGGGGAACGUAGCAAUAAUUCAAAAUUUUCUACGCAUCACCAAGAUCAAUCUAUGGAGUCAUCUAGCAACGAGAGAGAGGAGUGCAUCUACAUACCAUUGUAGAUCGCGAGCGGAAGCGUUCAAGAGAACGAGGUUGAUGGAGUCGUACUCGUCGUGAUCCAAAUCACCGAUGAUCCUAGCGCCGAACGGACGGCACCUCCGCAUUCAACACACGUACGGAACAGCGACGUCUCCUCCUUCUUGAUCCAGCAAGGGGGAGGAGAGGUUGAUGGAGAUCCAGCAGCACGACGGCGUGGUGGUGGAAAUAGCGGGAUUCCAACAGGGCUUCGCCAAGCGCUGCGGGAGGAGGGAGAUGUGUCACGGGAGGGAGAGGGAGGCGCCAGGGCUUGGGGUUUGGCUGCCCUCCCUCCCCCCUCUUUAUAUAGGACCCCUGUGGGGGGGCGCCGGCCCUAGAGAUCCAAUCUCAAGGGGGGCGGCAGCCAAGGGGGAAACUUGCCCCCCAAGUCAGGUGGGGCACCCCCCACCCCCAGGGUUUCCAACCCUAGGCGCAGGGGGAGGCCCAUGGGGGGCGCACCAGCCCACCAGGGGCUGGUUCCCUUCCCACUUCAGCCCAUGGGGCCCUCCGGGAUAGGGGCCCCACCCGGUGGUCCCGGUACAAUACCGGUGACCCCCGAAACUUUCCCGAUGGCCGAAACUGGACUUCCUAUAUACAAAUCUUUACCUCCGGACCAUUCCGGAACUCCUCGUGAUGUCCGAGAUCUCAUCCGGGACUCCGAACAACUUUCGGGUUACCGCAUACUAAUAUCUCUACAACCCUAGCGUCACCGAACCUUAAGUGUGUAGACCCUACGGGUUCGGGAGACACGCAGACAUGACCGAGACGACUCUCCGGUCAAUAACCAACAGCGGGAUCUGGAUACCCAUGUUGGCUCCCACAUGCUCCUCGAUGAUCUCAUCGGAUGAACCACGAUGUCAAGGAUUCAAUCAAUCCCAUAUACAAUUCCCUCUGUCUAUCGGUAUGUUACUUGCCCAAGAUUCGAUCGUCGGUAUCCCAAUACCUCGUUCAAUCUCGUUACCGGCAAGUCUCUUUACUCGUUCCGUAACGCGUGAUCCCGUGGCUAACUCCUUAGUCACAUUGAGCUCAUUAUGAUGAUGCAUUACCGAGUGGGCCCAGAGAUACCUCUCCGUCAUACGGAGUGACAAAUCCCAGUCUCGAUUCGUGCCAACCCAACAGACACUUUCGGAGAUACCUGUAGUGCACCUUUAUAGCCACCCAGUUACGUUGUGACGUUUGGUACACCCAAAGCAUUCCUACGGUAUCCGGGAGUUGCACAAUCUCAUGGUCUAAGGAAAUGAUACUUGACAUUAGAAAAGCUCUUAGCAAACAAACUACACGAUCUUGUGCUAUGCUUAGGAUUGGGUCUUGUCCAUCACAUCAUUCUCCUAAUGAUGUGAUCCCGUUAUCAAUGACAUCCAAUGUCCAUGGUCAGGAAACCAUAACCAUCUCUUGAUCAACGAGCUAGUCAACUAGAGGCUUACUAGGGACAUGUUGUGGUCUAUGUAUUCACACAUGUAUUACGGUUUCCAGUUAAUACAAUUAUAGCAUGAACAACAGACAAUUAUCAUGAACAAGGAAAUAUAAUAAUAACCAUUUUAUUAUUGCCUCUAGGGCAUAUUUCCAACAGUCUCCCACUUGCACUAGAGUCAAUAAUCUAGUUCACAUCACCAUGUGAUUAACACUCAAAGUUCACAUCGCCAUGUGACUAAUACCCAAAAGUUUACUAGAGUCAAUAAUCUAGUUCACAUCACCAUGUGAUUAACACUCAAUGUGUUCUAGGGUUUGAUCAUGUUAUGCUUACGAGAGAGGUUUUAGUCAACGGGUCUGAACCUUUCAGAUCCGUGUGUGCUUUACAAAUCUCUAUGUCAUCUUGUAGAUGCAGCUACCACGCGCUACUUGGAGCUAUUCCAAAUAACUGCUCUACUAUACGAAUCCGGUUUACUACUCAGAGUCAUCCGGAUUAGUGUGAAAGUUGCAUCGACGUAACCCUUUACGAUGAACUCUUUCACCACCUCCAUAAUCGAGAAAAUUCCUUAGUCCACUAAUUACUAAGGAUAAGUUCGACCGCUGUCAUGUGAUCCAUUCCGGGAUCACUCUUGUACCCCUCGACUAAUUCAUGGCAAGGCACACUUCAGGUGCGGUACACAGCAUAGCAUACUGUAGAGCCUACGUCUAAAGCAUAGGGGACGACCUUCGUCCUUUCUCUCUCUUCUGUCGUGGUCAGGUCUUGAGUCUUACUCAAUACUCACACCUUGUAACACAGCCAAGAACUCCUUCUUUGCUGAUCUAUCUUGAACUCCUUCAAAAUCUUGUCACGGUAUGUAUUCAUUUGAAAGUACUAUUAAGCGUUUUUGAUCUAUCCUUAUAGAUCUUGAUGCUCAAUGUUCAAGUAGCUUAAUCCAGGUUUUCCAUUGAAAAACACUUUUCAAACAACCUUAUAUGCUUUCCAGAAAUUCUACAUCAUUUCUGAUCAACAAUAUGUUAACAACAUAUACUCAUCAAAAAUUCUAUAGUGCUCCCACUCACUUCUUUGGAAAUACAAGUUUCUCAUAAACUUUGUAAAAACCCAAAAUGUUUGAUCAUUUCAUCAAAGCGUACAUUCCAACUCCAAGAUGCUUACUCCAAUCCUUAGAAGGAUUGCUGGAGCUUUGCAUACUUGUUAGCAUCUUUCAGGAUUGACAAAACCUUCUGGUUGUAUCAAAUACAACCUUUCCUCAAGAAAAUCGUCGAGGAAACAAUGUUUUUGACAUCCUAUCUGCAAGAUUUCAUAAAUAAUGCAGUAACUGCUAAUAUAAUUCCAACAGACUCUUAGCAUCGCUACGAGUGAGAAAGUCUCAUUGCAGUCAACUCCUUGAACUUGUGGGAAAACAUCUUAAGGACAAGUCGAGCUUUCUUAAUGGUGACACUUACCAUCAUUGUCCAUCUUCCUUUUAAAAUCCAUCUGCACCCAACAGCCUUACGACCAUCAAGUAGUUCUUCCAAAGUCUAUACUUUGUUUUCACACAUGGAUCCUCUCGGAUUUUAUGGCCUCGAGCCAUUCGUCGGAAUCCGGGCCGACCAUCGCUUCUCCAUAGCUCGUAGGUUCAUUGUUGUCUAGCAACAUGACUUCCAAGACAGGAUUACGUACCACUCUGAAGUAGUACGCAUCCUUGUCGACCUACGAGGUUUGGUAGUGACUUGAUCUGAAGUUUCAUGAUCACUAUCAUAAGCUUCCACUUCAAUUGGUAUAGGUACCACAGGAACAACUUCCUGUGCCCUGCUACACACUAGUUGAAGUGACGGUUCAAUAACCUCAUCAAGUCUCCACCAUCCUCCCACUCAAUUCUUUCGAGAGAAACUUUUCCUCGAGAAAGGACCUGUUUCUAGAAACAAUCACUUUGCUUCCGGAUCUAAAAUAGGAGGUAUACCCAACUGUUUUGGGUAUUCUAUGAAGAUGCAUUUAUCCGCUUUGGGUUCGAGCUUAUCAGCCUGAAAUUUUUCCACAUAAGCGUCACAGCCCCAAACUUUUAAGAAACGAUAGCUUAGGUUUCUCUAAACCAUAGUUCAUACGGUGUUGUCUCAACGGAAUUGCGUGGUGCCCUAUUUAAAGUGAAUGCGGUUGUCUCUAAUGCCUAACCCAUAAACGAUAGUGUAAUUCGAUAAGAGACAUCAUGGUAUGCACCAUAUCCAAUAGGGUGCAGUUAUGAUGUUCGGACACACCAUCACACUAUGGUGUUCCAGGCGGUAUUAGUCGUGAAACAAUUUCCACAAUUUCUUAAUUGUGUGCCAAACUCGUAACUUAGAUAUUCAUCUCUAUGAUCAUAUCACAGACAUUUUAUCCUCUUGUCACGACGAUCUUCAACUUCACUCUGAAAUUACUUGAACCUUUCAAUAAUUCAGACUUGGGUUUCAUCAAGUAAAUAUUCUUAGCAUCUACUCAAAUCAUCUGUGAAGUAAGAACAUAACGAUAUCCACUGCGUGCCUCAGCACUCAUUGGACUGCACACAUCAAAUGUAUUACUUCCAACAAGUUGCUCUCUUGUUCCAUCUUACUGAAAACGAGGCCUUUCAGUCAUCUUGCCCAUGUGGUAUGAUUUGCAUGUCUCAAGUGAUUCAAAAUCAAGUGAGUCCAAACGAUCCAUCUAUAUGGACUUUCUUCAUGCAUAUAUACUAAUAGACAUGGUUCGCAUGUCUCAAUCUUUUCAAAAACGAGUGAGUCCAAAGAUCCAUCAACAUGGAGCUUCUUCAUGCGUUUUAUACCAAUAUGACUCAAGUGGCAGUGCCACAAGUAUGUGGUACUAUCUUAUAUCUUUUGGCAUGAACAUGUGUAUCACUACGAUCGUGAUUCAAUAAACCAUUCAUUUUAAGUGCAAGACCAUUGAAGGUAUUAUUCAAAUAGACAGAGUAACCAUUAUUCUCCUUAAAUGAAUAACUGUAUUGCGAUAAACAUAAUCCAAUCAUGUCUAUGCUCAACGCAAACACCAAAUAACAAUUAUUUAGGUUUAACACCAAUCUCGAUGGUAGAGGGAGCAUGCGAUGCUUGAUCACAUCAACCUUGGAAACACUUCCAACACAUAUCGUCAUCUCACCUUUAGCUAGUCUCCGUUUAUUCCGUAGCCUUUUAUUUCGAGUUACCAACACUUAGCAACCGAACCGGUAUCUAAUACCCUAGUGCUACUAGGAGUAUUAGUAAAGUACACAUUAAUAUAAUGUAUAUCCAAUAUACUUCUGUCGACCUUGCCUGCCUUCUCAUCUACCAAGUAUCUAGGGUAGUUCUGCUUCAGUGACCGUUCCCCUCAUUACAGAAGCACUUAGUCUCGGGUUUGGGUUCAACCUUGGGUUUCUUCACUAGAGCAGCAACUGAUUUGCCAUUUCAUGGAGUAUCCCUUCUUUCCCUUGCCCUUCUUGAAACUAGUGGUUUUACCAACCAUCAGCAAUUGAUGCUCCUACUUGAUUUCUACUUUCGCGGUGUCAAACAUCGCGAGUUGCUCAAGGAUCAUCAUGUCUAUCCCUGAUAUGUUAUAGUUCAUCACGAAGCUCUAAUAGCUUGGUGGCAGUGACUAUGGAGAACCAUCACUAUCUCAUCUGGGAGAUUAACUCCCACUCGAUUCAAGCGAUUGUAGUACUCAGACAAUCUGAGCAGAUGCUCAACGAUUGAGUUUUUCUCCCUUAGUUUGCAGGCUUAAGAAACUUGUCAGAGGUCUCAUACCUCUUGACGUGGGCACCAGUCUGAAAUCCCAAUUUCAGUCUUUGGAACAUCUCAUAUGUUCUGCGACGUUUCAAAAACGUCUUUGGCGCCUUAAUUCUAAACCGUUAGCAUUACGCACUGAACUAUCACGUAGUCAUCAAAACGUGUAUGUCAGAUGUUCGCAACAUCCACAGACGACGCUCGAGGUUCACACACCGAGCGGUGCAUUAAGGACAUAAGCCUUCUGCGUAGCAAUGAGGAUAAUCCUCAGUUUACGGACCCAGUCCGCAUAAUUUCUACUAUCAACUUUCAACUAAAUUUUCUCUAGGAACAUAUCUUAAACAGUAGAACCAAAGCGUAAGCUACGACAUAAUUUGCAAAGACCUUUUGACUAUGUUCAUGAUAAUUAAGUUCAUCUUAUUAUUUAAUGAACUCCCACUUAGAUAGACAUCCCUCUAGUCAUCUAAGUGAUACAUGAUCCGAAUCGACUAGACCGUGUCCGAUCAUCACGUGAGACGGACUAGUCAUCAACGGUGAACAUCUCCAUGUUGAUCGUAUCUACUAUACGACUCAUGUUCGACCUUUCGGUCUCUUGUGUUCCGAGUCCAUGUCUGUACAUGCUAGGCUCGUCAAGUCAACCUAAGUGUUUCGCAUGUGUAAAUCUGGCUUACACCCGUUGUAUGCGAACGUUAGAAUCUAUCACACCCGAUCAUCACGUGGUGCUUCGAAACAACGAACCUUCGCAACGGUGCACAGUUAGGGGGAACACGUCUCUUGAAAUUUUAGUGAGGGAUCAUCUUAUUUAUGCUACCGUCGUUCUAAGCAAAUAAGAUGUAAACAUGACAAACAUCACAUGCAAAUCAUAAAGUGACAUGAUAUGGCCAAUAUCAUCUUGCGCCUUUUGAUCUCCAUCUUCGAGGCGCGGCAUGAUCACCUUCGUCACCGGCAUGACACCAUGAUCUACAUCAUCAUGAUCUCCAUCAUCGUGUCUUCAUGAAGUUGUCUCGCCAACUAUUACUUCUACUACUAUGGCUAACGGUUAGCAAUAAAGUAAAGUAAUUACAUGGCGUUUUCAUUGACACGCAGGUCAUACAAUAAAUUAAGACAACUCCUAUGGCUCCUGCCGGUUGUCAUACUCAUCGACAUGCAAGUCGUGAUUCCUAUUACAAGAACAUGAUCAAUCUCAUACAUCACAUAUAUCAUUCAUCACAUCCUUUUGGCCAUAUCACAUCACAUAGCAUACCCUGCAAAAACAAGUUAGACGUCCUCUAAUUGUUGUUGCAUGUUUUACGUGGCUGCUAUGGGUUUCUAGCAAGAACGUUUCUUACCUACGCAAAAGCCACAACGGUGAUAUGCCAAUUUCUAUUUACCCUUCAUAAGGACCCUUUUCAUCGAAUCCGAUCCGACUAAAGUGGGAGAGACAGACACCCGCUAGCCACCUUAUGCAUCAAGUGCAUGUCAGUCGGUGGAACCUGUCUCACGUAAGAGUACGUGUAAGGUCGGUCCGGGCCGCUUCAUCCCACAAUGCCGCCGAAUCAAGAUAAGACUAGUAACGGCAAGCAAAUUGAACAAAUCAUCGCCCACAACUACUUUGUGUUCUACUCGUGCAUAGAAUCUACGCAUAAACCUGGCUCAUGAUGCCACUGUUGGGGAACGUAGCAAUAAUUCAAAAUUUUCUACGCAUCACCAAGAUCAAUCUAUGGAGUCAUCUAGCAACGAGAGAGAGGAGUGCAUCUACAUACCCUUGUAGAUCGCGAGCGGAAGCGUUCAAGAGAACGGGGUUGAUGGAGUCGUACUCGUCGUGAUCCAAAUCACCGAUGAUCCUAGCGCCGAACGGACGGCACCUCCGUGUUCAACACACGUACGGAACAGCGACGUCUCCUCCUUCUUGAUCCAGCAGGGGGGAGGAGAGGUUCAUGGAGAUCAAGCAGCACGACGGCGUGGUGGUGGAAGUAGCGGGAUUCCAACAGGGCUUCGCCAAGCGCUGCGGGAGGAGGGAGAUGUGUCACGGGAGGGAGAGGGAGGCGCCAGGGCUUGGGGUUUGGCUGCCCUCCCUCCCCCUCUUUAUAUAGGGCCCCUGUGGGGGGGCGCCGACCCUAGAGAUCCAAUCUCAAGGGGGGGGCGGCCAAGGGGGAAACUUGCCCCCCAAGUCAGGUGGGGCGCCCCCCACCCCCAGGGUUUCCAACCCUAGGCGCAGGGGGAGGCCCAUGGGGGGCGCACCAGCCCACCAGGGGCUGGUUCCCUUCCCACUUCAGCCCAUGGGGCCCUCCGGGAUAGGUGGCCCCACCCGGUGGUCCCCCGGGACCCUUCCGGUGGUCCCGGUACAAUACCGGUGACCCCCGAAACUUUCCCGGUGGCCGAAACUGGACUUCCUAUAUACAAAUCUUUACCUCCGGACCAUUCCGGAACUCCUCGUGAUGUCCGAGAUCUCAUCCGGGACUCCGAACAACUUUCGGGUUACCGCAUACUAAUAUCUCUACAACCCUAGCGUCACCGAACCUUAAGUGUGUAGACCCUACGGGUUCGGGAGACACGCAGACAUGACCGAGACGACUCUCCGGUCAAUAACCAACAGCGGGAUCUGGAUACCCAUGUUGGCUCCCACAUGCUCCUCGAUGAUCUCAUCGGAUGAGCCUCGAUGUCGAGGAUUCAAUCAAUCCCGUAUACAAUUCCCUUUGUCUAUCGGUAUGUUACUUGCCCGAGAUUCGAUCGUCGGUAUCCCAAUACCUCGUUCAAUCUCGUUACUGGCAAGUCUCUUUACUUGUUCCGUAACGCAUGAUCCCAUGGCUAACUCCUUAGUCACAUUGAGCUCAUUAUGAUGAUGCAUUACCGAGUGGGCCCAGAGAUACCUCUCCGUCAUACGGAGUGACAAAUCCCAGUCUCGAUUCGUGCCAACCCAACAGACACUUUCGGAGAUACCUGUAGUGCACCUUUAUAGCCACCCAGUUACGUUGUGACGUUUGGUACACCCAAAGCAUUCCUACGGUAUCCGGGAGUUGCACAAUCUCAUGGUCUAAGGAAAUGAUACUUGACAUUAGAAAAGCUCUUAGCAAACGAACUUCACGAUCUUGUGCUAUGCUUAGGAUUGGGUCUUGUCCAUCACAUCAUUCUCCUAAUGAUGUGAUCCCAUUAUCAAUGACAUCCAAUGUCCAUGGUCAGGAAACCAUAACCAUCUCUUGAUCAACGAGCUAGUCAACUAGAGGCUUACUAGGGACAUGUUGUGGUCUAUGUAUUCACACAUGUAUUACCGUUUCCAGUUAAUACAAUUAUAACGUGAACAAUAGACAAUUAUCAUGAACAAGGAAAUAUAAUAAUAACCAUUUUAUUAUUUCCUCUAGGGCAUAUUUCCAACAUACGGAACUGGUCUGAAUCAUCUUUUUGAUAUACAAACUCUUUUUCCGGAAAUUCACCAUCGUUUCCAGACUCAUUAAUGCCUCCGUAUAGAUUCUCUUCUUCUUCUUCGAGGUUACCGGGUUUGUAGAGGACACCGGUUUUGUUCAGUUUCUCAAUCAUCCUCUGCAAGAAAAUAUUUCAUCUUAGUUCUUCAAUAAAGUGAUGGACAUUAAAGUGCAUGCUCAAGUGUUACCUGUGCACAUAACUCUGGCAAACGAAGCAUUUCCUUCCGAAGCUCAUUAAUCUCACUCAAAAUCCGGUCCAUAGUAGGCUUCUGGCUCGAAGCCUCCGAGGUACUGCCCUCUUUCCUCCUUCCAGUAACGUUAGAUUUUUUGGUACUAGCUUUCUUAGUUUUUUCAGCUUCUUCUCCAAUUUUUUUCAGCUUGUACUCCUCUGUAAUGUUGUCAUCGAUCUACAAAUGCAACAAGAGAAUUAUACAUACAAAUCAUAUUAACACUUAAUUUUAUUUCAUAAAUGUAAAACAAAACAAGAUUACUCGGAUUACCAUCCCAACACCACGACCAUAUUCAUAGUCGUAUUUGUCUCUUCUCACAGCCAUAUCUUCCGUCCAGUUCCUCAUCAGUGGGCUCAACAAUGCCAACGGAUCAUAUUUUGGACCGAUGACUGGUUGCACCUUCUCCCAGUAUAGGUACUGCAAAACACAUAAACUAAUUAAAUAACAUGUUCUUCGAUAACAUUAUAUAAGAAAAAUGUUAAAAUUAAUAAAAAGAACGUACUUGCAAAAGGGCCAGGUUCCCCUGUGGCCACUGCCUAACAUGGCCGUCCUGCAGAAGCUUGCCAAUCUCCGACAAACAGAAUCGCGAAGUGAAUGCAUUCCAGUUGAACUUCCUUAUCAACUUAAUAUUUUGCACUAAGGCAUAGUACUUCUUCGGAACGUAUUCAUGAGACACUGGUGCAAUUAUAGUUCCUAAGAGAACUAGAAACGUCAUCCGAAUAAAGUCAUCGUCCGUGGUCUUAUUCCUCACAAUCUUUUCGAUCAGAUCAUCAAUCAUGAUCUUACCAUUUUUUUUAACAAAACUAACUGGUAUUUUUUUGGUUGCUUUUUCUCCUUCUGUACUAAGAAAACCAAAAACAUCCACUCCAUUGUUUUUCCAACCAAAUAUGGAGUACACAUCAUCAGGCCUUAGUGAAAUAAGGCCUUUACUUCCAGCACUACUUCCAGAACUCUCUUGGACCAUGAAUUUUUUGCUACUUGGAUUGUAACCUUGGAGUAAAAAAUGAAGCAAAAAAUCACGCAUCUUUAUCGAUGGUAUUCUGAACAUGCCCUGCAUAUUCGUUUCAUAAAACCUGAAUUUCUGACUUGGUGACAAUCUGUCAACUAGACUAACCCACUUUUCAACAGAACAUGGAAUCACACCGUCGAUAUUCAUACUGCACGAAAUAGUGUUCUGUCACAUACCAUGGUACUGCUAUGACCUUCUUCGUAUAAAAAACACAGACACAAAAAAACUUACACGACGACGGCGGUGGGAGAGGCACCGGCGGCGUAGAGACGGCGACGGGUCAGGGCAGGCAGGCCGGCGCGGGCGCACCUGCGACGUUUGGACGGUGGGGCGACGGGCGGCGUACGUCGGCAGUACGUGUAGAUCGCGGCGGCGGCGAGACGGGCCGGAGGAAACUUAGACGGGAUAGAAGGUAUGUUUGCAUGCACGUCGGCUAAGGACGUCGCCCGAGCGCUGAUUGCGGCGGCGUUGUUAGUGGGACGGCCCCAUGCACGCAUGCGCGUCGGUUAGCGAGACGCCCGGCGUUUUUUAUUUUCUUUUUAGAUAGACGGCCUCAUUAUUUUAACUUAAACGAACGGGCUCAUUUUUAACUUAAUCAAACGGGUUAAUUUUUUUAACUUAAUCGAACGGGCAUUUUUUUCACGUGCUACAAUGACCGUGGCAAGCACGCAUGCCAAAUUUUUUUCGAGUUUCGACACUGUAUGGAUUUUCUACGAUUUUCUGGGCCGAAAACCCCUAAAAUACUGCCCAGACGUGACGCAACGUGCGUUCGUUGUCGGAUUUCGUUCAUUUUUGGCGUGGGGUGCCCGGGUGGGCCCCACACGCGCUGGCAAAAGUUGGGUGCAUUCCGUGAAACCGCUCAGGUACUUGGUGUGGAAGGCGGUGGUUUCGGUAUGGGCGGAGGGGGCCCUCGGUCGUACGCCUCUCCUUCGCAUCCGCCAAACGGGCUCAUUUUUNNNNNNNNNNNNNNNNNNNNNNNNNNNNNNNNNNNNNNNNNNNNNNNNNNNNNNNNNNNNNNNNNNNNNNNNNNNNNNNNNNNNNNNNNNNNNNNNNNNNNNNNNNNNNNNNNNNNNNNNNNNNNNNNNNNNNNNNNNNNNNNNNNNNNNNNNNNNNNNNNNNNNNNNNNNNNNNNNNNNNNNNNNNNNNNNNNNNNNNNNNNNNNNNNNNNNNNNNNNNNNNNNNNNNNNNNNNNNNNNNNNNNNNNNNNNNNNNNNNNNNNNNNNNNNNNNNNNNNNNNNNNNNNNNNNNNNNNNNNNNNNNNNNNNNNNNNNNNNNNNNNNNNNNNNNNNNNNNNNNNNNNNNNNNNNNNNNNNNNNNNNNNNNNNNNNNNNNNNNNNNNNNNNNNNNNNNNNNNNNNNNNNNNNNNNNNNNNNNNNNNNNNNNNNNNNNNNNNNNNNNNNNNNNNNNNNNNNNNNNNNNNNNNNNNNNNNNNNNNNNNNNNNNNNNNNNNNNNNNNNNNNNNNNNNNNNNNNNNNNNNNNNNNNNNNNNNNNNNNNNNNNNNNNNNNNNNNNNNNNNNNNNNNNNNNNNNNNNNNNNNNNNNNNNNNNNNNNNNNNNNNNNNNNNNNNNNNNNNNNNNNNNNNNNNNNNNNNNNNNNNNNNNNNNNNNNNNNNNNNNNNNNNNNNNNNNNNNNNNNNNNNNNNNNNNNNNNNNNNNNNNNNNNNNNNNNNNNNNNNNNNNNNNNNNNNNNNNNNNNNNNNNNNNNNNNNNNNNNNNNNNNNNNNNNNNNNNNNNNNNNNNNNNNNNNNNNNNNNNNNNNNNNNNNNNNNNNNNNNNNNNNNNNNNNNNNNNNNNNNNNNNNNNNNNNNNNNNNNNNNNNNNNNNNNNNNNNNNNNNNNNNNNNNNNNNNNNNNNNNNNNNNNNNNNNNNNNNNNNNNNNNNNNNNNNNNNNNNNNNNNNNNNNNNNNNNNNNNNNNNNNNNNNNNNNNNNNNNNNNNNNNNNNNNNNNNNNNNNNNNNNNNNNNNNNNNNNNNNNNNNNNNNNNNNNNNNNNNNNNNNNNNNNNNNNNNNNNNNNNNNNNNNNNNNNNNNNNNNNNNNNNNNNNNNNNNNNNNNNNNNNNNNNNNNNNNNNNNNNNNNNNNNNNNNNNNNNNNNNNNNNNNNNNNNNNNNNNNNNNNNNNNNNNNNNNNNNNNNNNNNNNNNNNNNNNNNNNNNNNNNNNNNNNNNNNNNNNNNNNNNNNNNNNNNNNNNNNNNNNNNNNNNNNNNNNNNNNNNNNNNNNNNNNNNNNNNNNNNNNNNNNNNNNNNNNNNNNNNNNNNNNNNNNNNNNNNNNNNNNNNNNNNNNNNNNNNNNNNNNNNNNNNNNNNNNNNNNNNNNNNNNNNNNNNNNNNNNNNNNNNNNNNNNNNNNNNNNNNNNNNNNNNNNNNNNNNNNNNNNNNNNNNNNNNNNNNNNNNNNNNNNNNNNNNNNNNNNNNNNNNNNNNNNNNNNNNNNNNNNNNNNNNNNNNNNNNNNNNNNNNNNNNNNNNNNNNNNNNNNNNNNNNNNNNNNNNNNNNNNNNNNNNNNNNNNNNNNNNNNNNNNNNGUAUGGAUUUUCUACGAUUUUCUAGGCCGAAAACCCCUAAAAUACUGCCCGGACGUGACGCAACGUGCGUUCGUUGUCGGAUUUCGUUCAUUUUUGGCGUCGGGUGCCUGGGUGGGGCCCCACACGCGCUGGCAAAAGUUGGGUGCAUUCCGUGAAACCGCUCAGGUACUUGGUGUGGAAGGCGGUGGUUUCGGUAUGGGCGGAGGGGGCCCUCGGUCGUUCACCUCUCCUUCGCAUCCGCCAAACGGGCUCAUUUUUUUCCACGUGCUACAAUGACCGUGGCAAGCACGCACACCAAAUGCAUGUGGAAGGCAGUGGUUUCCGUAAGGGGGAACGGAUCCCCUUGCAUAUCUCCUCUUCGCAUCCGCCAAACGGUAUCACAUUUUCUUCACGGGCUACAUUGACCAUGGCAAGCAUGUAUGCCAAAAAAAACCUACAAUAGUCCCCGGACGUGACGCAAACUUUUUUCACACGUCGAUUUUCGUGUCUUUCAAUUUUCCUAUUUUCUAUCUUUUUUUUCAUUCACUUCGAAUUGUCAGAGUCUAUAAGAUAGUACGGCUUAUUUCUUUAAUCAAUGAAUUGUUUUAUAAAUCUUGAUUUAAAAUGAUGACAUCCAUUUUCCCUCAUUUGAAAUGAUCAACUUUUUUUCUAUAAAUGUCCAACUUUUUAAAAUAUUCUAAAACUAGACAAACGCGUUUGCGGCUGUAUUUUUGGCGAUUCUACAUGCUAUCGAUAUGGUGACGAAUCGAUCAACACAGAUGAAAGGUGUGUGUUGUUGUAGUAUUUUAAUGGUGGCAGGAGAAGCCUUCAAGAGAAUCGGAUAUGUUUUAAUUUCUUUUCGCUAACUUCUAUUUUACAAAAUGAUUCAAAAUUUAAAAACAUUUUCCGAUAUUUCAUAGUAAUUUGCAUCUAAAAUUCAUUCAAACAUAAGGAUAGUUCAUUAAACCUUACGACAAAGGGUUCAUUUUACAUUCGAACAUAACGAAACUUAAUUAAACAUAAAAGGACCUAAUCUAAAUUAAUUAAACAUAAGAGGACCUAAUCUAAACCUAAUCUACCCGUCGUCGUCGGACGCGGCGAGGUCCACGAUCUCGCCCGCACCGCCGUCACCGUCGUCAUUGUUGCUGCUCUUUCCGGCGUCGCCCCAGUCGACGGCGUCGUCCUCCACCGGAGCCGCCUGCGCCGGUGCCUGCACCGUACCCGUAGCCGCCGCCGCAUCCAGUGCCGCCUGCAGCUCGGCAGCCUCUGCAGCCGCCGCCAUAGCCGCCGCGGCGUCUAGUGCCGCCUGCAGCUUGGCGGCCUCUCUGGCCUCUGCCGCCGCCGCUUCUGCCUGCGACGCCCGUAGGGCGAUGAGGUAGCCGGGGCAGUCGUCCGGGUCGCCGUCCUCACGCGGCGCGAACUGCUCCGGCGGGAUCUCGACGGCGGGAGGGGCGGCGGGCCCGGCGAGCAUGGGCACCGGACGGCGGGAGGAGCUUGGGGACGGCGCCGGAGGGGGACGGCGGGGCCGGCGCGGGGCAGACGACGGGCCGCCCGUCUCCGAAUCCCGACGAGCCUGGGCGACGACCUUCCAGAAGUCCUUGCCCAUCCAAAACCUUGUACGGUCGGCAAUAUUCCAGCGGCCGCCCUCGUGCCGGCGGAGCUCUUCCGGCGUCGCGCCGGGCCCCCUCGUCGGGUACCCGUCGGCGGUGAUGUGGAAGAUGUGCGGCAGACGGCAGCCCGGCGGCACCAUCAGCCCGAGCCAGAUGAGCUCGUCCGUGUCCGGCGUGCCCAUGCUCGUCGGCCACGCGCCGCCACGGCCGUCCGUGCCACCGCUGCCGCCGGACGCCAUGGCUGCCGUCAAGAAGGACGUGGGGGAGGCAGACGGCGCGUCUGAUGGAUGGCGUCGGUGGGUGAGGUGAGUGGGGGUGGGGGAGGCAGACGGGAAGGUGGGGGCGAUUUAACAUCGGGGCGGGGCGGCGGUAGGUGACCGACGCAGCGGCUUAACGCCGGCCUUAAUGGCGCAUCGGGGGCGGCGGCCGCCUCGGGAACCGUCCCUUGACCGACGCCACGCAACCGUCCUAGCGACGUGUUUUUUUUCCUUUGACCACGACAGCUGGUCGUCGUACGUAGACGGGCGGGCGCGUGUACGUGCACUCGCUGUACAUGACACGAUGCGGGAACAGCCCCGUUGCGCGGGCGGCGGCUUUUUUGUGAUGAGACAAUCAUACCUUUUUAAUGAAGGGGUAUGGAACGAUCUCAGCCGUUGUUGUAUUUAGAGAGUUGUACUGAAGAAGAAGCGUCCGUUACCACUUCCUUUCAACGAUCGACACGUAAACUUAGAAAAGGAGGCGACCACUGGACGCAUCGGACCAACGGGAACCAUCGCGUCGUAUUCGCGUGGGGAGAAAUGGUGCUUACGGCCAACCACAGGCGAGGUACGUACAGCGACUUGGAAGGGUCGCUUGCACGGGCCAUCCUCCCUGACAUGACAACUGAGAUCCUAAACUCGCUCCCAGAAUUUAAUUUCCUUUUGAGACCAGGGAAGCAGACAGCAAAAGAUCAAGAGAGAGUGUAGUCCGCACGCGCUGCUGUGGUGUAUCACAGGACAGAGGGACGGCCAUUUACGUACACACUAUUGGAUCAAGCUGAAGGGGGUAUGCGUGAGAGGGCCUGACCCGUUGAUGAAAAACCUGUUGAACAUCCAGUUAAUAUAGUCGAAUUUUGAGGCAUUGUUUAAUAGACUUAAUUUGCAUGCUAUGUAUUGAUGAUUUGCGCUAUUUUCUAUCCAAAAAUUGAUGAAUACCGGCUUAUUUGUAUGAAUUUCGUUAUGUUAGUUCAAAUGUGAGUUGAAAUGUAUCCGACCAGUGUUGGAUGGCGGCCUCCCGCAUACAUGUCCGUGGAUUGGGGAGGACUGGUUCCCCUGGCCGCGGACGGAUGGGGGAAAACUUACGGGUCGCCGUUGGGAUGCCGUUACGCCGGCAUGCACAGAAGGACUAAGUGCUCGGGGCCGAUUUGGUGCGUAUAUAUGUGUCGAUAGUGGGUCCGUGAUCACGACUCUACGUAGCAGUACCAUGGGCGGCCGGACAACUCUUCGGGAUUUGCAUGGUGAGGACUGAGGAGGCGCCUCAGGGUAUGACCAAUGCAUUACCCGAGGGUGAUGCCCCAUGGACCACGUAGGAUCGGAUGUCAGAAAAAGUAGAUUCGGAUUGAGCAGCGAGAUCCUCUACAAGAGGCGAGUGCUUAGGAAGAAAAAGUGUGGUCCGGUGCAUAAAGCUGGAAAUGUUAAAGUUGAGAGUAGAGAUGCAUGUGUAGUGGGAGUCUUUGUUUUCAAUUCUUUGAUCAGGUACACUAGGGUAGCUUGUAUUGGGAAGAGAAAAUCAAUAUAAAGGUCUCAAACUACGUUUUGUCAUGAGGCAUACGUAUCCAUAUGUCAUUAUUGUACAUGCCCUAAUUUGCUUGCAACGUUGGGAGGGAGAGUGUAAUUUAACAGGUGACAGCUAGUUGCUCUGCGACAUUAUCCACGGCAUCACCGUGACGCCAUGUUCACUGCAGCGACGAGUGGUCUAACGGACGGCGGAAUCACAAGUUAGGACGAUAUUAUUUUAAAUGCUGCCUUCGCCUAGGUUUGGAGAGCUCGGCCACCUCUCGUUGCUUUCGGCUUUCCUGCCGACGUCACGUUACGAUCGGGUCAUCUCAUCGGAACUCCGACGAGGCAUGCAACUGGUGCAACGAGACGCCGUGCAUCGCCACCAAUGGACUUGGACUCGACCUCUCGGGAGAGACGGCCGGCGACCGACGACGUGCCUAUACUCCCGGUCGGCUGAUUAACUAUCCAGUCCAGCGUCCAAAUUGAAAGGACUGCGGCGUCGACUCGAGUCGAGUCGACCGGGCUACGCCGGCCUGCGUGCUGCGUGGUGAUCAGGCGGGUGGAUAUAGGUUUUCACUGCUCUGGACUGGAGUGGCCGACUUGCGACUAUGCACGGCGUGGACUCGUUGUCGAUCGAUCGGAGUACGUGGCAAACGUCGCUACCGCUAUGUAUAUUCUGCCAAGUGCCAAGUAAACUUGGCUGCAAAGGAGUAUAUACCUACACAAGGGAACGUCGAAAACACGUCCAGAUAGGAAUAUGCACGGUCAGUGCACACGCCUUUACAGCAAGUUUCUCGAAUGGGCCAAGAAGAAGAUGCAUGGACGGUGGUCAAUUCGAAUCCGUUACUGCUUUGUACUCUACAGUCUACAUGGUACGUUUUUUUCCGGGAUACACUGCUUUCUACGAUUGACAGGUCCCGAAAGAAGUCGCGAGAGAAAGGCUACCAUUGGACAGACCACGUUACAGCGACCUGGAAGCCUGCCGUCUUCACCCGUCCUGGCUCUCUUGGGCAAGUCGCUUGCACGGGUCACCGUGCAGGACAGCAGGAGACCGAUCAUAAGCUCCUCCAAAAACUCAAUUUGAGAUAAAAGGCCGGGGAAUCAAAUAGCAACAGAUCGAGAGAGGAGAAAGAGACGCCCAUCCAGACCUUCAAACCGCGUAUGUCCUAAGCGCGUGGUCCGGACGUAUUUUGCUAUCCAAUGCAGGACGUUAUUGUCAGUCCGGACUUUUCUCAUAAAUUAGAAAAAGGGGUUGCGGGAAUCCAGACAGCAGACACGUAGGACUCUGACACAUCUAACCCAUCCAAACCUCCUUCCCGGUCUCAUUUUCUUCCACUCCGCCCCUGCUGCCCCAUUGCUUUGCAUCCGCACCCUCCUCCUCUGACGAUGUCGCUGUAUGACUUUAUCUAUCCGGCCGCCACACAGGCAUUAUCGGAUGUCCGCAAUCACCACCCACGCGCACGCUUAUCUUAUACUACGGGGUCGUCCACCCAGGAUCCGCCCACAUCUAGGUACCUCUGCCCCCCCCCCCUGGUCGACUACGUCCAUGGCGAUCACCACAGCCGACAGAUGUCCGACCAAAUGCCGUUGAGCUUAUUUUCAAACUUCAUGUCAUUUUUUUAGAGUAUGAAGGAUGGCGGGGUACUCGAGAAGAGAGGGUGAGUUGUUGUUGAAAGAACAUGCGGUGCCCCCAUGUUUCGUUUUGGUAAUUGAUGACAAUCUCUAUGGACUAAUGGUUGCCUUGAGUUAUAUUUGAAGGAUUUGUCCAUAGGCAUUUCUUGAAGUCCAUGUGUUGGUUUCAAGGAGUUUAUGUGGUGACCAAGGUGUUAUUAAGGAAUUAUCCAAAGAUUGGUCAUGUGAGAGUUGAGCUUAUUGCAAGCAUGUCCUGAAGAAGAAGAUUGUGUGAUCAUUCAUGUUUACCUUCAAGACAUCAUCCAAAUGAAGAGAGUUGGAAAGAGUCAAGGUUGAUCAAGACUAAGUCAAGAGUGAAUCAAGUUGAUCAACACACAAAGCGCACAAGAUGUACCGAGAGGGAUCAAGCGAUCCCAUGGUGUGGUGAGCAUUGUCAAUUACGUUUUGUGUACUAACCCAUGAUCUUCGUGAGAGUUCUUUGUGGGGUUAGGUUGCGGUGUGCAAGUUCAAGUGAAGCAUCAUGAAGAGAUCAAAUGCUUGAAGCUUGCCGUCCAUUGUGGUAACAAUGGACUUGUGAAGAUGUGCGGAAGAGUGGCUCACCCAUAGUGGAGCAUGGGGGAGCAAUCAACUAGUCUUCAUCGAGCCAACGCAACCAAGAAAGGUGGUCCAACUUGCGGGAGUCAAGAUCGUCAACAUCUAGCUCAAGUGGACCAUGUGCAAGGCAAAGGUUUGCCCUUGAUAGGUUUUCUAUUUUACCGGUCUCAUGCUGGUAGUUGGGAGACCGGGUUAUAGGAUCGAUUGUCGUACUAUCAAGGGGGGCUCUCGAUGAGUAGCUUGAUCGUAUCAUUCGUAGAGAGCUCAAAUCAUUGCAUCCUUGCAUCAUCUUUAUUGGUUCUUGUUCGGUUCUUCUCUUUGUGAGUUUUGGAGCUUAUGGUCAUCUUGAUGACAAGCUCGAGUUCAUCGAAAACGGAGUUCACUCGCACCUUCUAUGAUGUUUUCGAUGUUGGAGGUUAUGCCGGUUCUUCUCGGUUGGAGGUUUCACUCCUCUAUUUGUUGGCAUACCUCCCCUGCCUCUUCUCACUAUAACCAGUCGUCGUUGUUUUGAUGCUACUCGUCUUCCUCUAUCCAACAAGUUUGAGUUUGCUCAAUUCGGAGCUCAUUUGCAGAAGUUAUGGCAGUUUUGGUUUCCUAGCGGUAGUACCGCGGGCCGGAGCGGUAGUACCGCUUGGGUGCUACAAGCGGUAGUACCGCUCUAGAGCGGUAGUACCGCUGGUAGCCCCCAUCCGUAGUACCGCUGCGGUCUCAUACUAGUACCGCCUCGAUUCGAGGGGUCUUUUUCAUGUCGGGUUUUACGGUACUAGCCACGGUAGUGGGGGCCGUAGUACCGCUCGUUUGCGGUAGUACCGCCCUGCCACCGCGGUAGUACCGCUCUGGGCCCAGCGGCAGUACCGCGAGGGGGAGCGGUAGUACCGCUUAUAGGGGCAAGCGGUAGUACCGCUGGCCAAGCGGUAGUACCGCUCUCUACGGGGCUGAAGUGGGGGUAACGGUUGGAUUGUUCCCCCCACUAUAUAAGGAGGUCUUCUUCCCCAUUGAACCUUAUCUCUUUAGCUCGUGUUCUUCCCCCAUUGUUGACCUUCUUCGAGCUUGCUAACUCUCAAUCCUUCCAUGGAUUCUUGCUAGUUUUUGAGGGAAAAGAGAGAGGAGAUCUAGAUCCACAUUUUCACCAAUCACUUUCUCCUUUAUGUGAGGGGAACCCAUUGGAUCUAGAUCUUUGAGUUCUUGGUGUUCUCCUUCUUGUUCUUCCUCUCAUUUUCCUCCCUAGCAUUAGUUGCUUCGGUGGGAUUUGAGAGAGAAGGACUUGGGCACUCCGUGUGCCCUUGCCAUUGCAUUUGGUGCAUCGGUUUGAGUUCUCCACGGUGAUACGUGGAAGUUACAAGUUGAGAAGCUUAUUACUCUUGGGUGCUUGGUGCCCUUGAGCUUGUUCCUCUUGGGUACUUGGGCGCCCUAGACGGUUGGUGGUGUUCGGAGCUCAAUCAUUGUGGUGUAAAGCUCCGGGCAAGCGUCGGGGUCUCCAAUUAGGUUGUGGAGAUCGCCCCGAGCAAUUUGACGGGUUCCGGUGACCGCCCCCAAGGGUUGCCAAAGUGUACGGGUUCGGUGACCGCCCCCAAGGGUUGCCAUUUGUACGGGUUCGGUGACCGCCCUCAAGGGUCCCUUAGUGGAAUCACGGCAUCUUGCAUUGUGCGAGGGCGUGAGGAGAUUACGGUGGCCCUAGUGGCUUCUUGGAGAGCAUCGUGUCUCCACACCGCUCCAAACGGAGAUUAGCAUCCGCAAGGGUGUGAACUUCGGGAUACAUCGUCGUCUCCGCGUGUCUCGGUUAUCUCUUAUCCGAACCCUUUACUUAUGCACUUUACUUUGUGAUAGCCAUAUUGUUUCUUGUCAUAUAUCUUGCUAUCACUUAGUUGUUUAUCUUGCUUAGCAUAAGUUGUUGGUGCAUAUAGGUGAGCCUAGUUGUUGUAGGUUUUGUGCUUGUCAAAUUAACCGCUAGGUUUACUCCGCAUUUGUUCAAGCCAACUGUAAUUAUUUUAAAGCGCCUAUUCACCCCCCCCUAGGCGACAUCCACGAUCUUUCAGUUGUGUGAUGGGUGGUUGGUCAUAUCCGCGGAUUUUCGUAGGCAGGACCAGAAGGGGGCUCUUCUGGCAGCGAGUGCAUGAUUCGUUUCACACGUUAAAGCACAUUGUGCCCUACGACAUGCACGUCACCCAUGAACGCAAUGUAAAGUCGUAAGCGUAUCGAUGGUACACCAUUCAGACCACCGUCGCCAAGUUUUAUGGCACGGUUGAUAGGCUGGAGGCAAGGUGACCAUUGCGCGCGGCAGACGAGGAGAUCGUAAGUUUUGCUUCUUGUUCUUCAUUCACUCAAUGUUAUUCUACAUAUUGUGUAGCUUGUACGUGAUGUACCACGGGAUAUAGGGCAGACUGUUUACGCGCAUAUAGUGUUGGAUGAAUCUCAAGGGAUAGUACGUCUGGGACGACAUUUGUUCAUGAAAAACUUGUUGAUCAUCCCGUUAUUCUAGUUGAAUUUGAACUAUUCGUCGUUGAAUUUGAACUAUUUGUGUACUAGACUUAUUUGCAUGCUAUGUAUGGAUGAUUUGUGUUGUUUUUUAUCUGAACUUUGAUGAAUUCCGACGUGUUAUGAAUUACGUCCAGUUAGCUGAAAUGUGGUUUGAAAUGUAUGCGGAUAGUGUUGGAUGGCCGGCUCCACAUCUGUGUCCGCGGGCGGAUGCGAUGUCUGGUUUGCGGGUCGGUGUCCGAGAUGCCCUAAAUGAUGAUGACUUGAACUAAAUUUCUUUUAUUUCAGAUCUCUAACCAAGCACCAGCAAAUAAUCAUUUCAUUCCAUGUUGCUUUUUCCUAUUAUUAGUACCACCACAUAUAGGGAUGGAUGGAACCAUUCUAUCACGAACAAUCAUGACAUUCUACUCUACUCUACUUGAUUUCCAUACCACUUCAUCUCUCCAAUAAGACAGAUCCCAGUGGUGCAAACCGUCAAAAAAAAAACACGGAGUGCAAAUGGCCGAGCGCUGCACACCAUGCAUUGCCACGAAACACACACGCCAUAGGAAGCAAGCGAACGUCUGCAACGGAUCACGCCAGCGGCCGUCUCGGUCACUCUUGGCCGAGAUGCAGACGCCGGCGUUUCCUUCUAAACGGACACAGACUAGACUCGCGCACGCUUGCCGGAGAGCGACGGCCGGCCGGCGACCGACGACGUGGCCACGUCCUGGACCCAUCGACUGCAGCCUGCAGGGAUGACCUGGUGGGUCGUGGAUAGGCGCAGGAAUGUUGGAUAUGCUCUGCACUCGCCCAUGUCAGCAGGAGCGGAGCAAACUUUGUCACGUCGCGGCUUGGCGGGAGAUGGAGGGCGACCGGAGCAGCAGUAAACUUUGUUGCGAAGUACGUAUACGGAGAACGCAACACAUCUACAUGCGGCUACGCCUUUGAAGCAUACGUAUAUACGCGUAUCUCGAACGUGACAGGUGACGGUUUUUCCCAUAAGUGGACAAGAGGCAUAUCAUGGACCGUGGUGAAUUCCAAUCCGUUACUGCUUUCUAGUAGUACGAUUGACAGGUCGCGUGCACGAAAUCGCGAGAAACGGCGACCACCGGACGCAUGGGUCCAACGGGAACCAGCGCGUCGUGAUCGUCGUGUUGGGGGUAAAUGCCAACCACAUGCGACGUGCGUACAGUGACAUGGAAGCGUCGCUCGCACUCGCACGGGCCAUCCUGCCUGACAACCACUGAGAUCCUAAGCUCGCUCCCAGGACUUAAAUUUCUUUCCGAGGCCAUGGAAGCAGACAGCAAAAGAUCAUGAGCGCGAGGGCGAGAGAUCGAGACGCACAAACCACCACGCAUCAUCACUCACUGUUCACUCAUCAACGCCUACUCGGCCAGCAAUCUAUCUAGGCGAUGCAUGAUGCCAUGUUCAACAGACCAAAAAAUCUUGAGUAAAUAACAGCUUAAUUAGCGCCACAAUAUUACUAGUAACACGCGCUCUAAUCACAGGCAGGAAAAUGGAGUAUGUAGUUAAUAGUCUGCUAGUCAAUCGUCGGCGGCACAGUGGUACUGCACCUCGGGACGAUCUUCUUCUCCGGCGGCCUGCUACUUGGCGCCGCGGUUGAGCACCUCCUUGUAGUUGAGCAGCGAGUUGAGCCGCUGCAGCCGCAGCUGCUUCCGGAAGCUGUUGAUGAAGUCGUCCGCCCGCGCGUCCACGCCGCCCUCCACGGCCUCCUCCAUCGGCGGCGGCGGCGGAGGCGGCGGCAGCAUCCUCGCCUCCGAGCUCGACUUGCUCAUCUUCGCCUCCGCCCCCUGCUUCUCCCCCUGCUGCUUCUUGCUCUUCUUGCCCUGCUCCCGCGCCGGCUCCGACCGGCUCCUGCUGUACUGCGUCGACGUCUUCUUCUCGUCUGCCGCCGCGACGGCGGCCACGGCGUGGUCCGGCGAGGCGGAGAGUUCGGGCGCAAGGUUGCCGGAGUUGAAGCGGUAGAGGCUGAAGGAGCGCAGGCGCUCCAGGACGGACGGCGCGCGCGCCAGCGGCGCCGGCCUGUAUGGAGGGACGUACUCCUCGCAGUAGUACUGCUCCCCCUCCGGCUCCUGCUCCGGCGGCGGUGUCGUGAAGCUGUUGUAAUUGUCGGUGAACUCGGUGUCGUGCUCUACAAGGUCGUCGUCGUCCUCCUCCUCCUCCAGCACGGCCGGCUGGACCACCCGAGCCGCCGGCGCUGGGGCCACCUCGGCCCUCCUCGCCUCGGAGCUGGACCUCUUCAUCUUCGACGGCGGCGCCCGCCUCCUCUCCACACGCGCCGGGGGCUCCGACCGGCUCCUGGCGUGGUGGGCAUCUCCGGCCGUCGGCGCCGGCUCCGGAGAGACCGUCACGUCCCGCGAGUCGGUCACGGCGCCCGCGGCGUACUCGGGCGGGAAGUCGCCGGAGCGAAAGCGGUAGAGGCCGAUGGAGCGGAGGCGGUCCAGCACCGACGAGGUGCGCGCGAGCGGCGCCGGCGCCGGCGGCGGGGGCACGUACUGCUGCUGCUGCUGCUGGUCGCGGUAGUACAGGUCCUCCUGAUGCUGCUGCUGCGGCUCCACUUGUUGGAGCGGCUGCUCUUGGUGGUCGCCGUCAUGGCCGCCCUGGCGUCGGCGCUGGUGGGAGCGGGAGGUGAGCAGGAUGGUGCCGAUGACGAGGUUGACGGUGAGGAAGAGCGUGGCCGGCGUGAAGAGGCCCCGCACGGCCUCCCACGCGCCCAGCGCCGCGGCCGUCGCUCCGCCGUCCAUCUGCGCGGGCACCGGCAAGUACAGAGAGGAAGGGAGGGGACCGGCUUGGGGCUUGGCUGGGUGGGCCGAGGAGGUGGUGGGGAUUGGCGCUCGAUGAUGGGGUGGGGUGCGGGGGAGUCUCACAAGUGGCGGGGCGGCCGAGCGUUAAAUGGUGGUGGCGGGGGCUGGGCUGGGGAUGGGGGAGCUGACUUGGCGGGUGGAAAACGUGGGAAUCCAAGUCCUCGUGACGGGCGAGCCGACCCGCCGGGAUCGCGGGCGGACUGCCCGCCCGCUGCCCGCAUGGAUGGCAUCUCCCCUCCCAUCCCGGCCCACAAGGACUGACGCACGCGGUAUCUCACUCGCACUCCGCACGCGAUGGCCGGGGCCCAUCAUCUCAUGAGUGUCAUCAUCCUCGGUCGUCCCGGGCCUCGCGGGGUAAAAUUGACAAAUUCGACCUAUGGACGAAAUCAAAUCACAGAAUGAACUGCCCGUAAAACUAUUUCACCCGGCUGAUCUUUUUAUGGGACGCCCGACACGAAGGCGUCACACUACACUGUGCAACGCCUCACAGAUAGGCGCUACAUGCCUGGCCAGCGUCAGUGACCAGGCAAAAACGUCCCGCGUGCAUUAAAAGCCAAUUUACCGCGCGCGCGUUUUUUGGCGCGGCAGUUGGAGAUGCUCUAAGUUGAGAAAUUGAUUGGACGGGAGCAAUCGCACGCAACUAUUUCAGCGACUCAGACUACCCACAAUGAAAGUAACAUAGGUAGUAACAUCACACAUAUCUAGAUAAAGUAGAUGAUGUGGCAAGCAAUAAAUGAAGAAAGAGAGGAAAGUAGUAAUAUAGCUAGUUACUAGUAGUAUGAGUAACAUCACACAUAUCAAGGCAAGAUGUGUCUAUAGCCUAAUAAAUGAAGUGUUGCAUGUUACCACACAUAUGUUACUCCCCACUAUAGAGGUAGUAACAUAGACUAGUAACAUGGAAGACUAUGUUACUACCCAUUGUGGCUAGUCUCACACACACGGUUUAUCUACCUGGCACCAUAUUUUAACUCACGAUGACUUUCUUGAAAUGCAGGUGGCACAGUUGACCUCUCAGCCCAAGACCAGACAGCACAGCAGUAAUCAAUGGACGCGUCGUAACUCAGGCGCUAUACAGUUAACCAAGCUUCCUGCUUACUACAACGUCUGAAUAUCUAACUGACCACUGGCACCAUCGGUUAAGUUCCUCGGCAAACAAACGAGCACAUGCAUAUGCAUCGCCUGACGCGUAUUUGGUGAAGUAGGUGGCACACAUCGGCAGGUGGCAUCACGUGUGGCCUCCUUGAUGGACGGCUCCGCAUGGCAUCCCCUGCUCUAAGUCAAAGCCUCACCACUUGAUUAGCGUUUUUAACGACGCCACCAAGAAACCUACUGAGAAAGAGAUAAGCUCCCGCUCGUCGGCAGAUAAUAGAUUUUCUCAACCGUCACUUUCAAAGACAACAAAACGUAUCAAGUACGAUCUGAUGCACUGUUUGCUUCCGAGCAUGGAGCCCACACGGUGCGUAAUCAGCAACCGGCUCGACCUGACCUUUCUACCUAUCGAUCUAGUCAAGCAUACGCAUUUUUGGGCCUGUGUAUAAUCGAGUAAGUGUAGCCUAGCGAGUAUCAAAUCCAUUUUGCGAGUAGUUAAUUACACCAUCCCAAGAAGUUUUUUUUAGCAAGGGAAGGGUCCCGAAGUUCCCACCCAAAACACUCAUUAAUGUAGGAAAAUCAUUACAACACUACGGAAAGUGCCUGAAAAAGGACAAAUUACAAGCACAUCCUUCCAAUAUGCAAACAAGACCCUGAAAAGGAAUAUGAAAAAUUGAAAAUUUUGUCAAAAUUAGGUGUUUGAUGAUUUGCUGCUGCCCUGUGUUGUGUCAACGGAAGGUGGACCCCGAUUAUUCUGGACGAAGGGAAGGGAAAAGGUGCGAAUCGUCAAAUUGAUAGUAGGUAAAAUGGGGCCUCUCCGGAGGCGCAUUGGCCACCGUCUCCAGCCAUAUCCUUGCUCACAACGAGUAAAAGGUCAUAUGGGCCUCCCUUUGCAUGCUGAGGAUACGUAGGUUGAUUUGCAUGUGCGGCUCCGGCGAGGGAGGGGUGAUGACAGCGGCGCGCCUUCGGCUCGCUUCAGUGCUCGUAGUCGUCGCUAGGUGGUCUACGGAUCUGGAUGUAAUUUUUAUUAUUUCUACUGUUCGUUGUACUACCAUGAUUGAAGAUGAAUAUAUUGGAAGUUUUUCCAAAAAAAAAGUCAUAUGGGCCUCCCUUUGCAUGCUGAGUAUAACCGAGGGUACGUAGGUUGAUUUGCAGCCCGUGCCCAACCCUCGCAAUGACAAACCAAGAAGCUCACCGGAGACCAAUACCUCAUUGAUCUACAGCUCGGUGGCGGAGGGCGGUGCAUCGCUGGAUGAUUGACGUAGAACUCCCAUGACAGUCCUCUUCUUCCCAACCUUGCGAAAAAGAAUAUAUAAAAUACAAAGCUCUCAUGAGCCAACGGUAAUUAUUACAACUCGAGAUAAACAUGAUCCAACCAUUACUAGAAAUACACAUUUUACCCAGAGCCAUAUACCAUAGGAGAAAUGUGAAAAAACAUAAGGAAAUUCUUUACCUAGAGCCCACCCUAGGGAGAGAAAGUUAGGUAAAGUAUAGACGGAAAAUAUUCCUUUACCUACGAUGCACCUCACAAGCUCUCUAGGCUUGCAAAAGCCACCGUGUUUCUGGUAAACUACUUGCAAGAAGGACUGGUCACUUGCUUUGCCAUGUUUCAGCGUGUUUUUGAUAGGUGAGGCCGAAAAACACUGAUGUGGCGUAACGGCCGAGCGGCCGCCGCCAUUUGGAACAAAUCUAGUCAAACCGACACGGUCGGUUUGUGUCAGACAAAUCGACCGCGUCCACUCUCUCUUUCUCUCGCUCUCUCUCAUUUCUUGCGCGUGCUCUCACCGAUGGCGACGACGACGGAGGUUGUGUUGGUGAUGCUUUGCGUGGGGGUGAUGCAGAUCCACCAGAGUUCUGCAGAAGUUCGAAUCCGUCUCAGGCAACGCCUCCACAGCGGACACCGCCGCCGCAGGAUAAAUCAAUUGAAUACACAUCGGCGACUGCGUUUGCCCAGGUGGUGAGGGUAGAUCCAACGGACAACCAGCGUUGGGUAUCCUCUUUCGGCCGCGUGUAGCAAGUGAUCUUUCCCUACUCUUUUUUUCCUUGAUUUGGAUUCUAGGUUAGGGUUACCAACCCUAAUUAGAUUAGAUGGCAGUAACAAGACAAGCUAAACACAACAAAUCACCUAUGGAAUUCGUUACAACGACACAAUACAGUGCUAGAACAUGUUAAGUUUUAUUAUGUUUGGGGUACUUGUUCUUUCGGUGAACUUUUAUAAUAGAUCUAGGUAUUUCACAAAGAAAAUAUCAUUAGCGAUGACACACGGGGUCACAUUUGAUAGCAAGGUUGUUGCAGAUAACUAAUGGAUACUAGGAAGGAUCUCUUUGCUCAUGGGCCAUUGGUGGAGAAGCUGGAGAGAUUGGUGAGACAUUUUUUAGAUUCUUUAGUGAGGUCGGUUUCAUCAGUCGGCGAACAUUGCUGCUCAUAAUCUAGCACGAGAAGGCCACAUGAAUAAAUUGUGUAAAACUUGGAUGGGCAUAGCGCCUGAUUGUGUAAUCUCGGGUCUGACCAGGGAGCUACCAGACUUGAAUUAGUUAUAUAAUAAAGCAUCUAUUUCGCUUAAAAAUGACGGCUGUAUUAGGGUGGAUGGAAAGUGGGGAGGAGAAAGUGAAAGGCAAAAAAACUAUCUGGUGCUUUUAGUCUUUUUUCUAUCUUGUUAGUUUGGCUUGACAAGCAAGACAACAUAUUUUCUCUGUGUAAUUUUUUAAGACACUGUGUGUUUAAUGUGUACUGGGAUUUGUCUUCUAAAAGCCCAAAUCUGGGCCCAUGGGUCUUUUGUCGCAAAUAAUUACACGUCAUUAGUAGUGUACAAUUCUAGAAGAUGCUAGAGGGUUUCAUGUAGAAUAUGGGGUCCUUUUGAGAAAAAAAAACAUCAUGUUAAAUAGUGGGGUUUCUAAAAAAAUUGCUGGUUCAACAUGCCAUGUGUCAUCACCUCACAUGCAUUUGGCGCAUUUUAUUAAAUUGAGCACGUUGAGCUAUUUAGCGAACAAAAUAUAGCUUUUGCGAGGAAGUGAACCAAAGUGAGCGUCGGAAGCAAGUUGAUGUAUGAACUAUGCACUUUAGCUCCAAUGUAGCGACCGCUUUGAGUGAAGGAUGAACAUGCUUGUGGUGGACCGUAGACCGUUGGCUCAUUAAGGGGUACACAAAGGGGUUCCCUGGGCUAUUUUCGGAACCUUCUAGAGGGUUCCAAGUUGGGUUUCCCUUUUUGGAACCUUCAGUAACCUUCUAGAAGGUCAUUGGCAUUUUUCUAUUUCCUUACUGGAUUUUCAUUUUCAUUUCCGUUUCGUUUUUUAUUUUUUAUUUUUCCCUUUUAAACUAUUAUGUUUUUCUUCCACUUCCCAUUUUUAUGAUUUUUUCUCUACUUCAUAAAAAUUAAAAUUCCAAAAGAGUUCAAAAUCUUCAAAAAUUGUUUGGAAUUUAAAAAAAAAUUGCUUUUCCAUUUUUUGAAUUUAUUGAUCCAUGAACACUUUUUAAAUUCAUAACCAGUUUUCGAAUUUGUGAACAAUAAUUGUUCAGUAUGUAUUUGAAAAAAUGUUCUCUGUGUAACUGAAUUUUGUUCAUAUACAAAAAAAAAUCAUCGUAUAUAAAAAAUGUUCAUCAUAUAUCAAAUAUUUUUUCAGUGUAUAUUUAUAAAAAUGCUCAUCAUAUUUAAAAAAUGUUCAGUAUGUAAUUAAAGAUUGUUCUCCAUAUAUUAAAAAAAAUUCAUUGUAUGUAUAAAUAAAAUGUUCAACUUAUAUCAAAUAACUUUUCAGUGUGUAUUUUGAAAAUUGUUCAUCGUAUUUUCAAAAAUUGUUCACUUUUCCAAAUCUUGUUCGGAAUUUUUAAUUUGUGAACAUUUGUUCAAACUUACAAAAAUUGUUUGUAAUUUUGUUCACCAUAUUUUUAAUGUUCACUUUUAAAGAUCUUGUUCAGAAUUUUGGAUGUGAAAACAUUUUUGUCGAACUCACAAAUUUUUUUGGGACAAUUCCUUUUAUCCCCCUAACUUGAGCCACCACCUGGCAUUUGCCCCUAAUUUUCAGGUAUGCUAAAAAAUACCCCUCUUCCGUCAAGUCACCUUACAGAAAUGCCCUUCUGUGCCGUCACCGUCCGGUCAAAGGGGUUUGACCGUCUGGUGAAUAGUAAAUGGUGAACAGUAAAUUCGCAAAAAAUAGCAAAAAAAUCAAAAAAAUCUGAAUUUUUUUGGGAUCGAAGAUACUCAAGGGAGCAAGGCGCGUGCAAAUUUUGGCACAGUUUGGACAUUCCAGCAGCUCGUGUCAAACGAAAAACUUUAAAAUGUACUCUGUGAGCAGUAAAUUCAAAAAACUAGCAAGAAAAUUCAAAAAAAUAUGAAAUUUUUUGGCAUCAAAGAGGCUGGGGUGCGCAAGGUGCGUGCAAUUUUUUUUUGCGUUUCGACACUGUAGGAGCUCGUGGAGAAAAAACAAAAUUUGGCGCAGAAAAAAACUUUGAAAAAAUGCACUAUUUUGCUUUUUUUCUAGAGCACCUCGCAUGUCAUUUGAUCACAAAAAAUUGCAAGCGCCUUGCGCACCCAAGCCUCUUUGAUGCCAAAAAAAUUCAUAUUUUUUAAAAUUUUCUUGCUAUUUUUUUGAAUUUACUGUUCACAGCGUAUAGAUUUAAAUUUUUUCCUUUCCCACGAGUUCCUGGAAUGUCCAAACAACGUGAAAAUUUGCACACACCUUGCGCCCUUAAGUAUCUUCGAUCCCACAAAAUUUCAGAUUUUUUUAAUUUCUUUUGCUAUUUUUUUGAAUUUACUGUUCCCCAUGUUACUAUUCACCAGACGGUCAAACCCCUUUGACCGGACGGCAAGGGCAUUUCUGUAAGGUGAAUUGAUGGAAGAGGGGUAUUUUUGAGCAUACCUGAAAAUUAGGGGCAAAUGCCAGGUGGUGGCUCAAGUUAGGGGGAUAAAUGGAAUUGUCCCAAAAAAUUUAGAAUUUUCUUCACCGUAUUUUUGUUUGUUAGUCUGAAAAAUUAUCAUGAAAUAAAAAAAGUUCACAAUUUAUUUAUAAAUAAUGCUCGCAAAAUCGUAAUGUAUUCGCAAAUUCAAAAAAUGUUCACUUUUUUAAAUUCGUGAAUUGCUUUCCAAAUUCAUGAUCAUUUCUUGAAUUUUAGAAAAAAAAGGAAUCUCGAACAUUUUACAAUUCAUGAAUAUUUUUGAAUUCGUUAACUUGUUUCAAAUUGACAAACAUGUUUCAAUUUGGUUAACUUGUUUCCAGGAUUUGUCUCUGUAGCUCGGCAUCGACUAGCGGGACCAGUGGAUGGCGGUGGUUUUGGGGUCCAAGCUUCUGUGACAACGAUGAUGGUGGGGUGCGAUAUCGGCUGCAUGGCAAUGGUUGAGAUAGUCAACUCUUCUCUAGCGUGUCAACAAGUUUGCUCGGUUUGUUUGUUGCUGUGAAGUCGAAGCUGCCUCGGCGGGGUUCCCUGUGGCAUAAGAUGACUGGCUGCAGGUGGCCCAUUCGGUGAUCUUCUGUGGUGCCAGCCAUGCCUGGUUUUGUCCUUCGUAGUGCUCUAUUAGAGUUGGAGCUGCGUUGUCUCGUCGAGGUGGUUGAGUUCUGGCGUUGAUCAUCAUAUAGCUCCACACGUCCUCUACAACGCAGGAUUGAGCUGCGUUGUCUGGUCGAGGUGGUUGAGUUCUGACGCUGAUUUUCAUAUAGCUCCACACGUCUGAAGGAAAUAUGCCCUAGAGGCAAUAAUAAAGUUGUUAUUUAUAUUUCCUUAUUCAUGAUAAAGGUAUUGUUCAUGCUAGAAUUGUAUUGAUUGGAAACCUAUAUACAUGUGUGAAUACAUAUACAAACACUGUGUCCCUAGUAAGCCUCUACUAGACUAGCUAGUUGAUCAAAGAUGGUUAAGGUUUCCUAACCAUAGACAUGUGUUGUCAUUUGAUAAUGAGAUCACAUCAUUAGGAGAGUUAUGUGAUGGACAAGACCCAUCCGUUAGCUUAGCAUAUUGAUCGUUCAGUUUUAUUGCUAUUGCUUUCUUCAUGUCAAAUACAUAUUCCUUCGACUAUAAUGUUAUACAACUCCCGGAUACCGGAGGAAUACCUUGUGCGCUAUCAAACAUCACAACGCAACUGGGUGAUUAUAAAGAUGCUCUGUAGGUAUCUCUGAAGGUGUUUGUUGGGUUGGCAUAGAUCGAGAUUAGGAUUUGUCAAACCAAGUAUCAGAGAGGUAUCUCUGGGCCCUCUCGGUAAUGCACAUCAUAAGAAGCCUUGCAAGCAAAGUGACUAAUGAGUUAGUUGCAGGAUGAUGUAUUACGGAACGAGUAAAUAGACUUGCCGGUAACGAGAUUGAACUAGGUAUGUAGAUACCGACGAUCGAAUCUCGGGCAAGUAACAUACUGAUGGACAAAGGGAAUAACGUAUGUUGUCAUAACGGUUUGACCGAUAAAGGUCUUCGUAGAAUAUGUAGGAGCCAAUAUGAGCAUCCAGGUUCCGCUAUUGGUUAUUGACCGGAGAAGUGUCUCGGUCAUGUCUACAUAGUUCUCGAACCCGUAGGGUCCGCACGCUUAACGUUCGAUGACGAUAUAGUAUUAUAUGAGUUUUGUGAUUUUAUGACCGAAUGUUGUUCGGAGUCCCGGAUGAGAUCACGAACAUGGCGAGGAGUCUCGAAAUGGUCGAGAGGUAAAGAUUGAUAUAUAGAACGAUGGUAUUCGGACACCGGAAGUGUUCUGGAGGGUAUGAGGUACUUAUCGGGUCACAAGAAGGUGUUUCGGGCACCCCCGCCAAUCCUAUGGGCCAUAUGGGCCUUGUGAAGGAACACACCAGCCCACAAGGGGCUGGUGCGCCCUAUAAGGCUAUAGGAGGAGGAGAAGGAAAGGGGAAGGGAAAGGAAAGUGUGUAUUAGGAUUCCCACUUCCUUCCGUCACACCCCCCUCUUUCCUUUCCCUUCAUGCAUACAUGGAAAGUGGGGGCGCAGGGCAAGGCAGGGCUCCCAGGGGCGGCGGCCAACCCUAGGGCGGCCCUGGCUAUCUCUUCUCCCCCUCCCACCUAUAUAUGUGAGAAGGGGCGCCUAGAAUACACAACAACAAUCGUUAGCCGUGUGCGGCGCCCCCCUCCACAGUUUACACCCCCGGUCAUAGUUUUGCGGUGCUUAGGCGAAGCCUGCAAGAAUCACUUCACCAUCGCCGUAACCACGCCGUCGUGUUGACGGAACUCAUCUACUUCCUCGACACCUUGCUGGAUCAAGAAGGCGGGGGACGUCAUCGCGCUGAACGUGUGCAGAACUCGGAGGUGUCGUACGCUUGGUACUUGAUCUUUCGGAGCUAGAAGAAGCUCGACUACAUCAACCGCGUUGUCAAACGUUUUCGCUUUCGGUCUACGAGGGUAUGUGGACACACUCUCCCCCUCUUUUUGCUAUGCAUCUAUUAGAUAGAUCUUGCGUGAGCGUAGGAAUUUUUUUGAAAUUGCAUGCUACGUUUCCCAACAAUGUCCUCUACAACACGGUUUGAGUCGACGAUCCAGCGAAGUCAGAGUCGUUUGCUCAGGGUUUGGGGAUGGCGAUGACGCCUCUAGGGGAGGAGUGAUGACAAUGACGUCUGCGUGCUAUCUCGGCGAGACCCACUUUGGAGUGGUGUGCAUGGGUAUCUUGUGUGUGUCCUUCAGAUGGUUUUCGCCUGACUCUUCCUAAUUAACCGGGCAAUCUAAUUUUCGUCGGGUUUUCCCUAAUUAACCGAACAACACUUUUCUUCUUAACGAAUGCUAGAAAUAUAAAAUUUCAAAAAAAUGUAAAUAACAGAAAAAAUGGACCACACUGUGGAAUAUUAAGGUCAUGUCCAAGCCGAAUUUAUUUAUUUGGAGAUUGUGCACUGAAUCGAUUCCAGCAGUUGACGUACGGCACCACAUGCACAUGUCCACAAGUUUGGUUUGCUGCUUUUGUGUGGCAGAUGAUAUCUAGAAACAUGCGCUAAUUGAUUGUGUCAUGGCUAGAAGUGUUUGGUAGAGGAACUAGUGGAACAGAUGUGUGACAACUUAGGUUUGAAUGCAAAAAUUGGAUGUUCAUGAUGCACGAGAGUCUGUCCCAGGAAGAUUUCAUACGAAUGGUGGUGAAGAUGUGGGCCAUCUGAAGAUCCAGAAGGAAAGCUAUACAUGAAGAUAUAUUCGAUGGUCCCAUGUCAAUCCAUCUGUUCAUCAGAUCCUUCCUGAAGGACAUUUAUAUUUUGUCCAAACCGAGCCAGGUUUUUUAGCAGGAGCUACAUGACGAGGUCAUCACAUUGGAUACCACCCGCCACCAGGUCAUGUGAAAAUCAAUGCCGAUACAACGGUUGUGAAUGAGACUCAUGGUGCACUGGCAGUGGUUUUUCGUGACAUCAAUGGAGUUUUCUUGGGAGCUUCUUAUGUUACUUUCAGACAUAUACAAAUCCGGUCACACUUGAGGUGUUGGAAGUAAGUGAGGCAUUGGCAAUUACGGAGGACCUAUUCGUGCAGAGGUUCCAUGUGGCGUCCGACCGCAAGAAUAUGGUGGAAGACAUCAAGCAUGGUUCUUUGGCUGAUCAUGAAGCUAUUAUACAUGAAAUCCAGAGUUUAGGGGCUUGAAUUUCAAGGCUCACAAUCUCGCUAAGCAUGCACUUUUUCUCGGGUUGGGACGUGGUGUGUGGUUGGGCCAACUUGGGAUUUGAAUUUCAUUCUUGUAAACGUUCAAACCAUUUGAAUAAAGCUUGGGGAGAAUGUCCCAAAAAAAUAAAUAGAAAAAAAAACUACCAGCUGGGGGCCUACGUCUUUUUUACAGACUGUGGAGUUGUGCGUGGGCCUGUACCGGCGAGUAUAGCUGCUACCUCUUGAGCACUGCGUUGGUUUUCCCUUGAAGAGGAAAGGGUGAUGCAGCAAAGUAGCGUAAGUAUUUCCCUCAGUUUUUGAGAGCCAAGGUAUCAAUCCAGUAGGAGGCCACGCACGAGUCCCUCGCACCUACACAAACAAAUAAAUCCUCGCAACCAACGCAAUAAAGGGGUUGUCAAUCCCUUCACGGUCACUUACGAGAGUGAGAUCUGAUAGAUAUGAUAAGAUAAUAUUUUUGGUAUUUUUAUGAUAAAGAUGCAAAGUAAAGAAAGUAAAAUAAAAACGGCGACGGAAAUAGCUAAGUGCUGAAAGAUUAAUAUGAUGGAAAAUAGACCCGGGUGCCAUAGGUUUCACUAGUGGCUUCUCUCAAGAGCAUAAGUAUUACAGUGGGUGAACAAAUUACUGUUGAGCAAUUGACAGAAUUGAGCAUAGUUAUGAGAAUAUCUAGGCAUGAUCAUGUAUAUAGGCAUCACGUCCGAGACAAGUAGACCGACUCCUGCCUGCAUCUACUACUAUUACUCCACACAUUGACCGCUAUCCAGCAUGCAUCUAGAGUAUUAAGUUCAAAAGAACAGAGUAACGCUUUAAGCAAGAUGACAUGAUGUAGAGGGAUAAACUCAAGCAAUAUGAUAUAAACCCCAUCUUUUUAUCCUCAAUGGCAACAAUACAAUACGUGUCGUUUCCCUUUCUGUCACUGGGAUCGAGCAACGCAAGAUUGAACCCAAAACUAAGCACUUCUCCCAUUGCAAGAAAGAUCAAUCUAGUAGGCCAAACCAAACUGAUAAUUCGAAGAGACUUGCAAAGAUAACCAAUCAUACAUAAAAUAAUUCAGAGAAGAUUCAAAUAUUGUUCAUAGAUAAACUUGAUCAUAAACCCACAAUUCAUCGGUCUCAACAAACACACCGCAAAAGAAGAUUACAUCGAAUAGAUCUCCACGAGAGAGGGGGAGAACAUUGUAUUGAGAUCCAAAAAGAGAGAAGAAGCCAUCUAGCUAAUAACUAUGGACCCGAAGGUCUGAGGUAAACUACUCACACAUCAUCGGAGAGGCUAUGGUGUUGAUGUAGAAGCCCUCCGUGAUCGAUGCCCCCUCCGCCGGAGCUGCGGAACAGGCCCCAAGAUGGGAUCUCACGGGUACAGAAGGUUGUGGCGGUGGAAUUAGGUUUUUGGCUCCGUAUCUGGUAGUUUGGGGGUACGUAGGUAUAUAUAGGAGGAAGAAGUACGUCGGUGGAGCAACGUGGGGCCCACGAGGGUGGAGGGCGCGCCAGGGGGUAGGUGCGCCCCCUACCUCGUGCCUUCCUGGUUGAUGUCUUGACGUACGGUCCAAGUCCUCUGGAUAACGUUCGUUCCGAAAAUCACGUUCCCGAAGGUUUCAUUCCGUUUGGACUCCGGCUGAUAUUCUUUUUCUGCGAAACUCUGAAAUAGGCAAAAAACAGCAAUUCUGGGCUGGGCCUCCGGUUAAUAGGUUUAGACCAAAAAUAAUAUAAAAGUGUAUAAUAUAGCCCAUGAAUAUGCAAAAUAAAAUAAAAUAUAGCAUGGAACAAUAAAAAAUUAUAGAUACGUUGGAGACGUAUCAAUAGCUGGCCAAACGGGUCGUGCUAACUAGGCCAACCCGGUAGCACGCAGGCACGACACGACCCGUGCUAAACGAGCCAGGCCCAGCAUGCGGCACGCCAUGGGUCGUGCCUGGGCCUGGAGACUGGGCACGCGGGCCAGCACGACACGACUCGUUUAUUUUUUGAAUAUAUAUGUCUUAUAUAAAUACCUAUAAUACUCUAAUAUGUUCAAUGUUUUUGUAAUGCAUGCGUAUUUUAUUAGUGCUUGGAUCUGAGUAGUAGUAGUGUUAUAGUGUAGUCUUUGUAUAUUUUUUAUCCUUUUGUGAUUCUAGAGCAUGUUUUGUAUUCUUUUACUUCUUUGAGAUGAGAGUUUUUAAUGAUUUACAUGUGCUAAUAAAACUAUAGAUUUAUCCCACAUUAGUCUACCAAUUUUUGUAUUUUUCUUAAUUUGUUUGGCCUUUUUUUCGCUGUUUUCAGAGGUAUUACGAAGCAAAAAGAAAAAAAAUCGCGCCAGGCGGGUCAGCGUGCCACAACGGGCCGGCGUGGCUGGGCGUGCCGCGUGCCGGCCCACAUAGCCUACGUGCCGUGCCUGGGCUGCUAGCCUACCGGCCCGGCCUGGCCCGCCCGUUUGGCCAGGUAUGCCGGCGAGCGGAGGCGAGGCCCCAAAAAAACCAAAUAGACCGAAUCCCCCCUCUCUCUCUCUGCUUCCUCUGUACCCUUUCCUCUCUCGCACGGCACCGAAGCUCACCUGCGGCAAUCGGCACCGCUGGUCAGCAGUUGCAGCGCUCCCAUGGAGUCGCCGCCGCGGCGUCCGCCGGAGAGGAGGUACCCUCUGCGGGAAAACAGGUCUGCGUCGAGAGUCCCGCCUCGACUGCCCCCUACCCGGUCCUCCUCGUCUUCGUCUUCAGCAGCACCAAGUCCCCCUCCGACGAGCUUCGCUCGAGCCCUUGCGUUUGCGCCACCACCGUCCUCGCCACCGGCUUCGAACCGUCACCGCGCCUCCUCAUCGGCCGCAUUGGACGCGGCAACGGGCGAGGCUGUUGGCCCCAUCUCGUCCGAAGGUAUCCCGAUCCCGUCUUCGCCCUCUCCCCCCUCCCCCGCCUCCGCCUCCGUCCGCGCGCGCGCGCAUGUGGUUCGCUGGCUCCCCCCUCUCGAUGCGUGAUCCGAAGACGCGAGACCUGAUUUCGUCGCUAGGGUAGUGCAACGGCGCUUGCUGUUCAGACUGUUCCGUCUUUUUUUUUGCGGGGGCAGACUGUUCCGUUUUCCUUUGCUGUUCAGACUUGUUGCAGCAAUACUUCUAGGGUUCCUGUGUGAACUACCUGCGGAAUGCCAGAUAGGGGAUUCUGUAGAGAAUGUAGCUUCCUGUUUGAACAUUAUCUUUAUGUGGUGGUAACCAUAGAUUAUGUCAAUCAGCUGCCAGUUGAUUAGUGUUAAUAUUUCAGGUACCACCGUUUCUGUAUCAGAUAUCCCUCUGAUGGUAAAGACCAAACAUCACAAGAAAAAAGAGGUCAGCUAACUAUGUUCCUCAAAUUGAUGUGCCCUACAUUCGUGCAAUGUUCGGUUUCAUACUUUAGUACCAUGAAUAUCCAACUACCCAUACAGAAGUUACCUUGUCCGCGCAGACAAUUAUUUUGAUUUGUUGCUUUUUUGGGUCAGAGUUAUAAUGUUUGAUUAUUCUUGUGUCUUUUAAUUCUUAUGUGAAAAUACUAGCGAUGAUGAAAUUAACUGGUAUAUACUUGCCCCUGCAUAGGUUAAGGGGACUCAUGAGCCAAGAUUAAGAUAUUCGAGGUCAAUGUGGGUGAAACUCCCUACUUACAACAGCAUUUAAUUUUUUGUUGGUUGCAAUGAACUUCGCACACGUAUUAUCAUACCAUUCUGUUCUAACUUCAUAGUUGGUACAUUUAUCAUCAGCUUACGUUAUAUUUAUGUGCUGGCUACCAGUUGAGUUUGUGUUAAUAUCUCUUGUAUCACCGUUUUUUUCCAGAUAACAUCCAGGAGGGCAGAGAAAAGGGGGUCAGUCGAGUUGCUGGGAUCGGAUCAAAUCACGGUGAGUGAAACUGCUUUGCUUACAACAAUUCCACUGGUAAUAGAAAAACACACACCAUAUCAUAGAGAAGAGAGUCCGUUGUUCUCUUUGUGGAGAAAGCAUGGAAGGGAUUUUCUUGUUAGUAGGUUAUGUUUCCCUACGUAUACUGUGUACAUUAAAUUGUUCUUGGGAAGUACUUCGUGCAUAUAUUUUUGGAUUUUCGUGCUCUUCCUCCGUUGAUUGACACUUGCUUACUUUGAUCUUCUAUAAUUUGGUAGAUAGGAUACUCUUUGAACACCAUUGGCCUUCCUGUAAAGUGUUAUUAAGUUUGGAUUUUCUGUGUGGCAUGUGAAAGUUGUAAAAUACAUUGUUGAAUACCUUACAUGGUGAGAGUAGUGUGAUUUGGAUUUUUAUGAUUACACUGUCUCUUGCUCUAUGUGAGCACAUUAUUUGUGUAUACACUAUAAUUUGUGUUGGCUGCAAUGUACUCAGCUAUUGAUACACUCUUCUACCUUGCAGCAGCUGUUGAAGAGCAUGGACACUUUAUCAGAAUUAAUACAAAAGGAGCUCAGUGAUGCCUUGAAUACACAUGGAGUAUCCGAUGGUGAGAAAAGGAAGAUCUUCACUGAUCUUGUGAACAAAUGGAACAGCAUUCUUAAGGAGGCAGUCUCUACUGAGAGGGGUCGUUGCAAAAUUUUGAUCAACAAAAUCCAAGAGCUAAUUGACAAGUACAUGCCACUCUGCCUUGUUCUUGGAGAACCAGAAAAAGUAUCAGAUAUUCAGGUAUUUGGGGGUUAACCUCGAUUUUUUGUGUGAAUGCACAUAUGUCUGAUCUGAUUUUUUUUGUUUGUAGUUGACUGCUAGCCUAAAACAGAUCGAAAGCCUUCUAAUAUCUGCUGUGCCUGAAUUGGAGGAGCUGAAAAGGCAAAGAUUCAUGAAAGUAAGUGACAGUUUAGUUUUUCCACAUGUACAAUUAACUAGCAGUGUGAACCAUUCUUACUAUGGCAUGCAUUUGAGUUUGCCCUUUUCUGCCAAAUAACAGUAUUUAUCUUCUCAUGAAUUUGAUCCUAGCAAAAGCAAGCUUUCAAUUCUACUUUGUUCUUCCUUUGAAUCUUGUUUGGAUCUUUCUCCCAAAUAGCAGUAUCUAUCUUCUAAGCAGGAAAACUGCUCCACCACUCAUACAGCCGUAACCAAACAAACCAACCAGCACCACCCACUCACGCUCCUGCCCUGUCACUCUCUCCCUUCUGUCUCCCCAGAAGUCAGAAAAACUGCAGCGGCUCACACCCCCACAACGUCGCGUGUUUUGUCUGUGUUUUGAGUGCGUGGAGUUGGGUCUGGUAGAUUUCUCCGAUUGUUUUAGCAUCAUCCUUUUGGAGGUGGAAGGAGGGAAGGGUGAGGUGAACGUACCAACUCCCCUUUAUAAUAGUAAAGAAAAUGACAAUCACUGUUAGUGGAUUGACAUUGACUGAAAAGAAAAUCACUAGUCCUUGCUUAAACAUAGAUAGUUAAAGUGGGGGUUCUAAAAAUGUCAUACACUUGUAUGUUUGCACUUGACAAGUUAGUAAACUUUCAAACAUCGUGGUUCAUUUGCUUCUUUAGUUGGUAUAGUCUAUGUCUCCGCUCAUUGCUGGAAUUGUGAGAUGUAAACUUGUUUGGGGUAAGGCUAUAUUUAGUGAUGUAAUUGUAAUUUCAAGACAUGAAUGGGUGUAUACCCGGAAGAUAGUGGGAUGUUCUCGCUGGGCAGUAAAUUGGGGGUGUGGUUAAUUGGAAAUGUUGAAUCUGGCAAUUAAAUUUUCCAGCCAUACCCGUAAUAUUUGUAUCUCACUACUUGUUUUGCAUCUCCAUUGCUCUACCAAAGAUUUAACUUAUUGUACUUUGGGAAUUGUAUUUCAUUGGUGCGACCUAAGCUAAGAAAUGCUUAUUGCUGAAAUUGUGAGAAAUGAUACUUAUUGUACUUGUGGAAUUGUAGCUUCAAGACUUACAAGGAAGAUUGAUAGAUCUGUGGGACGAUUUGGGAGUUACCAUCCAAAAACAGAGGCCUUACUCUUUUAUGAUCUGCAACUGCGCUGCAAAAGUAGAUGAAGUGGUUGAAGAGAACGCCUUAUCUGCUGAAUUACUAGAAAAGGUUAGUAUCACCUCACAAAACCUAUUUUCUCUGGUCUACAAAAAAUUAUGUGAUGGCAAAUUAGGCCUUCUCAAGGUAUGAUAUCAGCAAUCCCUGCUUAUCAUGUGGCACAUAAUGACUUUUAACAUACUGUUGGCACUCUCGCUACGCUGAGUACUUGUCAUCUUUGCACACAAACCUCCUUUCAAAAUAUCGCUUCACCCACCUGUGUCUGAUGUUGUACAGCAGAGUCAUGUAUGGAUGAGUUUUAAGGUUCUACUUAUCUAGAAGAAUCAUCCAUGCAGUCUCUCGUCUGUUGUAAGCAUAUAUGGUUUAGUGGAAUUCUGCACGGAAUCUAACAUUUGAAUUUUCGUGUAGGUCGAGUGCGAGGUAGCGAGGCUGGAAUUGCUGUUGAAGAAAUCACUUACAGAGAAGGCUGGAGAUAUUUCUACAGAGGCUGAAAGUAUACGCAAUGAUGCAACAAAGCGUGAAGGUAAAUUGCUAGAAUAUGAAAAAACUGGGGGGAGGGUUGAGGUGUUUAGUAGUACUAUUAAUCAUGAUUAUAAACCCAAAGAUUCAUCUUUUUCAUGCAAUUCCAUAGAUUCACUGUUUGUGUUGCGCGAACAAAGCACUAUCUUACUUAUAACCAAGUCUCCAGCUCGAACACACACAUACACACAAAAAAUUAGCAUCACUGCCCACGGUGUUUUCUGUUUUCUGGGAGGUGUAGAUCCGACUGAAACUACACACCAUGAUCAGGCAAGCUUGCCUCUAGACACUGCUGAUGUUCAACUCAAUCCAUGGUAUGGUAAUAGGUUUCUAAGUAUAACCACCUUAGCAUGUGGUGGCGUGCAAGUCUGUAAAAACUUUAGAAAGUACACUAGUGUCAAAAACGCUCUUAUAUUAUGGGACGGGGGGAGUAACUCCCAUGUGCAUGCCUACAACCAGUUUGCAUAAAUGCUGAAUUAACACUGUUUUAUGCAGGGCUAGCUGAUGCACCUAAACUGAGAGAGGAAGUCUGCGCCUGGGAAGAAGAGCAGGGCAAAAGAUUUUUCCGUGAUGCUAAUCGCUUGAAAGGAAAACUGUGCACUGAAGCAGUGGGCCGCCCACAUUUGUCCGCAGGGACUUCCCAUGCGGCAGGUAUUCGAGUUACUCCUGUACCUAACGCUUCGGUUAUCAGAGUCAUCUUUUCUUAUGUAUUUUGGUCUGAAAGGUGCUGCUGCUGCCGCCGCUGAGGCGGACUCGUCGAGCUCACCUUCCGAUCACUCCAGCAAGGAUCCCGACUUUGAUCCAUCCGAUGACUCUGAGCAAGAAGNNNNNNNNNNNNNNNNNNNNNNNNNNNNNNNNNNNNNNNNNNNNNNNNNNNNNNNNNNNNNNNNNNNNNNNNNNNNNNNNNNNNNNNNNNNNNNNNNNNNNNNNNNNNNNNNNNNNNNNNNNNNNNNNNNNNNNNNNNNNNNNNNNNNNNNNNNNNNNNNNNNNNNNNNNNNNNNNNNNNNNNNNNNNNNNNNNNNNNNNNNNNNNNNNNNNNNNNNNNNNNNNNNNNNNNNNNNNNNNNNNNNNNNNNNNNNNNNNNNNNNNNNNNNNNNNNNNNNNNNNNNNNNNNNNNNNNNNNNNNNNNNNNNNNNNNNNNNNNNNNNNNNNNNNNNNNNNNNNNNNNNNNNNNNNNNNNNNNNNNNNNNNNNNNNNNNNNNNUCAUGAUUACGACAUGUUCCUCUGUUGUGUUGAUGUACGAACUACAUGUAGAUAUAACAACAAAGCGCGGCGGUGACAAACCUGUUGGUGAGAAAACUAGAGGCUGUACGGACCAAAGGAUGGCCUUAAACAACACACUCGUUACGUUUUCCUUUGUGUUUUUUUAGUGGAGUGUCUGGCCAUGUUUGGAUCACUGCCUGCGGCUGCCGAGCCACACAUGGGGCGUGCCUUCCAGCCACUCCAAACCAUUUCUCCCUACGUUCCAAAAUGAAUAAGGCGCGCAUGCAUUCUAAAUUUCAACUUUGACUCAAACUCUAAAUUAGACGAGCCAAAUAUAGAUUAUAUCUGAUAAAAAUUAUACCACUGAAUUUGUAUUGAAACUAAGUUUUUUGUAUAAUUUUGUAGUCACCAAAAAAUAUAUACUAUUGAUCAAAGUUGACUUUUAGGAUGCGUGCACACCUUAUUCAAUGGAAUGUGGAAGUAUAAGCUUAUCCCAGAGUGGCGGCCGAUUCGUUCGUGGCAUGCCGCAGUUUAGCGUGGCAACUUGAGGAUCCAGUCCAAACACGCCUUUGUGUUAUGGGACUUUUCAUUUGUAUCCUUAACUUGAAUCCACUACUUAGAGUUACUUCUAAUUUCGGAGCAUGUUCAAAUUUGUCCCAUUGCCGUCAAAAUCUGGACGUUUGCUGGACAUUUUGCCCCUAACACCACGUGUCACUUAUGGGUGGGGCCCACUCAUCAAAAAUAUAAGCAACUACUGUUUUUGGUCGUUGUCAUCGUCAUUUUUAUAGAAAACUCCUUGACUUUUAUGAAAAUAAACACGCAGUCCAGUAAAUCUAUAUCUAUAACAAUAUAAAAAGAUCCAAACCAUCUCGACCGUCAAAUCAUGUUAUCUAGCGGUUUAAAUCGCUUCAAUGUUGAGCACCAAACACGUUUAACGCUCUAAUUACCCAUCAUUGCCAUUGGCUAUAAACACGUUUUGACUCAAUGCUAUCCUAUGAAAUCUGCCAUGUAAUUAUUAUCCUGUCAUUUCCGUGAAAAAAAUGAUUGAUAUCUUACCAAAUACCAAUGUGCAACAAAUAUAUCUGCCUAAUAUAACGUGCAACUAAUAUCCUAUCUAAUAUAAAUAUAUCUACCUAAUAUACCAAUCUGCCAUGUAAUUUUUCGUCGCUUGAAAGAAAAAACACCCCCGAAUCGAGCGACCGCAUCUCCCACCCCAUCUCGAUGCGCCGCCUCGCCGCCGCCGGCCCGCAUCCUCCGCCACGCCAUCCUCCGCCGCGCCGUGCUGCCGUCCUCCCCGCACCCGGCCUGCCUCCUGUCCGCCGCGCCAUCCUCCCUGCGCCAUCCGGGUCCUCCGCGCGCGGUUCGCCGACGCCGAGGCCCAGGCCGCCGCGCUCCGGGCCUGCACCGGUCGGCUCGAGCACGCGCCGCCGACCGCGACGGGCUGCUCAACACGCUCCUCGCUGCCAUGGGCAACGGCCGAGAGGAGGAGGAGGACACGCAGGAGGCAGGGCAGCGUCAGAAUCGCGCGCGUUGGAUCCGGCCGAUGGUUACGGCGACACGGACGCGGAGGCUCUGGCCGCGGUCGCCGCGCUCUAUGCCCCGCCCCUGCUCGCCGAGCCCUGCCUCUCCGGAUCUCCAGCCAUGUAUGCUGCCGGGGACCCUGCAGGUCCAAGCUCGUCGGCGAGGGGGAGCGCAGACAGCAGCCUAGCCCGUCAGUAACAUGGCAGUAGGCCUCUUCUCCCCUUCCCAGUUUACAGCAGCGUGCCACACUUUCUCAGGCUCCUGUCCCCGUCGUCAGCACACCGAUUCAGAGGUAGAGGCUGACUUGCAGCUCGUGGACACAGAGGAGGAAGCCUAAGAUCAAUCUCAAAAGCUGUUAUCACUGUUCUCAGCCAGCGAUGCAUAGGGGAAUUGUUUGCUCAUCUAUGUGUUAAAAUCUGGACCUUUUCAUCAACGACUUCAACAAGGACGAGAUCAAGCUGCAUCUGCGCUGCUCUGUCCACCACAACAAUUUUGGAAUGCAUUAACUUUUAUCUGCCCAGGUUGAAUCCUUCAUUCCUCAUUCUCAUCCUUAUUUCUUGAUGUUGGGCAAGACACUCUAGAUGAGUUGCUAACUUCAAAAGGCUUCAGUUCUAACUAGAAGAAAUUUCCCUUAGGAAUAUUUUAUCAGUUCAACUGGUGUUACAAUAAAAGCAAGAAAGUGAUGCAAGUUCUUUGGGAUAUAUGCACCGGAAAAUAUAUGAACACUGUUGGCCCAAAAUCACAGGGCCCACUAAAUUGUUGUCCAUUUGGCCUCAUGAUUUUAAUGAUAAUUGUUCUACCAUGAAAUCUUUCUUCCGCUAGCAUUUCAACAGUACUGUGUGCUGUAGCCAUAUACAUCUGAAUCAUUGGAUAAUAAGAGUUUCCUCCUAUGCCAUGCAUCCGGUGUAGCGCUCCAGUGAGAAAUAAUCAAUGGUGUACUUAUCCCCUUUACAUGUUCUUUAUUGACAUUUUUUACAUUGAAUUCUAAGCUAAGUGCUUAGUCUUUUGUUACUUGCAGGCAGGAACAUGAGCAUGCAUUUCUGGGAGUUCGCAAGAAGGCGUUGACCCCCUUAUAUAUAUUGCUGCUCUCUGCCAGAAACCAAAUAAAUAACACUUCAUGAUGCUGCUCACUGAUCGAUACUAAAUAUAUGGCUUGUUCUCGAGGAUUGUUAUCACUUUUUGAUUCAUAUGGAAUUUGAGGAUAUGGAUGACACUGGUUUGUUUCUCUUUCACUAAUAAAAUUCUGUCCACCAUUAGCUUACGGGCAAUGCUCCAGAUCCACAUGAACAUGCCUGAGUAAAUGCUCUUUAUGGUUCCAUGUUCUUAUGUAAUAAGACUUGAUGUGUUUUAUCUUCCAAUAAUUCAGACACGGGCCUUCCAACUUGAUACAAGCUACUGACAAGAGUUAGAGGGUCAGGUUUGAUAUUAUUAUUUGUUGUAUGACUAUUUGUUCUCAUUAUGGCACACCUUAUUUAUCUUUUAUUAGUUAUUACAUAGUUUGUCUAUAUUACUCGAAACAUAAUUAUACUGCGUACAUUUAGUGGAUACUGUUGAGUAAAAACAAAAUUCGAACUUCAAAUUACAUACUGGAUUUAGAUUGUUUCCUUAGAAACGAAGAGUUCUUUUUUUGAUGAAAAUGCCAGAUUGGCUUUUCAUUCAUGAAGAAGGGGUGUAGUACAAAGUGUUUCUCAAAAAUACAGGGUAGUACAGCUGCAUACGAACUGUAUGCAGGAAACAUACAGUGGAACAGAACUGAAGCAUCUCUAAUCUGGCUCCCUUGGUUUUUGAAUCAGCUGGUUAAAACCCAAGAUAUCUUUUGCGGUUCCCAGUAGUUGUUUACUAGAGGUAUCCAUGAUCCUUUAGAAAUUAGAAGUGUUAGCAAAACAAAGUGGAACUGAACUGAAGCUAUUUCCAUUAGUAUUGUCUACGUCUCCUUGACCUUUCAUGGGAAUCUGAUGUAACCAUCCUGCAACCUGCAAUACUAUAGAUGAUAUGCAGAGAAGAUUUCAAUAUUACUUAUUACUGCCUUAGUACCAUGCCGUUCUUCUCUACAUAAAUCAUUUAUAAAGCUGUAGGAGGAGCUCAGCUUACAUAUCUGAAUAUCCAACCAAUUGCCUUACCACUAAUUAGUUGCCACACUGCAACUACUGACAGUGGAUACUGACAUCUUAUUCUCUUGGUAGAGUUCAAAACAACAUGAAUCAAGCUGAUGAAAUUCAGUUGUAUUUUUUUCUUUUCCGACCAUGUAGUUUUUUAAACUGCUCUGAAGGUCCUUUCAUAUGUAAUUAAGCUCACACGCAAACGUCCUUGUACGUACUAUAGAAUCAUAUGCUGACAAUAUUGAACUUUUCUGUUGUAGUAAGAAUAUCAAGCGUUGUUUUGUCAUUGGUGUUUCAGUUUGUCGGUUACAGGUAUAUCAUUCCAAUAUUCAUACUAUAGGAGUUGUUGUCAGGGAGUGCGAGAGGGGCAGCAGAGUGGCCAGUGAGGGGAGCACCAUCACGGGAGAUGUGUUCAUACAACGCAACGUCGAGGAGAUGUCGACGACCUCCGUGGAUGAGCGGUGGUUGUGAGAGUUUUCCGAGGAAGGCCCACUCGAUCAUGGAGUGGCUAUCGCUGCAGAAGGCGACGCUAGCAACAGAGGCAGCCAUCCAUUUGUGCCACCAUCAAUAACAACGUUGUAACAAGCAUGGCUCUGCACUGGUGAGUAGAACUCUUCCUCCAAAUCAAAUCCAACUAUUGGAUUAAGAUGUUCUAAAAUUUGUUGCCUCACUGCCUCAUCUGUGUCCAUAUCUCUGUUGGGAAUUUGCAGGUUGCUGAAGCAGUAGAGUGGCUUAUGUCAUGUAGGCAACUGGUGGCUACAAGGAUCCGUAUGUAAACAUGGUGUGUGAAAUUUGUGCUACACAGGAAUGGAAUUGCCAAUUUACAAAAUAUAAUAUGCAUGUUUGGUUGAUGAUUACUUGGGGUAGCCGAAUAAAACUUGGAACCAGUAUAACUUCAGUGUGGCUAUGAAAAUUUUAGAUGGAGUUAGUGGUUUGUUACCUAUUGGAGUAACAAAUUCCAGUUACCCAGUAGAAAGCAAGGUGAAUUGGAAAUCAAUUAUCAAAUCUCCUUUAUAGGCUUUUGCUAAAGAGAGAAACUGAGAGAUACUAAUAUCCUGGUUUCAUUGAAGCUUAUUUGUCGUCUUGAAUCCCGAUUUGGACAAGAACUCCCCCAUGAUCCUUGAAUCCCUGUAAAGCAGCAUUGUGCAUUGCUAUUGGAUGACGCCGUGGAUUGUGGGCGUAGAGUGGAGGUUGCAUCACAUGCUCAACGUUGUGUCAAAGGACUUGCAUAGCCCACAGGGAUGUGGUGGUGUUCAUAGUGGAUGGGCAUGUCAUAAGUUUUUCUCCCGUUGCAACGCACAGGCAUAUUUUCUACUAGUAUAUAAAAAAACCCUUUCUCUCACCCUCUCUCUCCCCUCUUCACUUCCGCUCCCCCAAAUGCUCCAUUCCUAGCUAUUGGUGCCGUCCCUGUGACUGUGAGGUUCGCCUCGUCCGCUGGGCAUGGACAUCCCGUGCUUCCCUGGACAUGCUUUAUUGUGUGGGUGCUCCAGAGGCUCCCGCGAGCAAGCUUCUGCGCAUGUGCGCACGCCUUCCCGCCUCUGCAGCUUGCUCGAGGCGCAUCGCCGCUGUUCCCGAGCUCACGCCGGAGUGUAAGCUCCGGUUGUGAGGCUGACUGUGGCCCAUACUGUUUGCAUAAUUAGGAUCAGCGCUAAUGAAACUAUAUGAGGUAAACGUAGCUAAGCAGUGGACCCCCACACUUAAUUAACACAAUGUAUUUACAUUCUAAAAUAAACAAGUCACUAAAAAGUUUUUUUUUGUUUUUUCUAGUUUGGCCCCACAUGUUAGUGUGUGAGAGAGAGGGCGUGGGAGUAAGAGUUUUUUUUUCAUUUUUUAGAGUGGGUCCCACCUGUAAGUGACAUGUGGAGUCAGGGAAAAAAUGUCCAACAAACAUCCAGAUAGCGGUCAAAGCCCUUUGACUAGACGGUAACGACACGAAAGGUUAUUUCUAUAAGUGCAUUUAACGGCAGAGGGACAAGUUUGAGCAUGCUUCGAAAUUAGGGUUAAAUCUGAGUAAUGGAGAGUUAGGGACACAAAUGUAAAAGUCCCUUGUGUUAUUAGAGUAUCUACAACCGGAUGGGGCAGAUCCGCCCCUCCCCCUCCCCCCACCCCCCCGACACCAAUGUCGCUCCUCAUUUGUAUUUCCAGACAAUCGCACUUCCCAUAUGCCAACCCUUAUAUCCAUGCAUGUCCAUCAUAUAACACAAAUUAAUCAUCAAUUGGACAAAACAAAAUAAGCCAUAAUUGUUUUGAGCAAACACAGCGGGGAAGGUCCCCACAGUAACUCGCUAAUAUUUUUGAAUAAUACAUUUUUUUAUUAAUUUUCAAAAUAUUACGUCUAUUUUUUAUUUUCAAAAAAUAAUACAUAGUCGGCCAUCUGUUGGCCGACUGGACCUUAUCGUCCUACAGGAAGCCGACAUGGCGGCUAUAGGGAGGCCGAUUGGGCUCCUACCUCCUGUCGGCCGCUGGUCUUAGCUUGCUAAUUGGCUUACCGCAGGCCGACUGGGACUAAUUGUCCUACUGUAGGCCGACUGGAGCUAAUUGGCUUCCCGUCUGCAUCGUCGAAGGGCAAGAGUUCUUCAUCGUCGAAGGGCAAGAGUUCCGUAUCGUCGAAGGGCAAGAGUUCUACAUCGACGAAGGAUGGCGAUGAUGAUUUCAUGUAGUUUUUAAGCUGUAUGUUGUAAGUUCAGUCCUACCUACCGUUUAAUUCAGAUGUAGUUGUAUCCAGUUGUUUGUACUAUCUUAUUGUAAGAAAUUAUGUUCUAUCUAAAUAUGAUGUUGUAGUUUGGAUAACAGAGUACUAAAAUAGAGUAGGCUUAUGUCUCAUACAUAAGUACAUAGUCAUUUGUCUCAUACAUAGAAUAGAUAUAAGUCUCAUACAUAAGUAGAUAGUCAUGUCUCUACUGAUAGAGAGAAGCGUCACUGACGACGUUUGCCAUGGCGCUGAGGCGGUGCUUGAGGCGUCGAUCAUCCAAACCUGUGGGGUGGCCUAAUGUUAUGAGGAGGAAUCUUAGACCUGUCCUGCUCAUACUGUGUAUCCUAUGUGGGUUCUGGUGGUUGAGUUGAAUACAUGUCCAUCCACUGUGUGUGCUGCGACAUGUAAUCCUGUAUGUUCUCCUCGGCCUACAGGAAGCCAAUUAGCUCCAGUUGGCCUACAGUAGGACAAUUAGUCCCAGUCGGCCUGCGGUAAGCCAAUUAGCUCUAGUCGGCCUACAGGUAGCCGACAGGAGCUAAAACCAGCGGCCGACAUGAGGUAGGAGCCCGAGCCCAAUCGGCCUCCCUAUAGUCACCAGGGCGCCUAUCGGCUUCCUGUAGGACGACAAGGUCCAGUCAGCCAACAAAAGGCCGACUAUGUAUUAUUUUUAAAAAAUAAAAAAUCGACGUAAUAUUUUUGAAAAUUAAUAAAAAUGUAUUAUUUAAAAAAAUCAGCCUGUAACUCUAUUUUCACUAAUAUGGUGAGAGAGUUACAAAAGGCUAUAAAAAGAUAUGAUCAAGGAAGACAAAUCUACAAGUAAUCUAGUCAUGUCAACAUCCCUUCUUUCAAGCUAGGUUUUGCCUUUUUGAUGAUCAUAUCAAAAUGUUCCUUAAAGCUUGAGACACAAAAAGCCAUGCUCUUUACUUUGUGAUCAAAGAUGUUGUUGUUUCUAUGUUUCCAUAGGCUCCAGCAACCUACAAUUAAGCAUUCCUUGAAACAAUUGACAUUAUUCUGCCUCUUUCCAUCCAUGAGCAUAUUUAUGAGUUCAUAAUCUGUGUUCCAUUGCAAACCAAUGGUUAGCAAAAAAUACUGACUGAAAUCACAACCGAAGAAUAAAUGGAGCAAGUGUUCGUUAGGCUCAUCAUCACAUAGCACACAUCUGCUUGUCUCGAUGUAGAAGUUUUUCCUCCUAAGUAGGUCUCGGGUGUUCAGUCUCUCCUGUAGUAAUAGCUAGAAGAAAAAAUUCUGCUUGGCCAAAGUGCAUGAUUUCCAUAUCCAUUGGAAUGGUUUUGGGGCAUCAGUAGGAUUUCCAAUAUAUUCUAAGUAUAUUCUUUGGUUGGAAUAUUUAGUUCCACCCCAAUAAAACUGCCAGGAAUCAUGAGAGUCCUGAUUGGCUCUGUUAUUAAUCAAUAUCCUUAGGUUAUUGCUUUGUUGGAAAACAACGGAAGAUAUUUGCAGGUGGAACAUCUCAUAUAAACUCCUAUAAUCUAGGUUACUCGCAUAGGCAAGAGUAAUGUGUGUAUUUUUUGCAUAUGAGAAUAACUGGGGCAUCAUGUUGACCAAGGGUUCUGAAGGAAAUAUUCCCUAAAGGCAAUAAUAAAGUUGUUAUUUAUAUUUCCUUAUAUCAUGAUAAAUGUUUAUUAUUCAUGCUAGAAUUGUAUUAACCGGAAACUUGAUACAUGUGUGAAUACAUAGAUAAAACACAGUGUCCCUAGUAUGCCUCUACUAGACUAGCUCGUUAAUCAAAGAUGGUUAAGUUUCCUGACCAUAGACAUGUGUUGUCAUUUGAUGAACGGGAUCACAUCAUUAGGAGAAUGAUGUGAUGGACAAGACCCAUCCGUUAGCUUAACAUAAUGAUCGUUAAGUUUUAUUGCUAUUGCUUUCUUCAUGACUUAUACAUAUUCCUUUGACUAUGAGAUUAUGUAACUCCCGAAUACCGGAGGAAAACCUUGUGUGCUAUCAAACGUCACAACGUAACCGGGUGAUUAUAAAGAUGCUCUACAGGUGUCUCCAAAGGUGUUUGCUGAGUUGGCAUAGAUCAAGAUUAGGAUUUGUCACUCCGUGUAUCGGAGAGGUAUCUCUGGGCCCUCUCGGUAAUACACAUCAUGAUAAGCCUUGCAAGCAAUGUGACUAAUGAGUUAGUUGCAGGAUGAUGUAUUACGGAACGAGUAAAGAGACUUGCCAGUAACGAGAUUGAACUAGGUAUGAAGAUACCGACGAUCGAAUCUCGGGCAAGUAACAUACCGAUGACAAAAGGAAUGACGUAUGUUGUCAUUGCGGUUUGACCGAUAAAGAUCUUCGUAGAAUAUGUAGGAACCAAUAUGCGCAUCCAGGUUCCGCUGUUGGUUAUUGACCGGAGAUAUGUCUCGUUCAUGUCUACAUAGUUCUCGAACUCGUAGGGUCCGCACACUUAACAUUCGAUGACGAUUUGUAUUAUGAGUUAUGUGUUUUGGUGACCGAAGAUUGUUCGGAGUCCCGGAUGAGAUCACGGACAUGACGAGGAGUCUCAAAAUGGUGGAGAGGUAAAGAUUGAUAUAUUGGACGAUAGUAUUCGGACACCGGAAGUGUUUCGAAAUGUAUCAGGUACAUAUCGGAGUAAGGGGGUGGGGGGUUACCGAAACCCCCCGGGGGAAAGAUAUGGGCCAUAGGAGGGAGGCAAGGCAGCCCACAAGGGGUGGCGCGUGCCCCCCAUGGGGAGUCCUAAUUGGACUAGGGGAGGGGGCGCGGCCCCCCUUUCCUUCUCCUCCUCCCUCUCCUUCAUCCUUUCCCCUUCCGGUAAAAGGAAGGGGGGGGAGGGGCGAAUUGGACUAGGAGGCCAAGUGGGACUCCUCCCACUUGGCGCACCCCUAGGCCGGACUCCUCCCNNNNNNNNNNNNNNNNNNNNNNNNNNNNNNNNNNNNNNNNNNNNNNNNNNNNNNNNNNNNNNNNNNNNNNNNNNNNNNNNNNNNNNNNNNNNNNNNNNNNNNNNNNNNNNNNNNNNNNNNNNNNNNNNNNNNNNNNNNNNNNNNNNNNNNNNNNNNNNNNNNNNNNNNNNNNNNNNNNNNNNNNNNNNNNNNNNNNNNNNNNNNNNNNNNNNNNNNNNNNNNNNNNNNNNNNNNNNNNNNNNNNNNNNNNNNNNNNNNNNNNNNNNNNNNNNNNNNNNNNNNNNNNNNNNNNNNNNNNNNNNNNNNNNNNNNNNNNNNNNNNNNNNNNGUCAUAGUGCUUAGGCGAAGCCCUGCGCGGGUCACUUCACCAUCACCGUCACCACGCCGUCGUGCUGACGAAACUCUCCCUCGACACUUUGCUGGAUCAAGAGUCCGAGGGACGUCAUCGAGCUGAACGUGUGUAGAACUCGGAGGUGCCGUACGUUCGGUACUUGGUCGGUUGAAUCGAGAAGACGUUCGACUGCAUCAACCGCGUUAAAUUAACGCUUCCGCUUUCGGUCUACGAGGGUACGUGGACACACUCUCCCCCUCUCGUUGCUAUGCAUCUCCUAGAUAGAUCUUGCGUGAGUGUAGGAAAAUUUUGAAAUUGCAUGCUACGUUCCCCAACAGUGGCAUCCGAGCCACGUCUAUGCGUAGAUGAUAUGCACGAGUAGAAAACAAAGAGUUGUGGGCGAUGAUAGUCAUACUGCUUACCACCAACGUAUUAUUUUAUUCGGCGGUAUUGUUGGAUGAAUCGGCCCGGACCAACCUUACAUGACCACGUUCAUGAGACCGGUUCCACCGGCAGACAUGCAACUUGUUUUGCAUAAAGGUGGCUGGCGGGUGUCUGUUCUCCAACUUUAGUUGAAUCGAAUUUGACUACAACCGGUCCUUGUUGAAGGUUAAAACAACAAACUUGAUGAAACAUCGUUGUGGUUUUGAUGCGUAGGUAAGAACGGUUCUUACUAGAUGUAACGCCCCGAGACCGACGCUCCAGAAGACUUCCAUGUAUUUCGUUGUCGCCGUGUGAUUUAUUUAUUUGUUGCAUUCAUCAUUGCAUCAUCCGCAUUGCAUCCGCAUGUUUUCUCAAAACUCUUAGUUCGUUCGUAGUUGCCGCGUCUCUCCGUUGUCCGUUCCGAGACCAACCGGGUUUUUCGAGUCCCUCUUGUCUGGCCGCUUAAUCUCUUUGCUUAGUGCUCAAACCCCUCGCUUGCUCGUCCGAAACUUCCCCGAACUCGAUCCGGGCGGUCAUGACCAGUGCGUCCGGAUCAUCCCCAAACAUUCCUACGAGCAGAGCAGAGUAGCUUCGCUUGUCCCGCACGAGCGCCUUGACCCUGCCUCGCUCGCGUUGACCGCGCCUCCAGCGCGCCAGGCCGCUGCCCAGCAGCGCCCCAAGCCCUCUGGUGAGAAGCCCAGAUCCAGUGCCCCGCCUUACACUAAUGGGCCAGCCAGUUUCAGCCCGUGGACGUUUUUUUCCAGUUCUGGACGAUUUGCUAAUUAUCCAGAGUUUUACUGUUUUACUGAAAAGUCCCUCUAGAUCAUGCAUAUAAUAACUCCACAACCAUGCAUCAUAUUAAAAUGUCUUAAAUAUGUAAAAUGCUCAGAAAUUUGUGUAGUUUAAUAAUAUGCCGCUUUCAUCCAUGUUUAAAAUGUUUAAAUGUGCUGUUUGAAUUAAUUUGCAUAAAUAGCAUGUUAAAAUGAAUUAUUUCAUAACUAAUUAACCGUAGCUCCAAAUUAAAUGUUCUUUAGAUGUAAAUGGGGUAGAAAAAUGCCUAGUUUAACAUGGUGCACCUAUCUUGCAUGUUUAACGACAAUAAAAUAUGCUUUAGGACAGAACAGCACCAAAUCUAAAAUAUGGACAUGAGGAUUUCCAGAGUUGUUGUUUGUUGUUCCGGCCUCAUUUAAACUUGCCUAAAUAGUUAGUUUACUUAUGCUUCACCUCUUGCCAUGUUUAACAACAUUUAAUAUUGUUGGGUACAUAACCGAGAGAGAACUAAAUGAGUCAUGUGGUGUUUCAUCAAUAUGCAAGUCGUUGCAUAUUGAGCUCCACUUAAUUUGUAGUGUUGUUUGUUGCACUUUGCCAUGCCAUGCUCAUUAAAUCGGACAUGCAUCAUACUUGAUUGUGCAUCAUGCCAUGAUUAUGCUUGGUUGUUUACCAUGUUGUUUGCUUCUUUCCGGUUUGCUUCUCUUGUUAGCUUCGGUUUCAUUCCGGAGUUGUGAGGAUUCGUUCGACUACGUCCGUUUGUCUUCUUCAUGGGCUCGUUCUUCUUCCUUGCGGGAUCUCAGGCAAGAUGACCAUACCCUCGAAAUCACUUCUAUCUUUGCUUGCUAGUUGUUCGCUCUAUUGCUAUGCCGCGCUACCUACCACUUGCUAUAUCAUGCCUCCCAUAUUGCCAUGUCAAGCCUCUAACCAUCCUUUCCUAGCAAAUCGUUGUUUGGCUAAGUUACCGCUUUUGCUCAGCCCUUCGUAUAGCGUUGCUAGUUGCAGGUGAAGCUGAAUUUUGUUCCAUGUUGGAACAUGGAUAUGUUGGGAUAUCACAAUAUCUCUUAUUUUAAUUAAUGCACCUAUAUACUUGGUAAAGGGUGGAAGGCUCGGCCUUAUGCCUGGUGUUUUGUUCCACUCUUGCCGCCCUAGUUUCUGUCAUACCGGUGUUAUGUUCCUUGAUUUUGUGUUCCUUACGCGGUUGGGUGUUAUGGGAACCCCUUGACAGUUCGCUUUGAAUAAAACUCCUCCAGCAAGGCCCAACCUUGGUUUUACAUUUGCCUACCUAAGCCUUUUUCCCUUGGGUUUUCGUGAGCCCGAGGGUCAUCUUUAUUACCCCCCCGGGCCAGUGCUCCUCUGAGUGUUGGUCCGAACUAGAGUCCUUUGCAGCGCCUCCUCGGGAAAACUUGAGGUCUGGUUUUAGUUGUACGGAGUGCUCAUCCGGUGUGCCUUGAGAACGAGAUACGUGCGACUCCUAUCGGGAUUUGUCGGCACAUCGGGCGGCUUUGCUGGUCUUGUUUUACCAUUGUUGAAAUGUCUUGUAACCGGGAUUCCGAGACUGAUCGGGUCUUCCCGGGAGAAGGAAUAUCCUUCGUUGACCAUGAGAGCUUGUGAUGGGCUAAGUUGGGACACCCCUGCAGGGUUUAAACUUUCGAGAGCCGUGCCCGCGGUUAUGUGGCAGAUGGGAAUUUGUUAAUGUCCGGUUGUAGAGAACUUGACAUUUGACUUAAUUAAAAUGCAUCAACCGCGUGUGUAGCCGUGAUGGUCUCUUUUUGGCGGAGUCCGGGAAGUGAACACGGUCUUGUGUUAUGUAUGAACGUAAGUAGCUUCAGGAUCACUUCUAGCUUCUUGACUGUCGGUGUCAAAACCGGCGGAUCUCGGGUAGGGGGUCCCGAACUGUGCGUCUAGGAUCGAUGGUAACAGGAGAUGGGGGACACGAUGUUUACCCAGGUUCGGGCCCUCUCUAUGGAGGUAAUACCCUACUUCCUGCUUGAUUGAUCUUGAUGAAUAUGAGUGUUACAAGAGUUGAUCUACCUCGAGAUCAUAUGUUGUGGUCUAAGCCCUAGAGGUAUGAUGAGUAAUGUCAUAAUGAUCUAGCAUAUAUCAUCUAUAUAUCGACUAGCCUGGCCUCGGCUUAUGUAAUGCACCAGAGGCCUAGGUUUACAGGAGUCCUAGCCGAAUACGCCGGUGGAGAGGAGUCCUUGUCUUGAUCACCAAGUCUUGUGGAAUCUUCCUUGUACAUGUCAUCGGCAGUCCGAACUGGCCCAUAAGUAUUCGGCCCUGGGGUCCUCGGCCCAAUCCAACUGAUCGGGAGACGACGUGGUGAGUACCCCUACUCCAGGACACCGUCAGUAGCCCCCUGAACCGGUCUUCAAGUUGGGGACGCUCCUCGAUUCUUCCGAACUGUUCUUCAUCUUCGGUCAUCGGUCUUGAAAACUGGUUCAACAAAUCCUCUCAUCUUCAGUCAUGAGGAUCGCCGAAGUGAAUCCGGAAAGUUUACACGUCGGGUAUCCGAGGAGCCCUUUUAAGUUCUCAGCCUUUAUCAAUGCCUUGUUAUAUUUUACGCCACACCUCGGGUUUGAAGUGUUUCCCGUGCGGCGGUGUCUUCUCACAUCCGAGCUCCAACGCCGGACUGUAUUCGAGGUAUCAUUAACAACCGAGCACACACGCCGGACUGCUUCCGAGCUCCAACGCCGGAUUGUAUCCAAGCCCCCACGCCAGACUAUGUCCAAGCUCCAACACCGGACCGUAUCCGAGCUCCAACGCCGGACUAUAUCCGAGGUGUCAUAGAACACCCCGGUUCAAAAAAGUUGAAGGAGUUUAGCCGAGCUUAAUGCCGGAAAUGCCCUCUAUGGAGCCAACCAUUCAAAUCCGAGCUUUAUGCCGGACUACCUCCAAGGUGGUGCACCACCUCGGGCUUGGGCUAAUUGUCUACGGAUUUUAUUUCCGAUGCGUGUAAAUUUAUUCGCUGUCAACAUGUAUAACUAGUAGCCCUCAAGGUGUGUGUCGGUCUAAAACCCGAGAUGCACCUGAAGGAAAACAUGAAACCGCUGAUCCUAGUAGCCCCUGAGACUCAGGUCGAUGCACGAAAUCGGCCUGAGGAUCAACUCCUAGCUCGGUAGCACAUGUAGGAAUAGAAACGCAGUGUAAUAUAUUAGAGAUAAUAGUGAUCGGCGAACGGGCCCUUGAGAGAGGGUCUUUGAAAAGUUGCCGUAAUAUAUUUAGCUUGACGCCGGAUAGGUCCAAAUGGUACCUAUUGUUAUCCGAAGAUACGUUUGCCCAUAGUUCGGUCAAGCCGAACACUUGGCAGUUGGAAUUUUCUGCAUUGAAAUAGGCAAUGCAGUAGCCCCCGAGACACUGGUCGGGUGGCAACACCGGAGCAGGGGAUCGAUGUGUCCCUUUUAAUAUUUAUAAAUAAUGAGCACGAAGCCCAGCAGCCCCCGAGCCUUAUUAUGGGCACAGGUGGCCGAAUUAAGGAUCGAUAUCCAUUUGAAUUUUUUUUUGCUUGUGUGUAACACAAACUUCUCGGAAAGAGAAUGAAUAUCUCAUAAAGGAGUUAGAGCUAACAAAAGCUGAGCUCGCCAAGGUAGGUCUCAAGGGGCUCAAAAGAAAGGAAACUAAUGCCAAUAAGGAACUAUGGGAGCGUUAUGUCAGCUGCUCGGGCGUCUCAAAGAGACUGUGCUAUUGACUCUUUAAAAGAUUGGCGGAGAAAAAAUUGAUUUUUGCUCACCAUUUAUGUGUAAUGAUUCUAUGUACCCAAGUACUUUACAUCAUUAAUGCACGGAUCCACAUUGUACAAAACUUUGUUGACCGACCAUCGGCUUCAACCUCUUCGGCCAGUAGCCGAGGAGUGUUUUCCUACUUUAUAUAGCCGUGAUAAGGGCGAAGAUUUAUGGAAAACAAGGCAAUCUGGCCAUACGGUUUUAUAAACGAAGGUACGCAGAGAGAUAUGUUAUAUUACUUUUUAACGUAAGAAACAUCUUCCAAAGAAAAUAGUCCCGCUAUCGGUUCCUUUCUUUGGGUUGUUAUGCCGACCAUGAUCAUGAAACCUCACCUCCGAUCAAUGCGGGAGGAAACUAUUGAGGAUUUACUUAGGGGAAAGUUCCCGAACUCUAUGGUAUUAAUAAACCAAAAUUUUCACUUCCGUCAUUGUCGACCAAUGUGAUCCUUUAAGAUUGCUAGCUUUCGGCUUCACCCAAUCUGAGGUACUUACUCGGAUGACCCGGUAGUAACAAUCGCAGAGGUGCUCCCUUUACCACCUAGCCGAACAAUCGGGAACGUAGGGGUAAGCACAGGAGCCAGGCAACCCAGCUUGGCCAAAAUCUUAAGUCAAAUUGAUGCAUAUUUAUGGCUUUAUAACGAUAAUUACAGAAGGCAGCGCUUGUAUAGUGAAUACAAAUACUGGUGAUAUAUGUUUAUUUUAUGUAUAAUGAUUGUAUGUACUAAAGUACUUAUAUCAUAUCUGUGUUCGCCCGAACUUUAAACGCGUCUUAACCGACCGUCGGCUUCUCCCUCUUCGGUCAAGGGCCGAAGAGUGUUAUGUACUCCACCUGUCGAGUAUAUCGGCAGUGUUUCCGAUAACCAGGCAACCAGGCCAUAAGGCUGUAACAGACAAAGCGCGCUUAGGGAACUUAUGCUAUAUUACAGACGAAGUGUAAGAAGCAUCUUCGAAGAAAAUAGUACCCCCACCGAUACCUUUCUUCGGUGCUCAUUAUUACUAUGAGACUUGUGCAAUAGAUUUUUUGUACUCAUGAGUUCCGUUGUGUGCCGACCAUGAUUGAAAACAAUAAGAGCGCUAGCUUUCGGCUUCACCCAGUCUGAGGUCAGAGCUCGGAUGACCCGGUCAUGACAAUCGCAGAGGUGCUCCCUUUACUCCCUAGGCGAACAAUCGGGAGCGUAGGGGUAAGCACAGGAGCCAGGCAACCCAGCUUGCGGAACACUUAAGUCAAUAUGGUGCAUAUUGUGGCGUAAUACACAAACAAGGAACGAAGCCGUACAAGUAUAAUCAUAUGCAAGAGGAAAAGCUUCAUGAAGGAAGCCCCCAAGUAAACAGGAUAUUUGAAUUUGUGCGUCACAAAAAAAGUUUUGACAAGGAAGUAUGACGCUUGGUCGAACCGAGAAAAAUUUAAAACCGAAAGUUUUUGAGCUUGAAAGCGACUUAGCUUGUUAAUGUGUUUGGUAUUGAUGACGCGGUCCAAGCUUGAUGCGGGACAAAGUUCCAUCCCCAAGCCGGUCCCAAGGUGGCGGAGCGAAGAACUCGGCACUCCGAAGUGGUGGCAUAGCACGGCCAAAGCGGGCCGGCAGAGUGACGCUGAAGCCCCUGGUGCGGGUUAAUGAAGUGUUGAUGAAACCUCCCGUCCAGCCGAGGAGACAGCACUGCCCAACUCGAUUCAUUUACCUGUGCACAAAAAAUAGUGCAAACCGGAGAUAAUGGUAAUAAUGAUGAAUAAAAUUGUUGCAUAAUAAAUAAUUUAUGCAAAGUCAGUAAUAAAAGAAGUAUGGCCUGUGCGCCGAACACUCGGUGAGGUAGAGCUCUCUCGGUGAUGCCGAAGUCCCCGAGGCAACCGAACACGUCGGUAUGGCAACACGACAAACAAGGUGAUCACGCAAGCCGAUUUAUGCCAAUUUGAGACAGCGGCGUUGGCUUGCCGAAGCGACCGCGUAACGCAGUCGAAGUCGAUCACCUACACGCAUAAAAUAGUGCAGUCCAAAAAGAAUAAUAUAUAUGAAAUCCUUGCGUAAUUGCUUUUCGCAAAAAUAAUUUAUUUAAAGAGACGCGACCUGGCGCCGAAGUCAAUGUUGAUGCAGAGCAUCGGCGUGACGCGAUGAAGGCGUGGCAAAAGCCCGAAUUCACAGGCCGGUCCGAGUUCCGAAUUCGGUGUUUGCCGGACUAUAUACGGAAACUGAUCGUACCACCCCGUGACCGUCGAUAAUGCGGCCGCCAUUUGACAGGCCUGCGUAGAGAUGAUGGAACAAACCAGAGUAAUAAUUCUUUGGGGAGAAUAAACCCAAACAAGCAAAAAUUACUGGGAUAAAUAGCACCUGGUUUAUUUAUUGUAGCAAUCCGAAGAAAGGUGACUCCCAAAAUUGGGACUCAAUCCGCACACCCAUUGCCUGAUGGGUGAUAAAGCGCCGGCAUGGCGAUGCUGGCAAAGGUUGGCUUGCCGAGACAAAGCCCUCGGUCCAGCUAAUCAUGACGAAGCUGGUCGGCUGGUGACGCCAAAGUCACCGGAGUAGGUUGAUGAAGAGAUGAUGAAGCCCCCGGUCUAGCCGAGGUGUUGGAGCAGCUCGACGAAGAGAUGCCGGAGUCUACAUGUCAGCCGAUGUGUCGAAACAGGUCGGCGUGUUUGAUGAUGAUUUGAAGAAGAGGGAGCAUGGUGAUGCCGACGCAGGUCAAGACUUGUGACGCGAUCGCCGCUAGCUUGAUGAAGCUACUGCGUGGCGAUGCCGGUGUGCCCGCUUCGUGUAAUCUGUGGGGCAGCGAUGUUGAUGAUGAUUUAUCCUUUGCGAUGCCGCACUCUUGUUCGGCUUGCCGAGAUGAUGAUCGAAGGAGUAGAGCUCGGCUCAAUAAAGCGGCGACGUGUCUAGCGCAGGUCGGCAGCCGUGUAGCAAUACUGCCGGACUGUUUUGACACCAGCGUGAUGGUGAAGAUUACCUUGGAGGAGGCUUAAAAUUUGGUGGGUACGUGUUUAAAAACAACGCGCAAUACCCUAGAAAAAAAUUCCUUCAAAAGGGGUGUCCGAUAUCCCGUUCAUGAAGAAACAUGAACUUGGGCCGGAUUCGUAUUCACGCAGAAAAAGGAUCCAAAAAUCGUUGUGCUCAUCGGAGGUUUCCCGGAGUUUGAACGGUCGGAUCGAGCUGAAAUUUUGAGGGGUGGUAGAUAUAGGAAUUCCGCAGCCGAUCAAUGGUUGGAUCUUCCAAAGGACGUCCAAGAUAGAUGCUGGACGCCACGCUCCAAACUCGUGCAGAUUCUCGUCCAGAUUCGAAACGGCUCCGGUAUAUCAUAGAUUGCCAGAGAUUCCUCCAUCGGAACUCGAUGAAAUUUUGCAUGGUUGUUGUAGACUCAAUUCCGCACAAUCCCACCGAAGCAAUCAUCAAAGCGAUACUCAAGGAGGCGGUGGCGGCAGAUACGAGUUCGCUGUCCAGAAAAACAACACGGUCGCUCGAGGGCUAUGUUGACGUUGAGCCCCCGAGCUCCAUGGAUGAUUCCUCCAUGAUCUUGAUAGAGAUCAGAGUUGAUGUUUGAUGAAGGCCCUCAUCCGAACAUGGUGAUCCGAACAUGGGGCGCAGUUCUUGGUCGAACCAAGGUGACCAGUCGAGCUGGUGACGAAGAUGGCGAAGUCGCAGUUGAUCUGCAGGCGAGCCAUCGAUCUUUCGCCGAACACACAGCGGAACUCUCAAUGAAAGCACCAAUGUCGGUGUCAAAACCGGUGGAUCUCGGGUAGGGGGUCCUGAACUGUGCGUCUAGGAUCGAUGGUAACGGGAGACGGGGGACACGAUGUUUACCCAGGUUCGGGCCCUCUCUAUGGAGGUAAUACCCUACUUCCUGCUUGAUUGAUCUUGAUGAAUAUGAGUGUUACAAGAGUUGAUCUACCUCGAGAUCAUAUGUUGUGGUCUAAUCCCUAGAGGUAUGAUGAGUAAUGUCAUAAUGAUCUAGCAUAUAUCAUCUAUAUAUCGACUAGUCUGGCCUCGGCUUAUAUAAUGCACCAGAGGCCUAGGGUUACAGGAGUCUUAGCCGAAUACGCCAGUGGAGAGGAGUCCUUGUCUUGAUCACCAAGUCUUGUGGAAUCUUCCUUGUACAUGUCAUCGGCAGUCCGAACUGGCCCAUAAGUAUUCGACCCUGGGGUCCUCGGCCCAAUCCAACUGAUCGGGAGACGACGUGGUGAGUACCCCCUAGUCCCGGACACCGUCAUCGACCGUUGCGUUGCUUCUCUUCUCGCUCUUAUUUGCGUAUGUUAGCCACCAUAUUUGCUUAGUGCUUGCUGCAGCUCCACCUCAUCACCCCUUUCCUGCCCAUAAGCUUAAAAAGUCUUGAUCUCGCGGGCGUGAGAUUGCUGAGUCCUCGUGACUCACAGAUUCUACCAAAACAGUUGCAGGUGCCGAUGAU